UUUCAACAAACCCUAAAGAGAACUAUGUACAUAAAAGACAUGUCUCUAGAAACAAAAGCUAACGAGAAACUACUGUUCAACUUACUUUUCAUGGUUUAUAAACUUUAAGAAAGAUUAAAAAAAUAUAACAAGAUAUAUAUACACACCUUAUAUAGGACAUUAUGUAAUGGGAUAAUGAAGAAUAAGUUCAAUAAACUUUAAUGUACCCAAUCUACCAUAAACUUGAGUUCACUCAAAACCUUUAAGAAAAUGGACAAAUAGAAAUAUAAUCAAGCAAACAUAAUCAUUUUGUUAGGUACAUGCAAGAUAAACUAUUUCACACCAACAUAUAUAAUCAGUAUACAAAUGAAAUCUUUGAGUUUCACAAGCUAAACUCAAUUUAAACUUUGAACUAACAAGUCCAAACAAUUUUCAUUGUAAUUCAAUAGUUAAAAACGUACCUUGGAGCCCUUCCAACCCUAUCAAAAAAACAUAUAAGUCUAGCACUUUAACAAAUUUCUAGUGCAUAUUAUGCAUCUCAAUUGAUCACAACAAAAUAAGAUUGAACAUAAAUACUCAUAAGUAAUACCUUUUCAAUGUUGCAUUUUCAUAAAAAUUCAACAAGCAUUGUCACUCUCUCGAGGAUUCUUCAAGCCCUAAGUAUGAAAAAAUGUUCAAUGAUUAAAUCGUACUCCAUUUACAUGACAAUUUGACAAAGUUGAGUUAACCCCCCCCCCCCCCCCAAUUUCCAACACUAUUGUUGGAAAGGAACAACAAGAUCUUUCAAAGUAAGGAAAGAACUACUAUGAAGAUUUUAGAUGAUAUUAAUUCAAGCAAACGUUUAUAUACUACUAAUAUACCAUACUAAUUCGACUAAAACACUUUCAACGAGACUAGAAUUAUACAAAAUAUACUUUAAACCACAAUAGUUGAAUAUGUAUUUUUGGUAGGGAGGUAGACACUACUUACUUGAACAAAUAACGACAACGUCCUUGAAGUAAGAGGACUUUCUGCUAAUCCUCAAUUCAAUCAAUUAUUCAAAAUGUCAUAAGGUAGUCAUAGGAAGAAAAUAUAGUUUAAAAACGUUGAUAAAAAGUGGAGGUAAAAAAAGUGUAUAGGCUUAAGUUUCAAAAACUUAAAGCCAAAAACCAAAUAGAUAACAUACAGAAAUUCUCUUGGAAUGUGUAUAGGCUUAAGUUUCAAACUUAAAGCCAAAAACCAAAUAGAUAACAUACAGAAAUUCUCUUGGAAUGUGUAUAGGCUUAAGUUUCAACAUACACAUUCAUACCUUUCCAAUGUGUAUAACAUACAUCGCGGUUUAUGUUUCAAGCAGAGGGUGUAUUUCGACAUUUUCAAAUUUACUCCUCUUGGAAAGAUCUAGCAUGGUAAGUGGCAAAUAAAAUUCUACCAUACAAAAUAAAUCUUAAUUCACCAUCAUUUUUUUGUCUUUCCUUUCAAUAUAGAACAUGUAGUAAUUUUUGUUGCUACUAUCCUUAUUGUAAGAAAGGGAGAGAGAACAUACCUAUAAUUAUCAAUAAUCACUUCCCUCUAUCCUUCAAUCAAAGCAACUCAAUAGCAACCAUAAACAAAAUAUCAAUAGAAAAAUCAAAAGUACUAAAAUUCACUUGGAAUGCAUAGACAAACAAAAAGACCCUACACACCAUCAAAGUUUAAAAUCUCACAUUUCAUUUUUCAUUCUCUUUUUCUCAAAGCUUCAGCCCAUAGCCAUGACAUCUCCUUGGCCUUGAUUUCCUAAUUCGAACGAAAAAAAUCAAUCAAAAAUCAACCAAAUGCUUCAUUGAGGCAUUUCAUCAAACACAUUGUAAGCUACCAAAAUGUUUCAUCACAUAGCCAACCAUAAAGAAAAAAUGUAGAUUCAAAUUAGAAAAAUGAUUGUAAACAACAAUAUUGAAUAGGAUGGUAGACAAAACAAACACAUAUCUCAUAUAAAAGCAAAACUAUGAGGGAUGUUUUUCAUAAAAAGAACCAUCAAUAUAUCACAUUGUGGGUAAAAUGAAAGCAUUUGAAGUUAAUAUACUGUAUAAAUACAAACAAUAGAAAUAAUGGUUGAGAUUCACCAGUGAGUUCAGCGGUGCAAGGGGUGUUGGGUGGUUGCGUCGGCUGAAGGAGAGAAAGAGAGGGAUUUCGCGCAUUGUUGACAAAAGUCUAGUCUUUCCCGGCAUGCGUGAGAGAGGGAGAGAGAUGGUUAGCGGAAGGGGGAAAAUCGAAGAGGGGGACGUGUGGAUCUUCCACAGAGAAGAAAAGAAGAAGAGAAGAAGAAGAGAAGAAGAAGAAGAAGAGGAGGAGGUAGAGAAAGAGUUUUGGAGAUGUUUUAUUUUAAUAAAUAAAUUAUUUAAUGUUUUUAGAAUUAGGAAAAAAUCUGAUUUUAAUAAAUUUUUAUUUAAAAUAAAUUUUAUUUUAAUAAAUUAAAUAAAUAUUUUUUGUAUUUUAUGACAUCAAAUAACUGUUGCGGAAAGUAAAAUCCGAAAAAUUCCGUCUUUUUCCGCCAAAAACGCGGUUUUUUAGCUUUUGUGACAGUUUUUUCUUUUCUCCUUUCAAUUUGGGAUGUAUACAACUGUCAUAGUAGACCACUUUUCUACUAGUGCCACCACCCAAAAUUAGAAUAGAUCAUAAUUCUAGCCCAAAUUUCAGGUCAAUCAAUUUCAAAUUUAUAAAUUUUAAAAUCCAAAACAUAUCAUCAAGCAAAAUUAUUUUAUUAUUAUUAUUAUUAUACAUAUGAAAUAUCAAUAAAUAAAUCAUUCUUCGGGAAACAGUUAAAAAUAGAAAAGCAUUUACACUUGAAAAUGACAAAAUACUCUCCAUUCUCUAUUUGUCAUCUUUUAUUUAUAACAGCCUUAACAUUAAUAUCUAAUUUUAAUAAAUACCUAUUAUUCUCUAUGCUCUAUGAUUUCAUUGUAUUAUUUGUCUUGUCUUGGACAAGUUUGCACGGUGCUUUCUCUAUUAUUUUCUGAGUUCCCAAUCCUUCUUCUUGGGACGUGGCUCCGACCACAUAGAAGUGCUCUAGGAGCUAGUUGUGGAUUGAAUCAUGGGGUUUUUUUUUUCUCUUUGUAACCAUUAAAAUUUAGUAGAUUCAAACCUUCAAUCUCUAAAAUAUAAUAUUGAAAGAGCCUAAGCUUGCCAUUUUGAAAAAUGGACAUUUAGCAAAUCUAAAAAUAAACUUAAAAAUAAUAAACAAACCUUGGUUAGAAUUCUCGUCUAAGUGAAACGUUGAGGUAUAUUGUUUCCCCAUUUUAACAAAUACUUACUUAAUUAUUGAACCUUAAAAUUUGGACUUAGAAAAUGGAUGGUUAUAACUAAGCAUCUUUAGUUUACGGAUUUGACGAAAAAAGUGGAAUUGGGAUUGGAUACGAAAAUUAUAUAUAUGUAUAUAUUGAGUUAAUUAGUAGUCUUAUCUGUUAGAUUGCAUAUUAUGGCAAAUCAAGAGGUAGCAAACGUGGAAGUUGAGAUGAGAACUUCGGGAUUACGUAUUGUGGAAGUGAAGGAAGCAAAUAUAGAUUGUAUAUUCUGUCUUAUUUGUUAGAUUGCAUUUUAUAUAGACUGCAUGUUAGAUUGCAUUUUAUAUAGACUGCAUGUUAGAUUGCAUUUUAUAUAGACUGCAUAUUGCAUAUAUUAGGACAAUUCUGUCUAAUAGAGGCUGUUGGCACGUAAGAAAUUUUUACACCUAGAAUAAUUUAAAUGCAUGCAGAUUAGGUUUCGUGCUUGUGAUGCCAUUUUGGUAUUGGAUUGUUCACUUCUUUACAAGUUGGACGACUCUCCUACCACUCCCUUUAAUUUAUUCCCUUUAUCCUACCACUCCCUUUAUUCCCUUUAUCUCACUACAUGGAAUGCAACGUUUUUCUUCUCUACACUUCGUGACAUAAUGGUUAAUCUUUUCAUUUAUUUUUGUGUUAAAUUCUUUCUAGUUUUAUUUUAAUUUAGUUUUGCAAUAUGUGUGUUGGAGGGAGGAUGAUCAAAACUACAACACUAUACGCAUGUAUAUGCCCAUUUAAAUUUAUAUAUUUACUUGAUUUAAUUGUUUUUAAACUUACCAUACAAUACAGAAUUGAUACCAUAGCAAAUGGGACCUCACUUUCUUCUUAUUUCCAAGUAAAUAAAUAAAAAUAAUGAUCAAAUGUUAAAAUAAUACAAAUAUCGUCCCUCACUUUGUACAAUAGAUCCUAUUGUUGGGUCAGUUGCCAAAAUGUUGAUAAUUGGUUUCAUUUGAACAUAAGAAACCAAGAAAGGCAACAACAAAAAAAAUAUGUGUGUGGUUUCUUAAAUAAGACCAGACCCUUUUCUCUCUAUAAAAAAACUUACACCGAUCAUCAGUAUAACUCAUGUCUGUCUAGGCUAGCAACGCUCUAUCUAGGAAUCACACAACUACUCCAAGCACGGCUUCAUAUCAUUUAAAAUGACGAGCACAACGACGAAAAUGUGGUGUUCUGCAACUGAGGACAUGGUGUAGGAAAGACUGAAGUGCUAAAACCCGAGACAAAAGCACAAUGCCAUUUUGCGGAGGGAGUGAGACCGAGAAUGGUCACAUUUUUCAUACAUACACCGUCAUAUGAUGUGCCUGCAAUCCCGUAAAGAACCGGAGCCUUUGUCGAAUUUAAGCUCAUGAGAUUGGUAAUGAAAAUGCCCUUCACUUUAGGAACUGCCUUUGGAUCAAAUUGUUCAUCAGGAUGGUCAUUUGAGCCCCUGCUAAACCUUAUAGCCAUUUUCACUCUGUUCAUUACAAAGUUAGUUAUACUAACAUUUGCAAUGUAUCCUCCUCUACCUUGGUCGGAUUUGAUUCGAAUGCCUGCUGCCGAAUCCCAGACGUUUAAAUCCUCAAUUGUAAUGUUUGAUAUUCCACCUGACAUCUCACUUCCUAUUCCAACACCAGAACAGGUAGGGGUGGUGCCAGAAACUCGCCUUAUGACGAUAUUUGAGCUUGGGCGUGCAAGGUUGAUUCCAUAUUGAUCCCAACCACUCUUCACUGCUACUAGAUCAUCUCCGCUUUCGAUAUAACAGUCCUCGAUACAAACAUUGGUACUAGAAUCUACACCAUAAUAAAGAUGCAUUUGGAAUUUAGAUAACUCCAGCAUUGUUUUACAUUUAUUUCUCAUACCUCCUAGCUCCAAGAAAGAAGCAAAAUACCUGGAUCGAUACCAUCUGUGUUCGGGGCAUUGAGCGGAGCCAAGAUCGUCAUGUCUUUGAUAACAACAUUGCUGAAAUCAAACAAAAGUUCAAGAACCAGUAUAUAAUUGCAAAGAGUAGAUAAUUAUUGAAAAUGAAACCUGCAAUAGACAGGAUGAAUUGUCCAAAAGGGGGAAUUUUUGAAGGUGAGAUUGGAAAUGAGAAUAUUGUGAGAGUUGAUGAGCUCUACAAGAUGGCCCCUUGUGUGAUUUAAUGUUCUAUUCCACCAAAGCUCCCACCACAUCUUGCCUUGCCCAUCAAUGGUUCCAUUCUCUCCUGAAAAAACAACAUAAAAACUCAAUAGAUUUUCAUGAUUAAGAACAUUCUCGAACCCGAGUGCCGUCAAAGCUAAAUGAGAAGAAGAGUUCACACUAGUUCCAGUUUCGAUGCACAAAGCUAAUGUAGAUCAAAAGAUAUGAUCCCAUUUGAUACUUUUUUUAAGGUAGGUAGAACUUCUUAUUCCUAGUUUUUAUCACUGGACUCUACUCAUAUUCUUUUUAGUUCAACAAUAUGUAACGGUGAGUUUCAAACAUAUGACAUUUUGGUCAAAUUUAUAUAUGUUUUAACUAAAUGAGCUAUACUGAUCACAUUGGUGACCUAGUGGUAUUUGGCUAGGGUAAAAAACAAGAAAAUCAAAGAAAGAAAAUGGGUAAGUCAAGUUAGUCUUAGAAGGUAGAUCUUAAGCUUAAAAUUGAAAUACCUAACUUUUCUCAUCUCAAGUGACCCCUUAACAUAAAAUACUAUAAUGAUCUUCUCCACAACCAAAAUGUACUAAAAGGUCAAGUGCCCUUACAAAAAAAACUCCUUAUUGCCAAUUUCACUUUUAAAAACAGUUGAAAUGGUAUACCAAGAUUCAGUUCUUUAUCAUUCCCACCCCAAACAUAAAAACACACCAUAGAAAAUAAAGCAUGAUAUCUUGAGAGAGAGAAAUAAUAUUCUUAGAUCCUAAAUCCCUUUUUUUAAUUUUUAACAUUAUCAUGGUUCCCUAGCUAAUUGCUUAGUCAUGAUCAAAGUUUGAUUCCAUUACUUUACAAAACCCAAGAUAAGAAUCCUCAUGAAUAUAAAAUCCUAGCAAUGAAGAUGAAGCCAAAAACAAAAACAAAAAAAAAACAAAAAAAGAUAAAGAAAAGUGAAAGCACCUGUAAUUACAACAUUUGAAAGGGCAUUGCCAUGAAUAAGGCUGAUGUGUCUUCCUCCCAAUCUCUCUCUUCCUCUUCCAUAAGAAGGAAGUGGCUCUAUAAUGGGCCACUCAUCUGGAUCCUUUUUUUUUUUUUUUAAUUUCAAACAAAUAUUUAAUCAAGUGCACACUAAACUUUUGACAAUAACAUGCCACCAUGAUUUCUAAAAGCAAAGAUUUAUCAAUUCAUAAUUAACAAAUUUGAUUUGAUAAUUUAUUUUACUGAUCAAACCAAAGCUUAUUCAGUUUCAAAUAAUACCCAACAAAAAAAAAAAAGUCAACCAGUUAUCAUAAAAGCUCUGUUUCAUUUACACACCUUGGGGGAAGGAAUCACACUUUAAUUUUAUUUUAUUUUUUCUAAGGAAUUUUGUUAAUGGGAAAUCCCAAACACUAAUAUAAAUUAGCUUCAAAAGCACUAAUGAAUGCAUUAAAUGAUAAUUCAUAGUGCCAAUAAAUCAUUAGCAUAUACAACCUUUUUUUCUCAUAAUUUCACUGCUUUAUUAUUAUUUAUUAUCAUUACUUUUUUGGUUACAUACAACUUUACUUGUUUUAUUGCUUUUUUUUUUCUUUAAAAAAUAAUAUUAUUAUCAAUUCACAUUUUCACUAUAAAUAAGUUCAGAUAUUACAUUUUUCUUGCAUGCAAAAAUAUUUAUUAUCUUAUUAUUAUUUAAUCAAUUUGGAUGGAAAUAUUGGAUAUAUAUAUAUAUAAAUAUGGUGGAUCCCACUUGCUAUGUUUUUAGGUUUAAAAAUGCAAUAAGAACUUAGGUGACACCGCCAGAGUCAUCACUCUGAUUUUACCUUUUCUGCUAAGUUAUGAAAUCCCAUUUGUCAUUUUCUUCUUCACCAAAAUCACAAAGAAUUUGUCCUUUCCAAACUCAUUAAAACAAUAAAAAUAAAAUUCCCCAACAGUUUAAAAGAAACACCACACAAAGUCUUAAACACAUAAAUAUUUAAAACAAAAAAACAAAUUACAAAAGACAAGCUUAAAAUUACCAUUUAAUUUUCUAAUAACUAUUUAGUUUAACCGUAAGUAAUUUUAGGGGUUUAGGGUAAAAAAGAAAAAAACUGACCUGGGAGGCUAAAAUAAGAGCGCCACGUUGGAGAAAGAGGGUAAAAUUACUGGUGAGAUUAAAGCUGCCCGUGACCCAACUGCCCUUAGGGACGGUCAGUUUAGACCCGCCUUUGUCGCCGAACCGCCGCAUGUACUGAAUGGCCUUCCGAAACGCUUCCGUGUUGGAAGUCUUUCCGUCCCCUACUCCUCCGAAAUCCGUGAUCGACAUGACAACCCCCGCCGUAGCAUCUGGGCGGAAGAAGGCGGAGCAGGUGGGGAGUUGGAAAUCAGAGGGUGGGAGCCAGAAGGGGAAAGGGGGAGUUCUGGUGGCGAUUUGGAAGGUGAGGAUAGCGAGGAAGAUGAAGAGAAGGAGAAGGGAAGAACAGGAGGGAUUGAUCGGAGGGCCGAAAUAGAAUUUUGAUUUAUCACUGUCCAUUAAUGGAAAACCAAAUUACAAUAGAGAGAAGAAGAAGAAGAAGAAGAAAGAAGGGGUAGAGGUCUAGAAGGCAGGCUAGAACUGGAAGGGUGGACAAUGGACAUUGCGCUUCCGCAUGCUAAAUCUUUUCCCUUUUUUUUUUCUUUUUUGCUUUCUCUUCUACUUCUUUCUUUUUAAUAGUUUUUUUUUAAAUAUAAAAUUUUCAAAUUUAGUUAAUUACAAUUUGAUUUGAUUAUAAUAUUUAUGGAAGGUAUUUUCACAUUUUUAAAAAUAGAUUAGAUGAUGCUUUAAAUAGUUUGAAGUUUCAGCCCUACUAAUUUCCUAGUUUUGUUUUCAAAUUCCAUAAUUACCCUUACUUCAAUGCACUUAUUUUGUUUUUGCAAGAAGCAUGACACCUUUUGUUUAUUUUUUUUAUUCUAUACAAAAUUUCUAACAACAUUUAUAUAUAACCAAAUAUUACAAUAUAUUUAAUAUAUUAAACUACUAUUUAUCUUUAUUAUAAUAUAAAUAAACACAUAAUUUAUUUUAGGCUAUCAUGGUUGUGUACUAAGAACCAACGUUCAUUGGGUUUAAGUUCCUCACGUUCCAAUUUGUAUUAAAAAAAUUAAUGAAAAUUUUUUAUUACAUCAUUUUUUUAAAAUAUAUUUUUCUUAAUAUUUUUGAAAACUAUUUCAUUUAUUAUUUGAAAGUAAGCUAAAUUUGAAAUGUAUGCAUAUUAAAUAUGAGUGGAAUUUUAGACAGGGAGAGAGAGGACAUCAUUUAAAAAGUACUAAUUAAUUUCUUUGAUAGCCUUGUUAUUAUUAUUUUCUAAAACAGUUUGAUAGCGUUAUUAUUAUUUUUAUAGUCGGAAUUCUGGUUGUAGUAAAAGAACAAAAUUGUCAUUAAAAUUAAAAAAAAAAAGAGGGAGGGGGGCAAGAUGGUAAUUAUGUAAAAAGAAGCCGUGGGCUUUUGUUUGCUUAUUUGAAAAAGUGGGAUUAUGAGACGUGGCAAGUUUAGAGUGGUGUUAAUAUGGAGUGAUAGCGUGAUAGAUGUUGUAGAAGAAACCUAAUGGUGUAAAAAUGGAAGCCGCUAUUCACGGGCAUCUUUCAACCUUUCUCAUCAUUUCUUUUUCAUUCUAUUUUCUUUAUUUUAUUAUGUUUUCUCUUAAAUUAAUAAAAAAAAUAAAAUUUAUUUAUUUUAAUUUGAGAAUGUAUGAUGAUAAAUAAUUUUAAUUGGAAAAGGAACGAAACCUUUUGAAUUUAUUAAAAACGCAAACAAAUACUAAAUAAGAGAAUAUCAUAGUUAUAUAUAUAAAAAAAAAAAAUGCAACAUCUCCAUUAUUAUGAAACAUUUUAAAUGAAGCUAAAAGUAAAAUUAUGCAACAUUAAUGUAAAUUAUCUCAACUUCAAAUGACAUUUGAACCAAUGUUUGAUUUUAGAAUUAAUAUUAUAUAUAUUUUUAAAUAGAAAAUUUAAUUUGAUUUAUAGUUCCAAGAGAUGCCUUCCUAAAAUGAUUGUUUAUUUACUUGUACCAAUUGAAGCCCUAGUUUUAAUUUAAAUUUACUAUCAAACAAAUAAUUAGGAUCAGAACACAUUUCAAGUAAAAAUAAAAAUGUACUUUUCCAUUAUUUUUCUUUCAAAUGUACAAAAGUCUACUUUUUUGGUGCCAUAUGUCUAUAACUAGUAAAGGUAAAUAAAAUAUAAAAAAAAAAGGAAAAAAAUAUUAAAAUUUGUUUGAAAAUUUUGUGUAAUUUCAUUUAUGAAUAUGUUUACAUACAAAAUUAGUUAUUUGCAAAAGAAAUUGAUUUCGUCUUCUAAAAUGUUAAAAGUUUUUUUUUUCAAUAACAAAAGAUAGUCCAUUAAUAAUUAACAUAGGACUAAAAGAAUGAACUAUGGUAAUAUUUUGAUAUUUUUUAUUCUCAUGUAUAAAAAUUUGAAAAGUGAGGAUAUAAAGAGUUAUGAAAAAUGGUAUUUUGAUAUAGUUUCUACCUAAUACCUUCUCUCAUUCUUUUAAAUUUGAAUCCAUCUAAUUGUACGUUGUUUUAAGCUUUUCAGUUGAAGUUACUAUUUUUUAUCAAACCUAGAUUAACCCUUUGAUUAUAUAUUUUCUAAUAGAAUUAGAUGAAUUAGAGAGAAAAAUGAAAAACAAAAAACCACAGCCAAUGUUUUAUUAGUUAUGUUUUGCAAUAUUCAUCAUGAACUUAUAUAACCUUGCAAUUUAGUACAAUUUAAUUGAAGCUUUUCUGUGGUUGUCUUACCAAUCAAUCCAUUGGCUGAGUUGACACCCGAGUUAAGGGCGACAUCGGUAGAUGACUCGGAAUUUUCAUUCCCAAUUCCCUUUUCAAAUUCUAUAACCUUCGUCACCACGAACAAUUUGCAAUAGAUACGAAACCAAGAUCAGGGUCUUCUUAAUUUUCCUUCUAUCUUUCUUUUUCCCCUUCAUUGGACGCGCCAUCAAUUCUACAUUGGAUUGCAGCAUUUGGGUAUUAAAUUUUGAUCUGUUUUUACGGGAUGUCAUGUUCGAUUUCAUUGUGAUUCAUUCAAUUCCAUUUCUGUCGCAUGUUUUCGUAUCUCUUUGGUAAUGGUGCAUGCUGUUUUGCAUUUGUUGAAUCAGCUGACAUUUGGGUUUUCUUUUUCUUUGAUUAGGUACGUGAAUCGGGUAGCGAUCUUGUUUUUAAAAAUUGUUGAUUGGGUUGGAGCCAUUGGAGGACGGAUUUGAUGGAUUCGACGUCAAACCAAACCGAGUUUGAUUACUUGUUCAAGUUGUUGAUGAUUGGGGACUCUGGGGUUGGAAAAAGUAGUCUGCUUUUAAGUUUCACUUCCGAUAACUUUGAAGAUCUCUCACCGACGAUCGGUUAGUUUUGCUAUACGGAUCAGAUUUGAAGUAUUAGUUUGGAAUUUCCUUUUUUGCUUUUGUGGGAUCUUGCGCAUUCUUUUUGAAAAUGAGCUUAGACAAAUCGGUUUUGUUGUUUGCUGCGGAAUAUUGGUUCAUCAUUUUAAAGAAACAUGUGGAAAGACAAUGAUAUACUUUUGCUGAAUAUUGGUUCAUCAUUUUCACUUUCACCUUCACCUUCUGCAUGGGAUUGAGAUGAGAUUGAGGGCAAAAAAUUAAAUGAAAGGGAAAGUUGAGAGGACCAAGAUUGAGAGAGGCAAUUAAUCUUAACCGUAUUUCAUCAAGAGAAGAAUGAAGCUCUUAGAUAAUCAGGUCAGGUGUCAUUUUUUUAGGACAGUGUAAGGAACUUAGCUAUAAUCGUAUCUGAGAAACUAAAAUGAGAAGUCAUGAAAGAGGUAAUUUGUGCAUUAAUUUCUAAUGGAAAAUACUAUAUUUCAAUGUAAAUAUGUAUUGUAUACUUUCAGGUAUACAAUGAAAAGUUCAUUUUCUUUGUAAUAUUAUAUAUAUAUACACACACUGUAUACUUUCUACCCGCUCUAUUAUCACUGGUCAUCUAUACUUUUGCAUUCUGUUCAGUACUUACUGACCCUGUGUAAAUCUAGGCAUAUGCUCAUCGUCCUACUGUGGGGCUAUUAGUAGAAUAGAUUUCCUUUUACCUGUGUAAGUUUGGUUGAAUUUCAAACCGCAUAGCUGAAAUUUUGGAUGUUCUCUUUCUUAUUAAAACAUUAUUAACAAAAUUGAGAAUUUAAAAUGAUUUUGAUUAUAAAUCCUACGUCUGCAUGUUUAAUUGUGCUGGUUUGCUUGUUUAAAAUGGAAAACGGCACAAGCCUUGCUAACUUCUUAAUUUGCCUUGCAAUGGCAUGUAACCAUCAAUAGACUAGAAAUGACUUUUAAUUAAUUGGUUGUUUUUGUGCGCAGGUGUGGAUUUUAAGGUAAAGUAUGUUACUGCUGGUGGUAAAAAGCUGAAGCUUGCAAUUUGGGAUACUGGUAAUUAAGCUUCUCCACACACAUAAAUAGGCUUCUUCUUCCUCCAUUUUUAUUUUUGAGAGGGCGUCUAUUCUAUUUUCCACACAUGCAAGAUGUAUGCUUUGGCAGAGAAGCACCAAACGGCUAAGUUAGAUAAUUAAUUUACAAAAAGAUAUUGCUUAGCUAAUUAUAUAAGCAGCUGGACGGUAUACUAAAUUAUAAAUACAUUGAGGCUUGGCCAUUUGCGUAGCUUGUCCUUUGUUCACCAGCUCAAAGUUGACUUUUCCUUCAUGGUCCGGCAAUCUAUGCAGUAAUCCUCGAUUCGGCACAGUUUUCUCCUGUUUUGAAUGUAGAAGCUAGAAAAUUUUGUUACCAAAUCUUUGAGGCAUUAAAUAAAUGGAUGAGAAGACAAUAAAUUUAACCAAUUGACAAAUAGAUCUGGAAGGUGAAAACGGAUGCUAACUGUUGACCAUAAGUGUGCCUGGAUGAUGGUUCUGCUGUGCAGAAAAAUGCAACAUGAAUGAACUUUUCACGUUCAUGUAUAGAACUUUGUUGAACCUGCAGCCGGCUAGAGCUUUUUCAUCAAGAUUAGAAACUUGUUCAUAUUUGUGUUUGAAUUAAAUUUGGAUCUUGACCUAACAGACUAAGAAAUUGCUCAAAGGAUUGUACAUGCUUAUUCUAAUUCUUAACUGUUAUCCAGUGGUCCUAGUGCUGUGAAUUAUAAAGAUAAUAUAGUUGUUCUUGUUGAUUAGCCAUGAUGUAUUUGAUGGUACUAGGGUAUUACUUCCUAUAUUUUCUUGUAAUGAAUCUGUAUGAAAGAAAUCUGGUUUACCACAUCUCCAAACUAUGCAUCUUGUAGAAUCUAACUCAAUGUUCAAUCGUACAGCUGGGCAGGAGAGAUUCAGAACACUGACUAGUUCAUACUACAGAGGUGCUCAAGGGAUCAUUAUGGGUGCGUUCUACUCCCUUCUUUAUUUGAUUGUUUUAAAGAGAAGAAAUUCUUUGCUUGGCAUAAAUGUUAAAUUUCUCAGCUGUGUUUAGUUUAAACGCAUUCAUGAUUUUAUCAAAUGAUAAGUUGUUCAUUUGUUUGGCCGUCCAAUAUUAUUCUAUUGCCUUUUGUAUUAUGUUAUCUUGAUUAUGACAUCAAAUAUUAACUGUCAGUUUAUGAUGUAACGAGGAGAGACACGUUUACAAACCUUUCUGAGGUAUGGGCAAAGGAAAUAGAUCUAUAUUCAACCAAUCAAGAUUGCAUCAAGAUGCUUGUUGGAAACAAAGUUGAUAAGGUAAGCGUCUUCAACUUCCAUUUGAAAUUUUCCAUUCACCUGAAUUUGGUUACUCUAACAUUUGUAUAGAUGUCGAUUAAUUGUUCAAGUGUAUGGUGAACUGAAAUUCAUAUUCCAAAGAGUUUUCAGGUUAAUUACCAAUAACAUAUUGAUAAUUUAAGAACCGAUUAAAUGAGUUAUGAAUAUCAAAGCUUUUUCCGUAUGAGUUUGUUAGGUAUUCAAGCUGUUAUUUACUACUAUUAUUAGAAAGCUUAGAAGAUGGCCUAAUGGUAAAAACGGAGACAUAGUCUGAAUAACUAACUAAGAGGUCAUGGGUUCAAUACAUGGUGGAAUUAAUUUCCUACAUGUUAUCUUGACACCCAGAUGUUGUAGGGUCAGGCGGGUUGUUCCGUGAGAAUAGUCGAGGUGCUCGUAAGCUUUCCCGGACACUCACGGUUAUAAGAAAAAGAAUUAGAAAGCUUAGAAGAGUGUUGAAACACUGUACAAAUGAAAUCUAACUUCUAGGUCUGGCUCAUCUCCACGCACAAAGCCUAUCCUAAAUUAUGACUCAAGAAACCAAACUUCCAAUAGGAAGAACAUAAAAACAAAAAGGCAUGUGCGAAAUACACUAAAUGUGAAGUUCAGGUUUUUGAGAUUCUUUUAAAUUUCUUAUGAUAAUGUUUUUCAUUGUCUGCAUCUAACUUACUUUUUAUCUGGAAUUUUAUUCUUCAGGAAAGUUAUAGGACAGUAACCAAGAAAGAGGGAAUUGACAUGGCUAGGGAAUAUGGUUGUCUUUUUACAGAAUGCAGUGCCAAAACUCGGGUUAAUGUACAGCAGUGCUUUGAAGAACUUGUUUUAAAGGUAGCAAUUUCAGUUUAGUAUUACUGUUGGUUCAUUUAUUGGUCAAGGGAUUGAUAUUGAUUGGUGAGUAGCAGGAACAUGGUGUUUCCCUGUUGUAAUUGUAACAGUCACAUUUCUGAUAUUUUUUAAAAGAUAAAAGCAAUCACAUUCCUGGUAUAUUCAUAAAUAGGUUAAGGCAGUGAAAAAUUUUGAACCCUCUUGAAUAGUCAUAUUUUAACGGCUAAAAUUUUCCUCUUCCUUUUUCCCAUUUUAAGAUUUAGAAAUAUCCUGCAAACUCACUGAAUGUUGCUUGGACGAUUAAAACAUGAUGAUAACGAUUCUUAUAUACAGAUUCUUGAUACGCCCAGCCUUUUGUCUGAAGGCUCUAAAGGAGUGAGAAGGAACAUCUUCAAGGAAAAACCUCCACAGUCUGAUGCAUCCACGAGCAGUUGUUGCUGAAAUUGAUUCAUUGUCUCUAACUACAUUUGCUGGUUGUUUCUACAUUGUUGUAAAACUACAGUAGAGGAGCAUGGUGUUAUAGCUUUUAUUUGUCUCACUCUCACAAAUUACCUUACAAAUUGAAAAGGGUGGUUUUGUCUUCUUGCUGGCUUUCUUGUACAGGGAAAAAUUGAAAUGGAAAUAUAUGAUACAUGAUUUCAGUCUUUCUUGCUUUAAUUUAGUUGCUGUCCUCUGGACUUUUGUUUUGUUUCUAUACACUGAGUCAUAGAUUCAGUACGAUUAAAAGAUGAUUCUUGUUAAUGUAAGAGCUGGGGGGAGGGGGGUUGGGAAGAAGUGUCCCACCUGCAAGUGUUUAAUUGAAGGGCAUAUUUGGAUGACUUUUAAGGGGUUAUAAAAGGGUUCAAGGAAAAUCCAAAUAGGUCCUCAUCCGACUCAAGUGGGGUUGAUUUGAAGUCGAGUUGGGCUUUGUGACGGAAAGGAAGAACAACCCCGUUUGGUUGUAUAUGCAUAAAUUUAGCGAUCUAAUAAAUAGGAUCUUCUUUUACCGGUUACUCGUUUCUUUCACCGGUUCAUGGAAGGUAACCGCUAGAUUUGUUUUUUAGAUGGAGAAAUAAAAACCACUUGUUAGGGGCUUCUUUUUAUUGAACUUAUAAAGUUGGAGAAUGGUGUGACUAAAGGUAUCAGCUCGGUAUGUGUUUGUUACAGUCGAGACGUUAAUAAACUUAAAUUCUUGAAACGUUGAAGAGGUUCUUUUGAUUUCCUUUUAUGGAAGGUAUAUCAAGAAUGUAAAUAUUCUGAUUGAUUUGUGGAAACCUUUGAGUUCAUUAUGUAUGGUAAACAAAGUGAAUGUUGAUGGUAGUAGUAAAUGAGAUCAAAGUUUAUGAUAUGCUUUUCAAGAGAAGAAUGAUGGUAGUAGUGACCAAGAAAGAUCAAAGUUUAUUUCUCUCGUUGAUGCCGUAUAAAAAACAUUGUAAAAGUAGUAUGCUCCAAAAUUGGAAAAUAUAAGAGUUCUAUAAAAUGUUCUUGGCCAAGAAAAUGUGAAUAAAAAAUUCAAUUAAAUCGAAACAGUCCUUAAAUCUAUCAAAAUGUGAAAAAUUCUCAAUCUCUCACAAGUAUUGAAAACUCAAGGUUUUAAUUGAUGUUGGUUAGGUUCCUAAUAGUAAAUACUCUAGGACUCCGAUGUACAUCUUUAUGAUUAUGUUGUGUUUAAGGAAGAGAUUGAAAGACACAUACAAAAUGUAUCACCAACAAGGAUCAUCUAAUCCAAUAUGAGCCCUUACUUCAACCUAGUGUUGUUAGUCAAGAAAAAAAGACAUGAUUUGACGUUUUUGUGUUAUUAUAGAGCUUUGAAGGAAGCCAUUGUUCCACGUAGAUUUUCAAUCCUUGUCAUUGAGAAUUGCUAGAUGUUACAUAAGUCUUUCAUGUAUUAUAUGUUAGACCACAAAUUUGACUAUUUACAUCCAUAGAGGUUACUAUAAAUUUCUUGUGAUGCGUUUGAGUUAAAAAAGAACACUUCAACCACUUUUUAAUCUACGAUGAAUCAAAGUAUUUAUACAUGUUAUGUUUUUGAUAAAACGUCUUAUAGUUUUGUUUGAAGAUAUAUUGAUGUAUAGCCUCAACUUGAGACCCACGUAAUAUCCUCGGCCACAAUUUUCUAUUAGCAAACAUGAAAGAAAUGCAAGUGUGAGGAAAGUUGUGUGUGGAUCUAACUAUUCAUAAAUGGUUUGUGAAAGCAUUGGACGUGGAAACCAUUAAAAAAAGGUCAAAGAAGAUGAAUAUCUGUGUAAGAUUUGAGUGGAGUGGCACGAUGAUUCUCAAUCCCAACUUUUUUUUACUUUUUUUUAUUUGUCUUUGACACUUUUCUCCCUAAUUCUUCCCAAUUUUGGAGCAAUCUAGCUUAAUCUAGCUUAAUCUUUUGAAGAUAUUUGAAUCAAGAAUGAUGUUGCGAAUUUCAAAAAAUGAUAAAAUUUAGAUAGUUGUAAACUCUAAGCUAUGAGUAUAUAAUGUGAGAAGUUGACAAGACAUAAAAUUGAUAUAUUUUAGUCACGGACUCAAUAACUCUUUAGACCAAACAAGGAGUGUAGCUCACAAGUCGAAUCUUUCUAAUUCUCUCCUCUUCAUACCUUAACUUUUUGGCCUAAACACCUCGGUAAGUGCUUGCAUAUGUAUCGCUUUAUUUCUAUGUCACAUAUUAGACUCUUUCGACCACUACCCAUUAGUCCAUAACUAAUUUGAAAUGAUAUCUUUUAAGGAUUUCAUUGACAUGGGCUCCAUAGACACAUCACACAAAUGGAAAGGCUAAUUCUAUGUCUAAGACAAGGUGGCUCUCACCACCCGGGUAUUGUUAAGCUCUACUAGAAAAUAAGAUGUGAUUUGAAUUUAAAUCAAAGUUGAAAGAGAUUGUUACCUUCCCAAAUUGGUAGAAAUUUUGGUUGUAUUUUGUUUGAAGGUGAUCAAAAUAUCAAAAAAGAACCUUAGAUGUUCAUUCCUCAAGUGCUCAUAAAUUACAUUGAUUCAUCUUACAUAUUACACUUAGAAACAGGUCAUAAUAGCAUUUAAAUCUAAAUAAACAUAGGGAAGUAAGAAGAAUAAAAGUUCGAAAAUGAGAAAAAAAGAAAUACACAAUUUGAUUCCAAAAUUAUAUCUAAAGUAUAAGCAAUUUAGUAUGGAAAAUAUGAAAAUAAGGCUGAAGUUUUGCCACCAAAACAAACCAACAGCCAUGGGUUCUACAACUGCAAGACUGCUGAUUCCUCAUCUUCUUCUUCCCUCUUCUUCUUCUUCUUCUCACAAUCCAUCAACAAACACUCGCACCAAAUCUUCAAAACCCCUUUCAUUUCCCAACCAUAAUUCAUUACCAACCAGGCGUUUGUUGCUUUUCUCCCUCCCCAUAGCCACUGCCUUUCUUCUCCCAAUUCCGGGCAAUCCAAUUCAACCCAGUUCUUCCUUUGCUGUGGAGAGCUUUGACCCUGUCAGCCGUUCCGAGAAAGAUGCCAGUGCCGCCAUUUCACGAAGAGUAUCUGAAGCUGUGGAGCUUCUCGAUAAAGGCAGGGAGUUGCAAGCUCUUGGUGAUUUCAAUCAAGCUCUUCUCUACUUCACUCAGGUUUGUACUAAUUUUGCAUCUUCGAAUUCGUAGAUUUAACGUCGAGUCCCCAAUAAUUUAAACAAUGAUAAGUUAUAGAAUUGUUGAGGAUUGAUGCUUAGCUGAAUUUUUCCAUUCUUUAGAGUCAACUAAGUUUUAGAUGUAAAGUUCUUGUGAUGGACAUCGUGUUAUCAGAUAGCAAUGGCUUUUUUCCAAAAACAAAUUAACAGGAAAAUUUUCAGAAAAAUUAAUAUGCUCUGGAGUGUUGUUAGUUUAUGUUAUUGUAUCUAUAAAUCUAAAAUGUAUGUUGGACAAAGCAUAUCAACAAAAAGAAACCUUUUAGGAAAUCCUGCAUGCAGGAUCUGGUGCAUAAAAGUAAGGCAUAUUAUCCACAAAUGAUUUACUUAUCUGACUUUAUGGAUAAUUCCCCAAUAUAUUUUGGCGACCCAUUGGGAUGUUAUUAGUCUUUUCCACCCACAUUUGGUGUGAUUAUGCGAUUUACCUAGUUGGAAUUUUCAAGUCUUAAGCAUACUGAUGGGUUUUCAGCUGAAUGGAUUAAACCAUUUCUUACAAAAUGUCAAAAUCGUGAAGAUUUGUGGAAAGGGUACUUGUCUUUUUUGUUUUCAGAUAAGUUGUAUGUAAGGAACUUUCUUGUAAGACAUAAGAUCCACGUAUUUUUUAAGGCAGUUCUAUGAAUGGAAUUUUGGAGGCCCAUUUGGGUGUGGUUUGUUAGAUCCAUAUGUUCUAAUCACGAGUGACUUAACUUAACAACACAGUUCUGUCACUAUCCAGAUAGAAGAAUGAGAAAACUAUUAUGUUUUUCGUUUUUAAUCGUGUUUGAGACUAGGAUCCGCGGUGGAUCAUUAUAUUACUGAUCUUCAGAAAUAUUCACUACUUCAAUUUGGAUUUGCUGUAGGCUUCAAAACAUGCAACAUGAAAUUACUUUCUGAUUUCUAAACACCUGUCUCGCAUAGACAAAAAUUCUAUAGCCUCUAAAUACUGAGUGUUCCUGAGGUUCAGGUAGGGGGCGACAAAACUUUGAUUAUAAACUUUUUUUAUUAUUUAUUUUGCUGAAGAAAACUCAAAACGAAAAGUGUUUAGCAUGUGACGAGAAGACUUCAGAUUCCUUUCCCUUUGAAGCUCAUAUUCAAUCUGCACUCCUCAUUUAAUUGAGAGAAAUUAUUUAACUAUUGAUUUAUUUGUCAAGUCAACGUAUUUUGAGUGUUAGUUCUUAUUAAAAAUUUGAUUUUAGUUCUUUUCUAAUUUCAGGUAAUUGAUAAAUAUAAAGAUUUUGCUUUCUCGGAUUAUGCCCGAGUAGGCAGAGCAUUGGCCCUGUACGAGAUUGGUGACCGAGAAGAAGCCAUUGCAGAGAUGGAGGAUGUUUCCAUAUCAUUGAAGGGAUAUCCAGGUACUUGAAUAAAUUUUGCACAAAUUUUGGGUUCUAGACGUACAGAUUGAAGAGGGUAUCACGUAGAUGCAGUGCAACAACAGUUUUAGCUAGAGAAAGAGACUUUAACAUACAGUAUACAAGUACUUGAGAAUAUAUAUAUAUAUAUUUAAAUGAUUCUUCAAACAAUUUUCCUGAGGUAAAAGUUUAGUUAAAUUAUAUGUUUAGUUCAUAAAUUUUGAGGUUUGUGUUCAUUUUAGUUCUUUAGCUUUCAAUAGUCGGUUAAAUUUUAAAAUAAUUUAUUCAAGUAAAGGUCAAAAUUGCAACUUGAAAGUGAGAGUUUAAGAUGAAAAUGGAUGCAUAUUGUUUAGAGUUAAAAGUAGAUGGAUGAUUAAGGCUAUGAUGGCAUAAUUGAAUCGUGCCAAGGAGCUUGGAUGCAACGCAAAUAACUAUAGAUAUGGGUCAUGGAUGUGUUACCAACAUAAUUAAUGCCAUUUAAAAAAGAGUCAAUAGUAUGCACAGGAUAAUUUUAUACAUUCAUGGGUUUGAGGUAUGCAAAAGUUUAUUUAUUUUUAUGUUAUAUAUCUAUUUAGGAUGCUCAACCAGUGUUUGAUACAUAUCUAACAAAUGUGGACUAGUAUUUAUUUGUACAAUUAGUGUCAAAUGCAUUUAUUGUAGUUACAAGAGUUCUAUGCUUGUAUUCUUUCUCUAUCAUUUUCUGGUGUGGUUGGAUUUUGUAAAACAUCAUUGAAUGUGGAUUGAAAUUUUGACUGCUCUCUCGAAGCUAUGUAUAGCAAGCCACCUAGAAUCUAAAAGAUCAUAAUGUUUAACAGUAGUACUCGACAGUUGGUGUCUUUUCUCUUACAUUAUGUGGCCAUAAUGAAUCAUGUGUAGUACAUAGUACUUACUGGCAUUUAUGUACCGGUAUAUUGUUUUGCAGAAGUGCAUGCGGCAUUGGCUGCAGCUUUAUACGUGGAUAAGCAUGCUGCAUUGCUGGCUGAAAAUCAAUUCACCAUUGCAACCUUGCUUGAUCCUCACUAUGUGGAUAUCUCGUAUGUGAAAGAAACAAAGCACUGGCCUCCUAGUUUGAUCAGUUCUUUGCAACAUUUCUUAACACUUUCUUAGACAUUUGUAAUAAAAUAUAUACAGUUUCUGUCAUAAAAAACUCAAUUCCUUGUUUUGUAAGUGCACAAAAUUUAAUACACUUUAAACAUCCAUGUAAUUAUUAGUAGAAAUAUAGUUUAUGUUUACUCUCUUAUCCCCUUUGACUUGUAACAUAAAUUCAUUUCUUCAUUUAAACUUACCUGAUGCUCAUCCUCAUUCAUGUUCUGAGUCUAUUCAAUGCACCUUCUUUAUUGACGGAGGAUACAAUGAUGGUUUUGCUAGUUUUAUACCAUUGGAUAUAAGUAAGUGAAAUUACAAAACAUUUUUUGUAUUGGAAUCUUGAAUCUAUAAUUGAGUCAACUUCAUUCAUAUUUGUGUUAUUGAACUAAUCCUAGAAAUUGGACAGAAACUUUGAACACUUGAGCUGGAUAAUGGAUGUAUCAGAAUUGUCCUUAAUUAACCAAGGUUGAUUGACCUCUACAAGACAAUGGAAGUCACCAUUUAGGAAGGCUUUUCUUUCACGCUGAAAAGUCUUUGCUGUGACUCUGCACUCAUUUUUGUACUUUUAGUGCUUUCAUAUUAACUUUUUAAAUGGUGAGACCACAAUACUUUGUCCUAGAGUAACUAUAGGUCUUUAGUGGGUCCUCAUAUUAAUAAAAAAAAAAAAAAAUUGCUCUUUUAAUGCCAUUCUGGUGUUCAUAAAAUGCUUUCACACAUGGAAAUUUUCCCACUUCUUCAAGAAAGAUCACAGAAAAUAUUUUGCCACAAGUAACUUCUGGUUUGUAUAACCACAUCUUUCAAAUCAGCCUUCUCUUUCUGAUUUUUCAAUUAUUUAUAGUUUUGAUGGUUUUUUUGGGCAAGGUAAAGUCCCAUCAGAAGUACCUGCCAGUAAUUGCAACUAUUUUAGAAAGAUGCUGGGGAUUCAGAAUUCUGAUGUGCUCUCAUUCAUUCAAGCUAAAUGCCAUUGCUGACAGGCAAGCAGUGAAGUGCUUCCAGCAAAUUGAGUGGGCCAUCAAGCAUGUGCUUUGCCCCUGCCUUUCUAAAUCAUAUGCAAAUCUCUGCAGUUACUCAUACUAUUAUUAAGUUGUAAAGUAUUGAACACUUGUCAUGAUUAUUAAUCAGUUGUAUCAUGACAUUUACAGGCUUUCAAUUCUGAUGCUCAUAUUGGACAUGGGAGGCUUAUUUACACAUCAUCAAUGGCUCUGAUUGAGCCUCAGGUUCACUUAAUCCAAUCUGCUUUAUUGAUUUUCUUUUAUCAAAUCAAAUCAUACCAAAAUUUGGAUUGUGAACAUUUGAUUAAUGAGAAAGCUAGGUAUAUUAUAAUUAAAGUUUUUCCAAUCUGAAUAUAAUGAUACUGAAAUGCAUUUGCAUGUGAUUAAAAAUCUCCAAUGAGUGAAUUUUUUCUAUACUUGAUUGUGUACACUACUAGAUAUUUCUUCCAUAGCCAAUCAAUUUUGCUGGCUACAAUGUAAAGAUUCACAUUUGAAAGGGAAAAAAAAAGGUCCCAAAAGGGUUGAGGGAUAGAAUAUUAUUAUCACACAUUACAUAUUCCUUUUGUCCUCAACCCACUUGGAUCUAAGAAGCUUGAGUAGGAUUCUUGCCUUUGUUUUGGUUUUUGCACAACACUGACUUUGCAGAAGCAGAAGUAAUUGACUCAAAACUCCACCUCUAAUGGCCUUUUCUCUUGCCUCUACUGAAUCAUAACAUAAAAUUAUAAGUGAACUAACAGCACUUUCACUGCCUCCGUGAUCUGAUACUCUAAAAACCAUCUUCACAAUAACAUUUACACCAUCUGGAAUAUUUACCACUUCCUCUUUUGCACUUCUAAAUACCAAAAGUUUCUCAAUUGCUGCCAUUGCUUCUCGUGCAGAGCUUCUUUCUCUUUGUUGAGCAUUAGAAAUGUAUGAAAUAAGUCCAGUAACUGCACCUUCCACAACCAAAUUGUUGAUGUUUUGUUCCAAGUUACUUAGUGAACAUAUGGCUUUGGUUGCUGCAUCAGAUGCCUCUGAGUUGUGGUGUAGAAGUUGCACGAUUUCUCGUAAAAGCUCGGUUGUGUUUCCGAGUAAAACACUAAGAUCUUUAGUCUCAACUGAAGAUGAAAUUGCCUGAACCAAAUGACACAAACUGAUCUUGAUCAUGGAAGUGCCAUUACUGAACAAAACCAUGAACCGUGAUAGUUUUGACUCAUCCAUUAGCACAUUUAGGGACUGUAUCUGUUCAAGAGAAACCAUAGCAACCAUAAAACUAAGCGCUUGCUCUACAAAUUCCUGAUAUUCUUGUGAUAGUUUGGUUUCUUCUUGCCCAAAAAUCAACUCCAAAAGCACUGACAAGAACCCAAUUCGGAUCAAACAAGAAUUACGAGAAGGAAACUCUUCACAUAAAAUUCUAACUCUUUGAAGAACUUGUAGCUUGUAUUCAUAAGAAAACUCAUCAGAUUCAAGUUUGAUUCUCAAAGCAGCCAUAGAAUCAAUAGUAGAAACACAUUGAGGGUUUAUUUGGUCACUCAUCUGAAGCCACUGACAAAUCAAAUGACGAAGAGUAUUAUUAGGAACAAAAGAAGGAUCAUGAAGCUUCUGCAUUGUAACAGGACAUGUAAGAUUCCCUGAUGCCAACCAUUUCUCAAUGCUUGAUCUUUCAUAAGUUUGUCCUGUGCAAAGAGUGACAGGAUCCUUAAACAAAUCAAGACUUAUUGGACAUCUAAACAAGUGAGGGAUGGUCUCAUGAUCAUCAGCUUCUUUCAUGGAGAAGAAAAAGAAUAAAACUAAUUACAAAAACCAGAGAAAGAAGAGAGUGAGUACCCCCUAUUAGAAAUUUGGUAAAAAGAGAGAUGGAAAUGAAAUCUUUGAGAGAGGUGGAAUGAUAAAAAAGGAAGAUACGGUGGGAAAGUUUUCAAAAGAAAGAGAAAAAAGGGAGACCGAUUGAGUUCUUAAAGGCUUUUCUUUUCAAGUCACAAAAGAAGAACACAACAGUGUGAUAUUUGAGGAAAGGAAAAUGGAGACCCCAAAAGCUAAAAGGCAUAAAGAGAGAUGAAAAACAGGUAUAGAAAUUGGAAUCAGAUGGUAUAAAGGUGGAUUUAGAAAGCAAAAAAAGCUGAAGGAAAGAAAAGUAGGCAAAAUAUUAAGACUUAAACAGUGAGUUUCUAUGGGGGAAAAGUGUACUGAUUUUGGUCUGAGCUAAUGCUGUUUCACACUGGCAGAUAUAACGAAAAAAAAAGAUAAAAGAGUAUAGAUCAGAAGAGAGGGACAAAGUAGAGGUUAAUCCUAGUGAGAGAGAUGAACAAAGUAAAAUGAUAUGGAAGAAGUAUGAGAAAAAUUGGUCCCCAUUACUCUAAUAUAGAAUUCAGUCAAAGUGACCCACCAUCAAAUAAUAAUAAUUAUUAUUGUCUUUGAAGUUUGAAUCAACCCUCAUAAUAAGAAAAAAAAAUGGGGAAAAAAGGAGAAAAAUAAUGGGUCUAAUUCCCUGUGAUAGAGAGAGAGAGAGAGAGAGAGAGUUUUGACUAAGAAUUUUUCUUAUUCCUUGAGAUAUAGAUAGAGAGAGAGAGUUUGACUGUGAAAUGUUAAUGGUAAUCACAAUUAGAUUUUGAUGAGAAUUCUGAUCUCAAUUAUGAUUAUAAACACUCAUACCAAUCAUAUAAUGCAAAUCUAAACUGGAUAAUUCUCUAAUAUGUGUACUAAUAAAGGUGGCCUUUUUUUCCCCUAUGUUCAUACCUUUAAGAUCUUUCAAAAUUCAAACAAAAUUUGAAUUCUAAAUUUUAUAUAUUUUAAAAUUUUGGUUUUAUUUUUAGAAAUUGGAUAUGAGUUAAAAAGAAAAAAAAUAAACCCAAAAUUUAAAAAUAAAUAAUCGAAUAAUUAUCAAACGUAACCUACGAGAUCAUGUAAAUAUGUACUUAAUUACUUUAUUUGAAGUUGCAAUUACUUGCUUGAUCUAGGCCAUAAAUAUGACAUAGGAUGGUCUAACAAUAGCGAAUCUAUUUGAACAAUAAUCAUAUCAAUUAUUAAAAGUUGAAGCAGUUUACACAACAAAAUGGUAUAUUCUUUCCUAUAUAGACAUGAUUUAACGACUAUAGAUAUAAAACAGUGAAGAAAAGUCAGAAUAGAUGACUUUUACUCUUUAAAUUUUUAUUUUUUCUUUAUAAAACGUAGACCAACUCAAAUAUUUAACUAAAGGAAUAGUCAUUUAUUUGAAGGUUCUAAUUUUUUAAGAUAUAUUAAAAUGAAACUACAAAUUUCACCUACAUCCCAAACACAUGUAAUGAGCUAAUAUACAUAAAACAGAAAGAGAAAAAUCAAUUGACUCUCCCACUUUGAAUCGCAAUUAUUUAUUUUUGAUUCAUUUCUAUUUUCAUUUAGAAGUUGAAAAUUAUUUACAUAAAAUUAUUCUUAAAAAAUAUCACAAAAUCUCUCUAAACAAGUAAAUAAAAGUAGAGAAGGAUUAGCAAGUGAAAAGUUACUCAAAUUUGAUGAAAAUCACUCCUAUAUCUAUUUAGAUCCACGACUUUAAAACAAAAUUUUAAAUAAGAGUCUAAAUAAGUUAACUUAAUUAAAUUGAUAGAUAUAUAACAAUGGGUAAUUAGUAUAAAGUUAAAAAAGUUUUAAUUAAACUAAUACAAAGUCAAAAUUUAAAAGUAUAGAUUAAAUUUUGUAGUCCCUCUAGAAGUGAUGUUAAAUGCGCAACAUCAUUCAAGUAAUUAAUCCACUUAGAAUCCAUAGUUUUUGUUGAGUAGAGAAGUCUUCAACAAUGGAAUUCCAUCACAAACUAAGAACCUUUUUUGUAACAAAAAGAGGCCAAAUUUAAUUUGUUCACGUAAAGUGUUACAAAAAAAAGUCACUCAAUUUUAUAUUAUAAAUAAAAAGAAAGAAUGGAAACUACCAAAUUAUGGAUUAUACCUGAUUAUGGAUUCAAAUAAAACUUUGUCUCAUAUAUAUAUAAAACUUAUAGCUUAGCUUAUAAGUUUACUUUAGAAAGACUUCCACAUUUUGCUUCCAAACCGUCUUUAAAGUUGAGGGACCUAAUAUUCAUUAUACAAAAUUAAAAGUCAUGAUAUGUAAAUAAUUAAUAAGGUCGUAGUUGUACAAUCUAUAAAACAUAUGUCAUAUUUGAAUAAUUAAACGGUCAAAGAUCGAGGAUGAUAAUGAUGACGAACUAAGUUGAUUCAAUGAACAUGAUACUUUUAUAUGUAUAUUCAUGUUAAUAUGAUGAAAAUUGUUGACAUGAACAAUAUUUGAAAUGUAAGAUAUUUAUGAUUUAGACUAGUUAACAAUGAAAUGAUGAAAAAGAGAAGGAUUAUAAGUUUUGAAACGUUACAAAAACGUUGGUUGAGUUAGGUCAUAUUUUGAAUAGUGUUGAAAGGAUGAUGUUUAAGAUUGAAUGCAUGCACACCCACCAUAUUUAUUUGAAGUGUGCCGGCCAAAGGCAUCAUCACAAAAACACAAAUUAAUUCUAUCAACACUUUGACUUUUUGACUCUCAUUAUAUACACCAAACUUCCCCACCUCAUGACUUCCUAAUGUUUAGUCUAUUUUUUCCAAUAGUGUGUUAUGGGGAUGAUCCAUUGCCCAUUAUGAACGAAGGGGUGAUUCCAAAUUCUCUCCAUAGUCCCACUUUUAUCAUACGACUUUCAAACGUGGAUCAAACUUUAGGUAUUUGUGUAAUGAUGUCAACCAUAUAUCGUGUCAUUUCAUUGAGGUUUUAAGUCUUAUUUGUAGUCGUUUGUCAAAAUUCUAGAAGCUUUUUUGUGACGGUAUUGUGUGAUUAUAUUAUAACAUCUAGAGGUAUAAUAAUUUGUGUUUGAAGUCAAGCAUAUAGAUACAUACACAAACAACUUCUCUAACUUCAUAAUAUUGGACAAAAGUAUAUAUCUAAAAGUGGUAUUUGCAAAGUAUAUAGAGAACAACCCACUAAUGAUACAAAAAGUAUUUUCAAAUUAGACGAUAAGAGUUCAAGAUGAAGGAAUCAUCAAAGUACGUUUAUCGAGAUCAAAAAACUUACGAUAUACUAAAAUAAUUUCUUAUAUAUAUAUAACAUGAGUGGAAAAUGUAUAAAUCGUUAGAAAAAUUUCUCAUUUUAUUCUCUAAUAUUAUGCAUAGUUUUUUGUUUUAAGCUUUGUGAAGACCCAUAAAAUGUAUUACAUAUACUUAAACACAUGGUUGGAUUGACAAAAAAAAAAAGAUGUUUUAAAUAAAUCAUUUUCAUCCAAACACUUUGUAUAACAACUUAGUUAUACUUAAUUACAUUCUUGAAGACAAAUUUGUUAAGUCUGACAUAAUCAAAGUGGAUGGUUGAUAUCUAUAGUUUCAAAAAGAAAAAUAAAUAGCAAAGAGAAAGUACUUGUGAAUUAAAUCAAAGCAAUGAGAAUGGUUAAUUAAGUAAACCAAUAUCCACAAAAGGUAAAAGACCAAGUUCAUUUCCCUUUCAAUGUUUACAAUAUUUUACACCCAAUUCUUUUAAUUUGAUAAAAAGGAAUUCAAAUGUCAAAAAGGAUAGUCAAGAAUAUUUUAGCUUUAAUGUUCCCUCAAGAUUAGGUAAGUUUGGCCAAAAGAUAUUGGAAGAGAGAGAGAGAGAGAGAGAUAUCCAAAGCCACAAAAAGACAAAUAAAUGAGCAAAAUACACAAACUAUUCAAAAUAAUAUUUUUUUAUUUUCUUCUUCUCUUUAAAAAUGAAGAAAAUGAACUUUGAACUUAAUCUUGUCGGCUUCUUCAAUACUUUAAUUUGAAAUUACAAUAUUAUUUCUUUUUAAAACAACUAUUAAUUAAUAAUCUUUUGUUAGAGACUUUUAUCUAAAGAAAAUAAAAUCUUUUAUUGGACUUUGUUACAUUCCUUACUUUGUACCCAACAAUUGUUUGAAGAUAAUAAACUAAUAGAAAUGUAAACAAAAAUUCUUACAUUGAUCCAAGAAAAAAGUGAUCGUGGAUAUAUAUAAGCAAUUAUUUGUAUUGAUAAGACUUCUACAUAUGGUCAUGAUUUGUGAAGUUGAAUGUAGGUAAGAAAAGGAAUGUAUAUAUAUAUUUCACAAGUUUUUUCCCUAGGUAGCCACUUUAGGUCAUUUUUAAAUGGGUACUAUUGGUAUAAAUUUUUAAGAUAUCGAUCCUUUAUUUUUUUAGUUUUAGUAUACAUUCAAGUUUUAAUUCCUUGAUCAAAGUGAGCUUAGUUUAACGGUAAUUGAUAUGACUUUCUAUUUUAGAGAUGUGAGACGUUCGAAUCUCUCAACCUUCAAUUGUUGUACUAAAAAAAGUUUCAAUUACUUGUAUAUAUUUCACCUCAAGCUUUAAUAAUUAUUUUUAUUCAUUUAGUAGUAAUUAAAACUUUAAAGGGAGAGAUUAUAAAAAGAAAAUUGAUAGGGAUUGAUUUAUUUUGAUGCAUUGUGAUAAAUUGAAUUAAUAUUUUUAUCGACGAAUUGUAAGUAACGCCCUCGAACAAAAUUUGUAGAUCCAACAACUGGCUCGAUUAUAGUCCCAUUUUGAAGUUAGGUUUCACGCAAUAACAUUUGCAUAUAUUCUAAUAUACUCCUCGUUGAAACUCAUGGAGAGAUAAUCAUUUUUACCUCAUGAUAUGCUCAUAUUUUCUUUGUCAACUCAUCAACGUGGAAUCCAUAUCUCUAUGCAUAUUGUAUAAUUAACUUACCAAUUAUACAUUUCAUUCUUCACACACACGCACACUAAAAAGAAAUCCAAUGUAAUUUUAUUUCCAUGCUACUAUUCUAGGCAACUUUUAAGUAGUUAGUCAAUACUUAAUUAGCGGUAAUUUGAUAUGAUCUUCCUUCUAUCUAUUGUACUAAAACGCAAACUUUUAGAUGGUUAAAAGUUGUUAAGUGUUUAUUGUGAAUUUUUUGGUCAAAUUUUGGUUGAAACAACACUUCAUAUAUUUUAUAUAUGUGUGUGAUCUAACUGUUGGGUUGGCCAUGCCCAUGCUCUAGAUGAACAUUAUUUAUAAUGAGCCCUCAGUCCAUGUAAUAUUCCUCCAAUUAAAUAUUAUAAACAUGAUGAGAAAAGGGAAAAUAAUAAUAAUCCAAGACAAAAUUAAAUGAGGUUUAAUAAUUAACUAAGAUUAUAUAUUGGAAAUUCAAAUAUCAUCUAAACUCAAAUACAUCUCAUCCAAAUAAGAAAGUUCACUUUCAUCAUCAUCAUCAUCUUCCUCAUAACAAAACAUACUUCUUCCAAUAAUAUUAUUGUUUUCUUUUGCUUCAAAUACUCUACAUACAACCCAUAUUCCAAACUCCUGUUCAAAUCACAACACAUACAAUCACCUUAAUAAAUCAACCCAACAAUAAUGUUUAAAUUAAAUAACCUAACAAUUCGAACAAUCUAGACUAUCCAAUCUAAAUUGUAUAGACUAGGUUAGGGUAACCCAAAAUUUAGAAAAUGUAACCAACAACUCACUCUAAUCUAACUCGAAUUUUAAAGAUUUGGUUCGAUUGGGUUGAAGAUACAAUCAUUUUGGGUUGCCAAUUUGGUCCAAAAACUUUCCAUAAUCCAACUCAAUCAACCCAUUUACCUUCACCUAAUUAAUCUCUAUACACAAUUAUAAAAUAUACCAUCAUUCAACCACUACUACAUAGUUUUAUGUUUUUCUCUAUUUAAUUUAAUUAUGCUCUUAGGAAAAUACAUACACUAGUUAAGUUUUUUUUCUUGAUAUGGAUUGUAUAGUUAUAUAAUCUUGUAUCUAUUCAGUAUUUGAACUUUUGGAUUACAAUUUAUGUGAACCUCCAACUUUAUCAAAUAGGUUAUUGAUUUUCUUUCAACUAUUUUUAUAAUUUACAUACCUUAGUGAUCGUAAAACAUUAAUAAAGCUUGAAGUCUAGAUUUGUUAUUAUUUUUAAAAAAUUUAAUAUGUCGUGAACUUAUUAAAUACAAAAUCUAAAGUUUAAAGACACAUUUAAUAUUUAGGAACCCUUUUACCAAACUUUAAAAGUUUAAGAGAUAAAUUUGUAAAUGAAUCUGCAUCCAAAUUAUCUAAAUACUUUUUUGGUUUUUUAAGCUUUUAAAUAUGAUUUUCAUUUUGGUCCUUAAAAUUUCUACUUCCGUUCCUAAGCUAUAAAUUUAGUUUUUAUUUGGUGAUAAUACUUAUCUAAAUUAAAAUUUAAAAAGUUACAUUUUGCCAUUGUGUUUGAGUUUUUAUUUCCAUUUAGUCUAUAAGCUUUAUAGUUUUAUACUUUUACUUAAGAUAGUAAAAAGACCAUAGUACCAAAACUAGUAAUUUCACAUAUAUUUUUUUAUUUAAUAAAAAAUUAAGUACUAAGUGCCAACUAGAAUGAACAUAUACUUCAUUUAGCAAAAAGUUUGUACUACAAAUUUCAAGAUUAGAACUUUAUUGAUUAUUCACUCCACGUAUUAUUUUUCUAGAAAAACACCCGCCAUACCAAUUACUUUGUCUGAUUUUGAGGGGAAAACAUGGUGAUCGAAUCUAUAACGAAAUGAAAAAGUGUAAAAUGAAAGAAAACGAAAAACGAGAAACAAGGAAAAAUAGUGAAAAUGUAAGAUUCUUGAGUUGUUUCACUUACUGAUUUUGUUUGUGAUAGAUUAUUGUUGUUGUUUUGAGAUGGAUGAGUAUGAUCAUGAGUGUUCAAAAGGUAGUUGUAAAUGUGAUACUCUUGCAUGACCCAACUUGUUUGAAUGGGUGUUGGUGAUUCAUCAUCUUCUUCUUGAUCACCAACAAAGAAAAUAUGAUAUUUUUUGAUACCCACUUCAUCCCCAUUGGCACCGCAAAAGAUUGGUUCAUCCAUUAAAACAUCUUUCCAAUAUCCACUCUCUGUUGCUCUACUUUCUCCCACUCUGCUGAAAAAGUAAUGAAUGUCCCCAUUUGACAGUGUUUUACCUGUGAAACACAAUAAAAUUUUAACUUUAAAAUAUGUGUUUUGGUUGUUUCAAUUUGGUUCAUAUAGAUACAAAAUUUAUAAAUAUAGAACUUUUACUUUUCACUUAGUAUUAUUGCUCUCGAAUUUGAAACUUAAAUGAAAACUAAAACAAAAACUCAAGAAACAAAAACAUUUUAAGUUCUAAUGAAGUCUACAAGUUUUAGAGAAGAUAAAACAAACUAGAAUCAAUAUUUACUUUAAAGGAAAACGUAAAAUAACACACACAUAUAUAUAUAAAUUUUAAAAGCAAGAUCUUAUGCUCUUCCAAUGCUCCUCAUCAAUCUAACUUAAAAGCUAGCUUGACUUCUUGUACCUACUGCAUGCAUAUAUAGCUAGCUAUAUUGUUCUUCGCAUAAUAAGAGAAAAGAUAGAGGGGGGGAGAGAGAGAGAGAGAGAGAGAUUAUGUAUAUAUUAUAUUAUACCAUGGAAUUGCCAAGGGUUAUAGAGAUGAAGCUGAAGAUGAGGAAUAAUAAUGGAAUUGGAAAAACGAUGAUGAGAGUUAGCUUUGUGAUAGAGAAAGUGAAGCACAAGGUCUUCAUCAGUUGGGCAGAAUCUAAGACCAGGAGGCAACAGAUUUAAGCUAUUAUUUCCACUUAUCCCACCUUCAUCCAUAUUAACAAACUCAAUCAUAAUAAUAUAAAUAACAAAUACACAAUAAUAGUAUUCUUUUCUUUUUUCUUUUUGAGGAGGUAACUAGGUUAAGGCCUAGUAGGUUUUAAUGGAGAAACUUUGCACCACAUUUGGCCUAUUUAUAUAUAGAAAUUAAAUGCAUAUAUGAAAUUAAAUUAAAUAUAUAUUUAAGAAGAGGAUAAUAUUAGUGCAUAUAUGUGUUUUGUUUCAUUGAUUUAAUAAAGGCAUUUUUUCCCAACACCAUGCUUCCUUGACCCACACUUUUGGAAUGAAAACAAAAUCAAAAGUAACUUUUUCUUUUGCUUUGUUUUUAUUGUAAAAGAGACACAAAAAGAAAAAUAAAGAAAACAGUAACUACUACUUUAUAUGGUCUACUAACACCAACUUGUGAUCAUAAACUUUAGGUUUAGCUUACAUUUAUAUUUUAUUUAUUAGGUAUAUGGUGCUAUAAGAUAAUGUUUAAGUUAAUGAUGGAAAAUUAUUUUCAACCAAAAGAUGAAAUUUUCAGUACUUUUUUGGGGGAGAAGUGACAAAGCAAUAGCAAUUAAAUGUUGUAAUUUUGUUUUAUUUAUAGAAGCAAUGAAUUAAUGGUAUUUAGUGAGAGUGAAAUGGUGUGGAUUGCAAAUGGAUGAAAUGAUAAAUGGGUAAUCAAUCAAAUCUGAACAUAGUGGGUGUCGUUGUUUGAUGAACUACUGCCUAAAUCAUUUUGUUUAAUCUAAUGCAUAAUUACGUUUAAAUUAUUCCCUCUCUUUGAUUAUUGACUUCACCAAUAUUUCUACCAAACAAAAAUAGAAGAUGAGAUGUAUUAAUCCACUAAAUGUUCCUUUGGAUUUUAAAGUCUCUAUCUAGUACAAUAAUAAUGACAAUUAUAUAUGUAGAGAGAAGAGUCACACCCUAACAAUUUAAUCGUGAAAGAAAUUAUUAACAUUUUGGGAUAGAUUUGAAUAAUGUUAAAUAUAAUCAUCAAUAUUGAUCCAAAAACUUAAGUUAAUAAGUGCACGUUCUAACGUUCAACAUUAUUAAUAUGAAUUCCUUAGGGUUGCUUGCUCAUGAACAUUUUGUAGUAAAGGAUCUUUCCAAAGAAAAAAAGAUUUGAGAGGUGUGAGAAUUGAUUAUAUAUUAAAGAUGAAAGACAAUUAUCAUAUAUUAAAAAUACUUAGAAUAUUGAUUGAUUUACAUAGUAAAGACAAGAUUAUCAAGGUAUUAAAACACUAAUAUAUACCUUCAAAAUUCCCAAUAAAUCAUACCAAUAUACACAAACAAACAGGAUGAAACGUUAGUUGACUCACCAAUUGAUCAAAAACUACUUUAAGUUUUUUUUAAAAAAAUAAGUAACAACAAAAAUAAAUAUAAAAAUUAGUAUAUUAUUAGAUUAAAAUACUUUGUGAAAGGGAUCUAAUAAUAAGUGGUGACAAAUAUAUUAUUUUAUGGAGUGAUGUAGAAUCAAAUCUAAUGAAGCCCUUAAAAUUAAUAAACACUCACGAGAUCGAUCAUUCAUUGUUUAUAAAAAAUACAUCAUCAUUGUUUAUAUGAAAGCAACUUCUUUCUAUUAUUUUUUAUUCUCCCAUCUCAUCAUUUUGUUGGAUGGGAUCUUAACACAUAUAUACAACAGAUUCUGCCAAUUAGAAUAUCUAUAUAGUUCUUUGAAAACAAAACAUAUAAUUCUAAUCCAAUAUAGUUGACAGACAAGUUUUACCACUCCAACACAAUUUUUUAUAUUAGAAACUUUGGUAACACUCUACUCCCUGUUAUGAUCACUUUCCUACAUAGGAGAAUAAACAUGUAUUUAUGCGUGCCAUUUAGUUGCAUUCAAAUUUUCUCGUGAUAGUUGUUCUUUAUUUUAGAAAUUCAAUUGUCCUAUACAUUGAAAUAGUUUAUAGAAAUGAUGGGUUUCAAUAUGCCUUUGGUUUCAAAUCAUCCUAAUUAGAAACACUUUUAUAAGUUUGAAUGUGCUAAUUAAUUCUUGUUAAAUUCUCUUUUGUAAUUUUAGUUUUGAGAGGUGAGAUUAAAAGGUGUGAGUAAUACUAAAGUUUUGAGAGAGUGUUCUUGUAAUUGAGAUUGGAAAAAGAACUAUUUAUAUUAUGUGUGAUAUAUUAUAACAAUUUUCACACGGUAAACUUCUUUUUAGUUAGUAGGUCAUGGUUUUUUUCUAGGUUAAGAGAUUUUCGUGUAAGCCUUGUGUUUUCUAUUAUUUUCUUUUAAUUUCUAUAUCAUCUUUCUACUUAUUUUGUCAAAGAGAUGAUAGAUUUUUUUUUUCUUCUAACAAUUGGUAUUUCAUAGCCUUAAAUUCAUAGUUUCUUGAAUGUUUGAGUAUACGUUUUAUAGUUACCGCACUAUUUAUAUACUUUCAUGUCACUAUUUAUAUACUUUCAUGUUAGAAAAUCGUAAACACUAAACAUUAAACGUAUUAUGAAUAUUGUGAAUUGGUUCACGCUACUUAUAAAUUAUUUAGAAGUGCAGCAAAUAUACGUUAAUUAGGUUUAUAAGGUGAAUAUGAAAUUUGUCAGUAUAGAAAUGAACUCAACUAAGGAGAACAACUUCAACUUGUACUGAUCAUAAUUGUAUUAUGAAUUAUACAUGAGAAUAAAGAGUGGUAAGUGCAUUGGCCUAAUAUUAUUAUGCAUGCUUUGGUUUAUCAAAAGCCAUAUCAUUACGUUACAACUCAUUAGGCUAUUCAAAAUGAUUCCCAUUUAUUGUUUUAGUUGAGAGGUCAUAUCUAAAAGCAUUUUGAAGGAAUAAUCUCAACCACAAAAGCGAAGCCACUUUUGUGCUUAUCCCAAUACAAAAGGAAAGAAAAACACUUUGCAAUUGCAAUUGAGUUGCAACCCAACUCUUUUCCCAAUAUUAUCUUAUUUAUUUAUUAUUAUUAAUUAGUUAAGUUUGAAUGCAACUUGUUUGUAGUUGCAAACAAAUACUAUAUUAUUUGGCAUUUGUUAUAUAUUUGUUUUGAUAAUCAUUUAAACUAUUAGAACACAGUUCUAUACAACUAAUAAGUGAUGAUCACCAUUAGACAUUUAGGAGAGAUUUGUAGUGCGAAAGUUUAAGAACCUAUAGUUUAAAAAUGGUAAUGUAUAGGAAAUCUACAAUUCUGGAGAUAACUAGACAUAGUAAAAAAUUUAAGAAUCUCUAGUUCCUUUACAAUUAUCAUGAUUAUAUGUAUAUCUAAUCAUCCAAAUUAGUUCUAGAGUAGUACUUAGCUUCAAUGUAUAACUAGUAUUAGUCCACGUGAUAUAGCAUUAGAUCAAUAGUUUAGUGCUUUUUCAAAGAAAUUAAAAAUGGUUGAUAAGAGACGAAUAAAUUGAUAGAUAAUCAUAACUAUUAAUUUUAUUUCUUGCUCCUUUUUUCUAACCACCACUCACUUUAAAAAUUGACAUAUGUUUCUUUUUCGAUAUAGACAAGGCAUUAUUAGUUCAAUCUAUAUAUUUAAGUUAGCAUGGUUUAUUCUUAACUCAAUCAUAUAAACAUGGAAAUAAUCUUUCACCCUAUACUUACCUAGAAAUUUAAUUCAUAUUAGUACCUAUAAUAUAGGUAUUUCAAAAUCAAUAAAGGGAAGAAUAAUGAAUUGAAAAUCCCAUCAUUAGUUCAUCUUGUUUUCAAUCCUUACAUAAAAUUGACACAAUAUCCUAGCAUGCAUUUAAUCUUUCUUAUUGAUUUUAAAAGUCUAAUUUAUUUUAUAACAUUUAUAAAAACUUUUAGACUUAAUCAAUCAUUUUAUCAAUAUAUAACCUUAUAAAAACAUUCAAUUAAUAUGGAUUUUAAUUUAUUUAACUUUAAUUAAAUCAUAUUUAAUUUUAAUUUAAUUAAAUCAUAUUUAAUUAAAUUAAAUCAAACAAUAACUAAUUAAUUUGAUUAAAUCAUAUUUAAUCAAGAAUAACUUAAUUAAUUAAUCAUAUUAAUUAAUUUCCAUAUUAAUCAAUUAACAUGCAUACAAUACAAUAUAACAUUUAUAUUAUACAUUUUAAUGCAUGAACAUGUUAACCUAUGGUGGGAUUUUAAAUCUAUAUGACAUUCAAAAUGCACAUACAAAUUUAAAGUAAUUUAAUCAUACAUCACAUGCAUAAAUAAAAAAACACCCUAAAAUGGACUGAUUUUUGGCUCCUAAAUUAAGUUAAGUACUAAAUUAUUACAUAAUUAAUUUGGUGUAGUACAGAACCACUCCCAAAAACUUCGAACCGGCUGAAAAACUAACCGAAACCCCUUGAACCGGCCCAAAAACCAAAUUUAUUGGCUUGAACCGGCCCAAUUAACUAAACAGGCCCAGGCGCACACGGGUCGGGCGCAGGCGGGCGCGGCGGGACAGGCAGGAGGGCGCGCGGCGCAGGAGGGCGCACGGGCGCAUGCGGGCGCGCGGCACAGGCGGGCGCGCGGGCACAGGCGGGCGCAGGAGGGGCGCGCGGCGCGUGGGACGCAGGCGGGUCGCGCAUCGGGUCAUGACCGGGUUUUCGGGUCUGUGACCUUCUUUUCUUCAUUUUUUUUCAAUUCUCUCACCCGGUUGAACCCGUUACAGCCUAACUUCAACUCUAAUGACUUUUUUAGUUUUUAAAAAAUUACAAACACUUUGCAACAAUAAAAAUAAGCCAUUAACAAGGCUAAUUACAAUAAUUAGAACAAAAACACUUAAUCUAGAGCCAAAUUCAUAAUAUAUCCAUUUUAGUUCAAACCAAAAUUUAUCUAAUAAAUAUGAACCCACCACAUACAAUUGGGUAAAAAUGAAGCAUGCUCUGAAACCACAUGUACCAACUUGAUCACCACAAGUCCCAACUUGAUCACCACAAGUCCCAACUUGAUCAUUGAUGGUACUUGUGGUGAUCAAUGAUCAAGUUGGGACUUGUGGUGAUCAAGUUGGGACUUGUGGUGAUCAAGUUGGGACAUGUGGUUUCAAAGCAUGCUUCAUUUUUACCCAAUUGCAUGUGGUGGGUUCAUAUUUAUUAGAUAAAUUUUGGUUUGAAAGUAAUGGAGAUAAAAUGGGAUUGGAAGGUUUCUUUUUUCUUUUGUUGAGAUGAUGAAAAUGAUAAAAGAGGCAAAAGUUCUUCAACAUUUGAAAACACCUCUAUUUAUAACCUAAUUACAUGCAAAAAUGCAUGUAAUUCAUUUGCCAAAUCUCAACACCUAAUGUUCCACUAACAAUUAGUGGGCUAGGUGUCUAUAUCUCAUAUAGCCACAUAUCCCACUAAGAGUUAGUGGGAUUAUCCAACAAAAUGUUGGAUUUUUCCACUAACUUAGUCCAAGGGUAAAAUGGUCAUUAGAUAUUUCUAGUCAAAAGUCAAACUUUGACUUUUCUAAGUCAAAAGUCAAUAUUUUGACUUUUUACCAUUUUGUCCGUCUUGACUAAUUCCAACCUCCCGAGCAUGAAUCCGCAUUCAUUUUUCCAAAAUUCAAAUCACAUUUGAAUAUAAGGCCGGUCAAAGUUUGACCUUUUCAAAGUCAAAAGUCAACAUUUUGACUUUUUACUAUUUUUGACCAAUUCCAUCAAUUCUGAGCUUCUUAGUAUGAAUCCGCAUUCAUACUUAUAGUAUGUAAAACAUAAAGCUCUAUUUCUAAUUAGAAGACCGACGACUAUAUCACUAUAUUUGUCGGUUUCCCUUUCUUCUCCCAAUUCGAAACAAUUCGAGCUUAUUUCAUCACACUGUUCUAAGUUUAAUCCAUAUGAGCUAGCAGAGGAACCUAAUGGACCUAUAGAUCAUGGGCUCCAACGAUUCAAGAUUAACUAGCUAAACUCUUUUAAACCGAGUUAAUCAACAUUCGUUAACUAACGGGUCAUUCCACUAAAGUCCCGUAGUUGCACUCCCCUCACUAUAGAUAUAUUUGUGUCCAUUUGAUAAAACCAUAAUCAGUAAGUUAAUCCUUCACAGGUUGCUCGUAACCUUGGCUGGGUCAAAAUACCGUUUUACCCCCAAGAUUACAUCUUGCUCCUUAAGUCCCACUAAUCCACUAUUGAACAAUUGGUUUAAGGUUCAACCUAUAAACUUAAUCCCUCUCGGGCCAAUGAGAGGGUGGGGCCCCUUGUUCAAGACUUGGAUUCAGUGCUUAAGAGAGCAACCUAUCUACUAACCCUAAAGCGGGUAGGAGUGAAUUCCAUCUUGUACCCUAUGUUCCCAGCUAUCCACCGAUCUUACCCCUGAAAUGGGAGGCUUAUUGGGCCAACGCUGAUGAGCUGCCCUCACCUAUGCAGAUCUAAGGAUAAUCUCGUGUGAACAGGAGUUCAUAGUUAACUCAGGAUUAAGACUAAGUUACCUAGGUCAUCAAUAAUUGAGAUAGUCAGUUUUAAACAGUAAACGGUGUUAUAACGUAAAAAUGACUAAUUCAUGGUUCAGUCUUAUGUAAACAUUUUACAUAGGAUGCCCCCACUUUCAUGUCUCUACAUGAACGAUUAGGAUCACCUCGUUUGUACUACAAAGUGGGCCGCAUCCAUAGUUUCUCUAAAUAAGGCGCCCAACCUUUAUUUCAUAUACUAUAGACUAUUUAGGCUAUAUACUCGAACUUGAUCCACGUUUAUGUUUACACAUAAAGUUCAAGUUUAUUCAAAAAAUAGCCUUGGAACUUGAUUUAUUGGAUUUAAGAUUAUAAUAUUUAAUUUCUCAAUAACAACUUUAUUGAACAGAAUAUGAUUUACAAACUACGAGUUUUAGGACAAAAAAUUCCAACACUAAAGAGGUGCAAGAUAAAAAUAAAACAAUUAAACCCUUCAAAAACAAGUUUUGGGAUAAAAAAAAUGAGUAUGUGGCAUCACUGGUCACUUUUUGUGGAAAUUUUUUUCAAUAUUAUUCAAAAUGAGACUAUCUAGUAGUCAGAUUUGAAUUUUCGAUACUUUUCACAUUGUUCUAAAUUGGGUCGUUUCUUUGUAAGCUAUAGCAUGGACAUUUUUAGAACCGUUUUGGGUGCUACCAUAAUACAUCACUAAGGAGCACCAGUCUCGACCAUUAUGCAAUUUUCUGUGUCAUAGAGUAAUGCAAAAGAUAGGAUGUCGCACUUAUCAACCCACAAUCAUUGAGUUAAAGAGGUGCAAGAUAAAAACAAAAAAAAAAAUUAAAAUAAACGCUUCGAAGACAAGUUUUGGGACAAAAAUAAAACAUGAGUCUUAGAGCAUCAUGGAUCAGGUUUUAGUUUUUGUGGGGAAAAAAACUUUAAUAUUACUCAAAAUGACACAAUCUAGUAGUUAGAUGUGAAUUUUCGAAACUUUUUAACAUUGUUCUAAAUUGGGUCGAUCCCAAUUAAUUUUCUACUUUGUAACAAUGUUUCAUUUAUGUCAAUGGUUAGGUUGGAACAAGAUAUAAGCGUUAGGUAUGAAAACGGGUCAUGUUUGUUUAUUUUUCUAGAAAAAAAAAAUUGACAUAAUCCAACUCAAAUUUGGUUUCACAAAGAAGUUGUUCGACUUGACUCGGAAAAAAAUUAGAAACAAAGAGGAAGACCUUGAACAACCUAAAUUUGAUAGAAUUUAGGUAAUGAAAAUGAUUUGAAGAUCCAUGAAUGUGAAGGGCAGCUCAAUUAGAUAUGAAGUACAUAAUGAUCAUGUUGAUUAUUAUUGCAUGCAUUUAGGUUUGAAAACCAUGAAGUAUUGAGAAAACAUAAAAGUGAAAUUCAAAGUUUAAUUUGGAUGAUUGGAUGUUUUUGUUGAAUAUGAUUUGGGAUAGACACUAUUUUUCCACCUCUCUUAAUUCAUCAUUCGCCAAAUGGCUACACAAUUAUAUACAUCCAAUAUAUAAGAGAUAUAUAAUGAUGAACAAUGUUUCAACUUUAAUUAAAGUGAUGGAAUCAUGGAAAUAUAUGUAAGAACGAUGAGUUCGCAUGCCAAAUUGCCAUAAACCACUCCAUCUUCAUUGAUUUCAUAAGUUAUAUGAUAACCUUUUCUUUUUCUGUUUUUCAUUUUUUACUAUAGAUUUUUUAAAUUAUUAAUUUCAUUUUUCGUUUUCAAUUUUUGAAAAGAAUAAACAUUAGUAAGAUUGAAGAUAAACCCAAAUAAACAUUGGCCCAACAUAAGAUAAAACCCCAUUAUUAGCAAAAUGGGCUCAUAUGGGCUGUAAGCUUAUAAGGGUAACUACCCACGUGGGUCAUGUCUAUCGUGCGGUCAGCCGUCAACUCCAUAAUGGGUUGGAAUCUUUUUGGAUCUGGGCUAAUUGGGCCAAUUGGGUUUGCUCCAUUUAUCUUUAAAGCUAUGUUUGCUCCAUUUGAGUCUUGCACUCAUCCGUAUAACUCCAAAAGGCACUUGAGGCUUCUAAAGCUAGCUAGAUUUUCUCUAUCAAUAAACAAACUUGAAGACAAAGUUAGUAAAUUGGAUUAAGUGAUUUUAGUUUCAUUAGAGUGACCUAAAGUAAAAAAGUAGGAGAUGAGAUCUUCUGGUUUAGGGAUACACAGAGUCGUCCUAAGAUUGAUUUUGUGGAGUGAGUGGGCAUCCCAUUGGGUUUAACCAAACAACAUCUAGAGAUGUGAGAAAGGGUUGAAAUAGUUGGAUGGAAGAAAGAGAGAUGAAUGGAAAGGAAGUAAGUAUUCACGGGGUAACAAAAGUUUGAUAUUAUUAAAAAAGAAAAAGAAAACAAAGAGUUGAAAACAUGGAAAUGAGUUGUAAGGAAGGAGUGAUGGAAAAGUUUGGUUGGGUACCCAUUGACCACAAAACAAUGGUUCACGGGUGCCUUUACACUCUCUCACUACAUCCUUUUUUUAAUCACACAUUCCAACAAACACUAAGGCCAUUUUUCUUUUAACAAACAUAUACAAUUUACAUUAUUGAUAUCUUUUCAAUAUUUAACACAAUAUUAUAUAUAUAUAUAUAUGAAAAUUUGUAUGGAUGAAAAAUGAAUCAUAACGAAAUCAAUUUAUUUAACUAUUUUAAAAAAAACAUUAAUUUCAAAUAAAAACAAAGGAAAGAAAAUUGAUGUAUAAUUUCCACACAUAAAUAGUUUUAGGGCAAAGGACAAAAUAGAAAUAGGUAACUUUUGAGGACAACCAAGCAAUUUUUGAAAAAGUGAAGAAGAGCUGAAUCUUCUCUUUUGCUCUCAUCCACAAAAAAGAUUUGCCCAUUUUUUUCAUCUAUUUUUCCUUCAAUUUUAACCUUUUGUUUGAAUAGGAAUUAAUUCUCCACCACACAAAAUAAUGAAAAGCUCAUAAAUCCAAAUGCCUUUCUUACAAAAAUAUAAUAACACUAAUCACCCUUCAAUUUUUGUGGUCCACUAGUUUUGCAUGUAAAUCCAAAUCUUUGGACCCAUGGGGUGGAAAAAUUGAAUAAAUAUCUAAAUUUUUAACAUACUUUAUACUAAAUAUCAAUUCAUACAAAAAUAGAUUAUAAAUGUAAAGGAGUACUGUAUAGAAUAGAGAAACACCUCAAAUUAACUACAUAAUUUUAAUUAACAUUUAAGUUAACUAUACAUUAUUGUUUACUACAUGUAACAUUAAUACAUAAUAGAGAGAAAGUUUACCAAAAGAAUGUAAAUUGAACUUAUGGGUUCACUUGCAUGGUAAAAUUAGUAGUUACAAAGUAAAAAUGUUAUUAUUAUCAUCCCUAUUAAUAAACCUUUCUUGUUGGCUAAAAUAAUAACAAAGACAUGAUUGAGUAUUAAUUUAGGAAACCACAUAAUAAAAGUGCUAAGAAAUAGAAGGGAUAUGUUAUAUUACUUUAUAGUAUUGAAUCAAUUAUAAAGGUGAAUGACAAAAAAUAAUGGAGUUAGAUUAGAGUAAUGUAUGGUCAUAUGUACUUAAUAAUUAAUUAUUCUUUUACAUUAUGUCAUGUUUUUAUUUAUUUAUUUAUUUUUUUUUGGUCCAAUUCAUCUAAUUAUCAAUACAUUAAACUUAAUUAUUCAAGUUCCUUUUGACAUUAAAACUCAUCAUUUUAACUCUAUGAAAGGAUUUGGAUGAAAUGUGCAGUUGUAAGAUUCCUUACCAUAUCAAUUAGCUAUUUGUAUUUUUAAUUUGAUAGGAUGAUGUAAUUAUCAUUCUACUACAUAAUAAUACAAUUGAAUGAAGAUUGAUACAAACAAAAAGUAGUUGCAAAUAUAGCAAUCAAACCUAAACAAUAACUCAUCAUCUUUCAGUCUCUAAUAAGUUUGAAGUAGUAAGAAAAAAGAAAAGAAAUGAAAUGAAAAAACAAAACACUAAGAAUAAUUAUAUUUAAAGAAGAGAUAGAAUGCCAAUGUUGGCAUAUUGAGAGAGAGAGAGAGAAUGAGAAUGUGAAGAAAACAGUGUGUGUGUGUGUGUGUGUUUAAGGGCUUAGAAAGAAAGCAGUGAGCUGAGUUAGUAAGAAAAACCCAAAUCAGAAGAAGAUAACUGAAAUGAAGAAGCAAGAAGAAGAACAACAUCAAGAACAAGAAGGAUGCGACAUUGAAGCCAUAGGAAUCACCUACAAGAUUCAAAUCCAUAACUCCAAAUCCCCAUUUCUCAACUUCUUCUCCACCUCAAAACCCUCCCUCCGCCAUCGCCAUGUCCUUUCCGACGUCAAUUGCCAAGCCAAAUCCUCCCAAAUCCUUGCCAUUGUCGGCCCCAGCGGUGCCGGAAAAUCCACUCUCCUCCAAAUCCUCGCCGGCAAAACCACCCCUCACGGCGGCUCCCUCCUUCUCAACCACCUCGCCGUCGACCCUUCCUAUAUCAACCGAAUCUCCGGCUACGUCCCUCAAAAAGACUCCCUUUUCCCUCUCCUCACUGUCGAAGAAACUCUGACCUUCACCGCCCGCCUCCGUCUCUCCCUCCCUUCUGCCGUCCUCACCGCCAAGGUUACUUCUCUGAUCGACGAACUCGGUCUGACCCAUGUCGCCCGUUCCCGAGUCGGCGACGACCGAGUCCGUGGAAUCUCUGGCGGCGAGCGGCGGCGGGUUUCAAUCGGCGUGGAAGUGAUUCACGACCCCAAAGUUCUUAUUCUUGACGAACCCACUUCCGGUCUCGACAGCACUUCCGCUUUUCAGAUCAUCGACAUGCUGAAAACAACCAUGGCUGAAGCUCAGCGAAGAACCAUCAUUCUUAGCAUCCAUCAACCUGGAUUCAGAAUCGUGAAGCUUUUCGAUUCCAUUCUUCUUCUUUCCAAUGGCUCUGUUUUACACCAUGGCUCUGUCGAACAUCUCGGACUCAACCUCACUCUAAUCGGCCUUCAACCUCCUCUUCAUCUCAACAUUCUCGAAUUCGCCAUUGAAUCCAUCGAAACAAUCCAACAAACCCCAAAUCAAACCCAAUUGUUAAUCCCUCACUCCCAAUUAAAACCCCCUAAAUUCACCCUGCAACAGCUAUUUCAACAAUCCAAAGUCAUCGACGAGGACACCAUCAAAAUCGGAAUCCACAAAUCAAUCCCUCACCAUUUCGCCAAUUCCCCAUUCAAAGAAACGGCCAUCCUCAUGCACAGAUUCUCCAAGAACAUAAUCAGAACAAAGGAGCUUUUCGGUUGCAGAACAGUACAAAUGUUGGUAACAGGGCUUGUUCUUGGUUCAAUUUUCUACAAUCUCAAAUUCGAUUUAAUUGGUGCUGAAGAACGCGUGGGGUUAUUCGCCUUCAUUCUCACAUUCCUAUUAACAACCUCGAUCGAAGCCCUCCCAAUUUUCUUACAAGAAAGAGAGAUUCUAAUGAAAGAAACCUCCUCAGGUAGUUACAGAGUAUCCUCAUACGCCAUAGCCAACGGAUUAGUAUACCUUCCGUUUCUACUAAUCUUAGCAAUUCUGUUCUCAAUUCCAUUAUACUGGCUAGUGGGGCUUAACAGAAACAUAAUAGCGUUUCUUCAUUUCAUGCUGUUGAUAUGGCUGAUUCUAUACACAGCAAAUUCAGUGGUGGUUUGUUUCAGUGCAUUAGUGCCAAAUUUCAUAGUGGGGAACUCAGUGAUAUCGGGGGUAAUGGGUUCGUUCUUCCUGUUCUCGGGGUAUUUCAUAUCGAACCAGGAAAUACCAAAGUAUUGGAUAUUUAUGCAUUACAUAUCAGUGUUUAAGUACCCAUUUGAAGGGUUUUUGAUAAAUGAGUUUUCGAGAUCAGGGAAGUGUUUGGAAAUGAUGUUUGGGGAAUGUGUAGUGAGAGGAGAGGAUGUGCUGAAGGAAGAAGGAUACGGGGAAGAAAGUAGGUGGAGAAAUGUAAUGGUAAUGGUGGGGUUUGUUUUGAUCUAUAGAUUUGUUUCUUAUGUUAUUCUUAGAUGUCGAUGCUGCAGGAAAACUGGUUUUGUUUAACAGAAAUGAAGAAGAACGAAGAUGAAGAAGAUGAAGAAGAUUGAAGAUCGAAGAAGAAGAAUAAGGACAAAAAAAAAUCUCUCUCUUCACGAGUUUGGAUUUGAAAGAUGCUCUUAGUUCACGUGGUAGUUUUAAUUGUAGCCAAAGGUUAUACUCACACGUGUUUCUUUGUUCUUUCGGAUUUUUAUUUUUAUUUUUUGCCCUUUCUCUCUAACUAUAUAUAUAUAUAUAAUAUAUGUAAAAUUUUCUUUUAAAUUAACAAUUUGGUGUGUGGUUUGUUCAUCUAAGUUCAAAUUUAUUCAACCAAUUAUUUAGUAGAGAAAAGCUUAAAUGGUGAAAGUGAUUUUAAGUAAUCAAAAUUUCUUCUUACAAAAAUUGUGAAGUAUCAUGAAUAUUUCUUUUACAUAAUUCUUUUCUUCGGUAAAAGAUAAGUUCAGGUUAAACAAAACUAUUUUUUUAUUUAUUUGCCAAAUAUGAUAUUUAACAUAUUAUUACUUAUGAAACACAAAUAAAAGAAAGAAAGAAAAAAAGAUCUGUAAACAUAGAUUCAGAAAUCCAUAUUAAUAGAGAUAAAUCGUGUUAAUACCAUUAAAACAUACAUGCUUUGAAAGAACUAAUUUCAAAUGUUAGUUGUUUUAGGAAAAGAACAAGCAAAACCGAGAACAAUGACUAAGCAAACAAAACGUAGAUCCAAUCACAACUUUCAUAUAUGCGUGAGUAGUGUCACCUCAUUUCAACAACAAUCAUGGUUCAAGAUUUGAUUUAACUAACAAUUCUAUUCAUCACUCCCUAACUAUAGAAUCACCAAUUCAAUCAAUUAUAUCACCAUCAAAGAAAGAAAAAAAAUGGUAAAAAGUAUUUUUAUUUUUGAAUAAUUGAAAUGCUCCAUAGUUUUCAACCUUUAAUAGUUUAUUUAACAAAAAUUGUAAAACAUAGAAAUAUAUUCUAAAUAAAAUAAACGACAUAUAUCUCACAACUCCACCUUAACAAAUUUAACACUUGAAAAUAAACAUCAUGAAUGAAGACUAAAAAUCCAAACUUUCAAAAUUAAUAAAAAAAAUUCUCAAAUUUGAAUGAUUUUUAGAAAAGCUCUACAAAUAGUGUCUCUUCCCAAACUCGGUUAUUCCAAUUCUUUUUCUUUACCGUUAUUUUCCCCCUUCUUCAUCAAUAAUUUAUAAAACACUCUCCCAAAUUCCAUCCCCACCCCAUCCCUUCUUCUAUAAAACAAUGGACAAACACACGGUAACCUCCGAUGAACUUCUCGGAAUCAAAAUCUACACCGAAGAACACGCCAACGGCGGUGGGCGGAAAAGACGAGCAAUGGCAAAAGGAAUGCAAAAAACACGCUCAAAAACCUCAAUGCUAGCUAGUAAACUUCCUUCCAACCGGCACUCUCCUAACCUUCGAAAUGCUUCUGCCGUCGGUCUCCGGCAAGGGGGAGUGCACGCGGGUGAACACGAUGAUGAUAUAUAAACUUCCUCUUGGGCUUAUGCGCUUCUAUCCUGUUUCUUGUUUCACUUCACAGACAGUUUCAAAUUAGGCGUGGACGGGAAAGUUUAUUACGGGAUCGUGACGCGGAGAGGGCUGGCGGUGUUCAAGACGGGGUUGAGUGAGGUGGAAGUGGCGAAGGAGGAGAGGUUAUGGAAAGCUUUCCUUUGAUGGUGGGAAGCAUUUGUAGUGCUUUGUUUUUGGUGUUUCCUAAUACUAUAUAUUAUAUGGUAUUGGUUGUAUGGCUAAUUGACUCUAUUACCCCCCACCUUUUUUUUCUUUUUCUUAAUUGUUAGGAUUUUUUUAAUAAUUAUUAUUCUAAUUUUACUAAACUAUAAUCACCAAUUCAAUCAAUUAUAUCUAUAAAAGAAGAAAAAAAUUGGUUAUAUCUAUAAAAGAAGAAAAAAAAUUGGUUGUAUGGUCGUGUAUGUUGCCAUGGCCUUUGUUAAUUCUUCGAAACUAGAAAGAACAAAGAUCUCACAUAUUCAUACAGGUGGAAAAGAUAGAAACAUGCAUCGUUUUGAUUGAAACUUCUUUUAUUGAUAGAGGACGAAAAAACAAAUACAAGUAGUCAUACACCUAAAAAACGAUCAUCCAAAUCAAAAGAUAUGACCUAGAAACUAUCCAUUUCUCAUGUGUCGUCAAAUUUUGCCUAAUUGCUUCUUAGAGAUAGUUUGUUUUAGCUCCAUUUUCGUCCUUACACUCAAUUGUGCUUCUUUGAUGCUUAAAACCAGUAAAAUAAUCAAACAUAAUAAGAACCUAGAAUUAAGUGAAGCUAGAUAACAUAUUUAUGGUGCUAUCAUUUAUUUACCAUUUCACACUAUAAUUUUAUUAUUUCUAGUUUAUCUUACCAAGCCAGUGUCAAUUUUCUUUUCUCAUUCUCAAUGUUCUUUUAUUUGCUUCAAAAAUUCAAUUUGAAAAAAAAAAAUGUGAGAAAGUUGAGAAUUGAAGAGGAAAAAAAAGAACAAAAUUAGUUUUUUUUUUUGUUUAUUUGAUUAAUUAAUUCAAGAAUGUUGAUUAUGUUUGAGUAUUGACAUGAAAUAUUUAUCGAAAAAUUAGGAAGAAUUUUCAUCAUUUGUUGAAAUCAAAGUAAGGCUCUCUCUAAAAGUGCUUGUAAAAUUUGGUAACAAAAUAGGGUUUAAACCAAAAGAUUAUAAAAGAAGAAAAAAUAAUAAUUACUAAUAAUUAAUUAACAUUGUUGGGGCAGCCCAAAGAACGGUUGUGACCUCCAUUGCAGAAACAGAAGAACAAAGCUCAUUUGGUUGUAAAACCAAUAGAACGAAUCGAAAGCCUCCCUUGAGAGUUAUACAGUUGAAAAUGGAGCUUCAAGAUUUUGCGCCAAUUUUUGGUAAACCCACCAGAGUGGAGUGGGUAAACAGGGGUUCACUUUCUUUGCUCCAAUUUUUGUUCCAUGUUUAUUCUCCAAAUCCUUCGCACCUCAGAUUUCUUGUUACUGAUUUUCAUUCUAACACUUGGGAAUCCACCAAAUCAGCUUUCCAGCUUGAGGAUAUGGUGGGCAUCUUUGAUUUCUCCCUGUACGUCGUCUCUUUGUUGCAUCCUUCUUCUUUGAUUUCUAUUAAUAUGUUGUUCUUGCUUCUUUUUUUCCUCUUAGCAAAUGAUGAAAUGGGAUUGUUUUUUAGAAUUUGUUGGUGCGAAAAGCUCUACUAUUUUAUGUAAUCUUUGAUACAGAGAGAUGACAUUGGAAUUGGAGGGGCUUUUUCAGAGUUUGUUGAUUAUAUUGUUGCAUCUAUGAAAUUUGGAGAUGUAAGGCUUUGUAUGGAAGGACAAUCGGGGAAAGAUGGUAAUCUUCCUGAUAUGUAACUAAUUCAAAUUCUCUUUCCCAUUCAAUAUAUUGUGAAACUCACUCCUUUUUUUAUUAUUCUACAGGUGCAGCAUCUGUCAAACUAAUUGCUCAGAAAUCAAAGGGAAUGCCUGUAUUUUCCAUUUCUCUCACAAAACUUGUUGACUCUGCUGCUGCUGAAGCUAUGGCAACUAUGUCCUUGGGGCUUUUUAACUCAUUAAAAGAAAAGGAGUGUUCACUUAUGAAAGGUUUUCAUCGCUUAUCUAUAGACUGCCUAUAUUCUGUGCUAUAGUCAUCAAAUAUGUCGAUAUCGUUUGGUUAGAAAAAAAAAGAAUACAUUUUUAUAGUGUUUGAACAGAAGGAAAGAUGUUGGAGGUUCUUAUGAAAUAUAGUGAUCGGGUGGGCUCAGUGUGUGGAUCAUUCUAAUUAGAUGGAAGGAUAGGCAUCUUUAGUUUCUUUUCCCUUUUUGUUCCAUCUAGAUUUUGGUAUUUGGCUUUCAUUUCUCUCAAAUAACUUCUCACAGCAUUCUACAAAAUUGUUUGGUAUUUUGUUAAGGCCUUAGCCACAAUUUUAUUUAUCAACUAUGGGGAAGGAUUUGAGAGUUCCCCAAUCUCUCCACACUACUCUAAUGAGAGUCUAUACCAAAAUCAUUUAGCCAAAAAGAUACCCACCCCCAACAUUCACAAUACCUAAAUAGGCAAACUCUAAGAAAGCUAACAGAAUACUUGGCCCCACUUUAACAGUCAUACUCCUAAGGGCCCACCUUACGGGAAAUUACUAACUAACUCUCAAUCAUUCUUUCUUCUUCCCACUUUUAUUCCUAUGUGAAUACACCUUUACUAUGGGGGGUCUAUCAAAUUUGUAUCUGAACAUUGGCAUGUUGCAUUUUUUGUUAUGAAUUAUGCAUAUACAAAAUAAUUGUCUUAUAUUCAAAUGGAUAUAUUAGAAUGUGUCAACUCUCCGGUGUGUCUGUGAACUUUAAGAAUACCUAAUUUUGGUUCCAUUCGUAUGUGAUGGGCCAAUCCAGUCAAGCUGAUUUGAAGUAGGGAAAUAAACACAGUACUCUCAAUCAAAUCUGUCUUGGGAAGCUGUUUCUUUUUAGUCUCCCAUUGGUGUGGUUUUGUAGGACUGACUCAAAUAUCAUGUGCGAACUGCUUGAAAAUGUUUGUACUUGAAAAUUACUUUGUUUAGACUUUAGGGUACCGUGUUUAUUGAACAACAAACUACGUGAUGUACAUGGUUUUAGUUUUUCUUUCUUUAUUAUUAUUAUUUUUUUUUGGUAACUGUGAUAGCAUAGUUUGAUGUAAUAUUCAUUUAUAGGUUAAAUUUAGAACAAGAUUUUUCUCAGAAAUGUUCAAUUUUUUGCAUGCUUGCAUUGAAACUUAGCAUCUGUAGCAUUGACUUUUCUCCUAUACUGUUCUUUCAGAACAAGAGCACUCCCUUCAGUUGACAACCAUGAUAUCAACUGAAAAGGUAUAUCCAUCUUCGUCUUGCACCACUGUAAAUAAAUAUGAUACAUGGUGAUGGGCACUUUUAGUUUUAUACUUAUCGAUAGACUUCAUUAAUAAAUACAUUUAAUAAUACACAAUAUAACGAUAACAAGAUUUCUUCUGAUUUCUUCUCUUCCACAGCCUCUCUUAUAUAUCAGAACUCAAACAGUUUACUCUAGUCAAUACUGUUCCCUGUUAUUAGUCUGCAUAUGUUUUGUUAAUUUUUACUUCCUUUGAAACUUUAUUUAUUAAAUGUUAAUAAGAAAAAAGAUUAAAAAUUAAAAAUGAAGAACACGGAUGUUCUUUAUGUCUCACUUAUUCUUUCAUUAUAUAUGACCUCAUGUAACUUUGUUAGCCAUUUCUUGGUUGAAAAACAUUUUCCAUUACAAUACCAAUUGCUUCCUUAUCCCCUAUGGAUUCAACUCAUGGGUCUUUGAGUUUCUCUAUUUUUGUAUUAAACAUUUCUUAUUUGAGAUUAUACUUUUUGUUGAUGUCAGGAAAAGAACGAAAAUAUCCAAACUCAGCUCGGGCAAUAUAGAAAGAAACAGAAGUUACAAAAUAUGAAUGCCUCAAAUUCUCCUGGUAUGUUCCUAUAAUCAAUCCAUUUAAGGUAUUAUGAAAUUAUAUGUUAUGUACUAAAGGACUGAUCGAUUUUUUCCGUUCUUCACAGAUAAAUCUGGCGUACAUAAUAUUGGCUUGACAAAAGCCACCAAUCGUGUGGUGCCAGUACACCGGAGGUCGGUUUCUCAAAGUUACAUUCAUCACAUAAUUCAAUUGAUUUAUUCCCAAUACUAAUAGAUGUACUUAGCAUUGUAUUUGAACAGGGCGAAAGCUAGGGGUGCCCUUCUGCAAGACUCUGAAGAUGACAAUGGUAGGUAGAGAAGUUGAAUGUCUUGUAUCCAAUCUAGUUUUGUACAGAAUUUUGAUUUCUGAAAAGCUGCUCUAGCCAAUCACUCUCUUCCCUUUGAAUGGAGAAAAAAAAUCCCGUGGUAUUGAGUUCCUCAAUGGUUUGCUUAAAAAGGAACAGGAAAUCCUUGUUUAGGGUCAAGAGGCUAUCUCCCUGUCGUUAUCCCAAAGCUUUAAAACUUUUGUUUCUUCCAUGCAAGUUUUACUUUCUAGCACAUCCACGUUAAAUGAUCUCAUUUUUUCAUAUAUUUUCUUUUAAUCUACACUAAUAGAGAUGUUCCUUCCAUUUUUUUCCCAUUUUUUCUUACAGAAAAAGAGCGCUCCCUUCAGUCGACAUUCGAGGAAAAGGUAUAUUCAGUCUCCUGUCCCCUUUAUGAAUAAAGCACUUUGUCCUUUUAUAGACGGGUUCUUAUUGUCUUGAAAUACCUCAAAAUUAGUACAAGUAUGACCAUAGUCGUGGUGUAUUUUUGGUGCCUUCGGAGCGUAUUUUCAUCUUGCUCAUUAAUUGUUUGUAAAUUUUUUAAUCUACUUUUGAAUAUGUCAGGAAAAGAAAGAGGGGUUGCUAAAUACAGAUACCUUGGCCAUUGUAGACAAUCUUCAUAAGCCUCCUAGUAUGUUUUUUAUGGUUCCCUCUAAAAUUUAAGCUUAUUUGUUUUUAUUGAAAAGAGAGACAACGAGUUCACACCAAUUUACGUGGAAACUCGAGUACCGGGAGAAAAACCACGAUUGUUUGUUGUUAUUAUUUUCUAAUGAAUAAAACAAUAGGUACAGGGAGAAUAAAUAGAGUACACAAUGGAAUAAAAAAGGAAAAGAUUUAGGAAAAUAAGGAAUACAUUCCCAUAAUCUUUCCAUAAUUAUUCUAGGAUUCUAACAAGGAAAAAGCCUAGAAAAAAAGGAAAGAAUUCCAACACUCCCCCUCAAGUUGGGACGUAAAUAUCAAUGAGGCCCAACUUGCUAACGCAAAGUCGAAGUUUGGUCUGAGAAGCCCUUUGGUAAGAACAUCAGCAACCUGUUGACUCGAAGGGAUGUACGGAAUGCAUAUGCUCCCACUGUCAAGUUUUUCUUUGAUAAAAUGUCGAUCAAUCUCAACAUGUUUAGUUCUAUCAUGUUGAACAGGGUUGUUAGCAAUACUAAUAGCGGCUUUAUUAUCACAGAAAAGCUUCAAUGGUGUCUCACAUUCCUGAUGAAGAUCUGUCAAAACUUUCUGAAGCCAAAUUUCCUCACAUAUUCCUAAACUCAUAGCUCUGUAUUCAGCCUCAGCGCUGCUCCUGGCCACAACACUUUGCUUCUUACUCCUCCAAGUUACAAGAUUGCCCCAAACAAAGGUACAAUAACCAGAGGUAGAUUUUCUGUCAACAACAGAUCCUGCCCAAUCCGAGUCAGUGUAUGCCUCAAUGGUCUUUCUGUCUGUUUUUCUAAACAUCAGCCCUUUACCAGGUGUUGAUUUUAAGUAUCUCAAGAUUCUGUUGACAGCUUUCAUGUGUUCCUCAUUAGGGGUCUGCAUAAACUGGCUGACAACACUCACAGCAAAGGAAAUAUCAGGACGAGUAUGAGAUAAGUAAAUUAAUUUACCCACGAGGCGUUGAUACUGUUCUUUAUCAACUGGAACUUGAUCAUCAGAGUUUCCUAGUUUGCAGUUGAAUUCAAUAGGAGUGUCAGUGGGACGACAUCCUAACAUACCUGUCUCGGUUAACAAAUCAAGGAUGUAUUUUCUUUGAGAUACGGAGAUACCUUCUUUAGAUCUGGCCACCUCCAUUCCAAGGAAAUAUUUCAAAUUUCCCAAAUCCUUGAUUUCAAACUCAUCGCCCAUUCUCUGCUUUAGUUGACUGAUUUCUGCCUGAUCAUCUCCAGUCAAAACAAUGUCAUCCACAUAAACUAUUAGAACAGCAAUCUUUCCUGUUUUGGAAACCUUUGUAAAUAAAGUAUGAUCAGAGUGUCCCUGCCUGUACCCUUGGGACUUGACAAAGGUAGUGAAUCUGUCAAACCAUGCUCUGGGAGACUGUUUCAGACCAUAUAUAGAUUUCUGGAGUUUACACACAUGCUGACCAAACUGGGCUUCAAAUCCAGGCGGAGGGCUCAUGUAGACUUCCUCUACGAGGUCUCCAUUCAAAAAGGCAUUCUUAACAUCCAGCUGAUAUAAAGGCCAAUCUUUGUUCACAGCAACAGAUAACAGAACUCUAAUAGUAUUCAACUUAGCAACUGGAGAAAAAGUUUCUGAAUAGUCAAUACCAUAGGUUUGAGUAAAUCCCUUCGCAACUAACCUUGCCUUGUGUCUGUCAAGAGUACCAUCAGCUUUGUAUUUGAGAGAGAACACCCAUUUGCAUCCCACAGUUUUGUGUCCCUUAGGUAGAGUACAAAUGUCCCAAGUACUAUUCUUUUCAAGAGCUUUCAUCUCUUCCAUGACAGCAUUCUUCCAUUCAGGAUACUUUAAAGCAGUGUAGAUAUCUUUUGGUAUUAUGGUAGAGUCAAGGCUUGCUGUAAAAGCUCUGAACUGAGGAGAGAGACUAUCGUAGGAAACAUAAUUGCAAAUGGGGUGUUUAGUACAAGACCUGGUGCCUUUUCUCAGAGCAAUGGGAAUGUCAAGAGAGGAAUCAUACUCAUCUGAUUUUCCUGUAUGACCCUGUUCCGCUUCAUUAUUACGGGUUUCUAUUCUGACCUCAAUCUCAUCACCACUGUCCUUUUCUUCCACGUUUUCAAGAACAGCAACAUUAGACCUGUCAUUCUCACUUAUCAUAUUCUUAGUACAGGGUUCAGUAGGGUUUUCCAUACCUUGAUCUCGAGGAGGUUCAGAGUCUUGGACUGGAGCCGGCGGCUGACUAGUAGGGGAACCGACUUCCUUUUUGUGAUUCCUCCUGUAGUACGUUUUCCAGGGGACUUGGUUUGUGGGUAGGACUAUGGAAUGAGGAAUGAUGUUAGACACGACACUAGGAGUGGGUUCGAUGAAUUCAAAGGUGUUGUUAGACUCUUCACUCACACUCUCCCCCUGAAGAUGGCUAACGGGAAAGUAGGGUCGAUCCUCACAGAAAGUAACAUCCAUAGUGACAAAGUAUUUUCUGGAUGGUGGGUGAAAACAUUUAUAACCACGCUGGUGAGGGGGAUACCCAACAAACACACAUGCCUGAGCCCGAGGGGUAAAUUUGGUUUGAUUAGGGCCAAAAUUAUGGACAUAAGCGGUACACCCAAACACACGAAGAGGAACCUCAGAAACAUGACGAGUCGAUGGGUAGGACUCCUUAAGACAAUCUAAGGGAGUUUGAAGAUGAAGAAUACGAGAAGGCAUUCUAUUGAUUAAAUGAGCUGCUGUAAGAAUAGCAUCUCCCCACAAGUAUGAAGGAAGGGAAGUAGAAAGCAUAAGGGAACGGGCUACUUCCAGAAGGUGACGGUUUUUUCGCUCGGCCACUCCAUUUUGUUGAGGAGUGUAGGCGCACGAGUUUUGAUGAACAAUCCCCUUGGAAGCAAGAAAUUCACUAAGGUUAUGGUUUUGGAAUUCCCGACCAUUAUCACUCCGAAGAAUAGCAAUUUUUUGAUGGAAUUGUGUUUCAAUGGUGUGAUAGAAAUUUUGAAACAUAGAGGAAACCUCAGAUUUAUCAGUGAUAAGGUAGACCCAGGUAAGACGGGUAUGAUCAUCAAUGAAGGUUACGAACCACCGUUUUCCAGAUGAGGUUGUUAUCUUGGAUGGUCCCCAGACAUCACUAUGAACAAGAGUGAAGGGUUGGGUUGGUUUGUAUGGUUGUGAGGGAAAAGAGACUCGAUGUUGUUUGGCCUGAAUACACACAUCACAAGAUAAGGUAGUCAUCUCAACUUUAGAGAAGAGAUGUGGAAAUAAAUGUUUCAUAUAUUGAAAAUUAGGGUGGCCUAAACGAAAAUGCCACAACAUACAAUCUUGUUCAGAAGUAGUGAAAUAGGAAGAUAAGAGACUAGUCCUAGGAAUGCUACUAGAAGAGGUAUCGUCAUCAAGGAGGUAGAGUCCCCUACUAUGCCGGGCAGUGCCAAUCAUCCUCCCCGAGCUCAAGUCCUGAAAAGAGACAGAAUCAGGUAAGAAUAUUGCUUUGCAGUUUAACUCAUGAGUGAUCUUGCUUAUCGAAAGCAAAUUAUAAGAUAGUUUGGGCACAUGCAAAACAUUAUGUAAGGAGAGCCCUGCACAAGGAGAAAUCUUCCCCUUUCCAGCAAUGGGGGCCAAGGAGCCAUCUGCAAUUCUAAUUGUCUCGUUCCCAGCACAAGGAAUGUAAGAUACAAAAUGUUCAGAGGACCCAGUCAAAUGAUCUGUGGCACCAGAAUCCAGAAUCCAGGGGUUCUUCCCAUCAAUACUAACAAGACCGAAGGAAUGAGGUAUACCUGAUUGGACAAUGGCACCUAAAGUGGCAAGACUGAGAUCAGUUUGGUUUUUGUGUGGAUCGGAUUGUUGAGGAGGUUCAGCAGACUCACUCACAUACGCCCGCCCUGUGUUCUGUUUGUCGUUGGAAGGGCGUUUCUUACUUCCUGGGGGACGACCAUGUAACUUCCAACAUUGUUCUUUGGUAUGCCAUUGUUUUUUGCAAUGCUCGCAGACAGGAAUUGGUUUUCCAUUAUGCUUGUCACUGCUACUGUUAGAAGAUCUUGCACUAAAAGCAGCAGAGUCAAUAGUAGGGGUUGCGGAAAUAUUCAUAGCACUUGUGCGAUCUUCCUCGAGGCGGAUUUCAGAGCAAACUUCCAUCAGGGAGGGAAUCGGUCUUUGACCUAGUAUACGCCCUCGAACUACAUCAAACUUAGGAUUAAGACCAGCAAGAAAGUCAUAAAUCCUGUCAUUCUCUUCAAUUCUCGAGUACUGUACACCAUCAGUGGGAUCACGCCAGACUAGUUCUCUGCAUAGGUCCAUUUCUUGCCAUAUAAGAGAAAGCUUAUUGAAAAAGGAUGUGACAUCCAUGGUUCCUUGCUUGCAUUCAUGAACUUGCUUUCUCAGCGUGUAUAGACGAGAGGCAUUCUGACGUUUUGAGUAAAGUGUCUGGGCUGUGUCCCAAAUAUCCUUGGCUGUUGCAGCAAACAAUAACGGCUUGCCAAUUUGAGGUUCCAUACUAUUGAUCAAUAUGGAUCGAAGAAUAGAGUCUUCUGCCUUCCAAUAUCGUUCAUGUGGGUCGCCCGGUAGGGGGCGAGGUAUUUCCCUGUCAGAAAGCUAAAUUUUUGUCGUCCUUCGAGGACCAUCUUUACUGACUGAGACCAUGAGAAAUAGUUGUUGCCAUUCAACUUUUCUCCUGAAAGAUGAUACAUGGAAGACUGAGCCACCGUAUUAGUCACAUAAGGAGAGGAUACAUUAGGGAACGAGUUUACCGGAUUCUCAGAAUACAUCGGUAGAGUGGAUGUCGUCCCUAAGGUAGCCUCAAGUGCUGCUAUCUGUUGUCGAAGCCCUUCCAAUUGUUGAUGAACUAUUCCCGAGGAAGCUUGCACGUUACGGUUGGAAUAUGCCGAAGAUUCACCAACCUCAAAUGUUGAGUGAAUUUGAGAGUUUUUAACAUCGGGAUGGUAGCUAGGAUCAUUGGGUGGCUGGCCAUACAGAUUUGACGAGCAGAAGCGGUGGUAGCCGAUUGGAAUUAGAUGGCAGAACAUAAAUCGGGGCGUGGGGAGCAAUAUAGGCCGCGGACGAAGAAAAGGGUUGGACAGAUGGGAUGGUCGGCGCCGUCUGAGGAAGAAAACCAGGCGCGUGGUGGUCCGGUGACGGCGCGGACGACUGCGGUAAUGACGAAAAAUUAUUUUCGGACGUUUUCUGUAGCCGGCUUAAUAAUUCGUCCAUGGCAGCACUCAUCCGAGCAUCGGUGGCAGCAGCUACGGCAGCACUAAAAUUGAUGGUUGUCCCUUCUGUUUGAUUUUAAUCAGUGGUUUGGUUUUUUUGGGUUUCUAGGGUGUUUUCAUUGUCCCGCUCUGAUACCAUAUUGAAAAGAGAGACAACGAGUUCACACCAAUUUACGUGGAAACCCGAAUACCGGGAGAAAAACCACGGUUGUUUGUUGUUAUUAUUUUCUAAUGAAUAAAACAAUAGGUACAGGGGAGAAUAAAUAGAGUACACAAUGGAAUAAAAAAGGAAAAGAUUUAGGAAAAUAAGGAAUACAUUCCCAUAAUCUUUCCAUAAUUGUUCUAGGAUUCUAACAAGGAAAAAGCCUAGAAAAAAAGGAAAGAAUUCCAACAGUUUUCAAGGUUUAAGAACACUUUUGGUCCCUGAGCUUUCACGAAAGUAAUAAUGUAUUUCCUAAACUUUAAAAUGCAAAAAUUUUGUCUAUUUACUUUCAACUUUGUAUGGACUUUAGUCUCUAUGAUGAAAGUGUUCAUUCAAAUUAAGUGUUAAUUUAUAUUACAUAAUGGCUUAGUCUUCAUAGUUUAUAUGUGAAUUUGAUCAUCAAUGAGUUAUAAACCUACCCGGGUAAGAAACUUAACUCAAUCACAAUAAUAAUUUCCACCAUAGAGAUUUGGUUCUUACUAAUUGUAAAUUACAAGAACUAAAUUGUUACAUUUUAAAGUUAAGGAACUAAAUUGUUAAUACAUUUGCAAGAAUGAGGACUAUCUUUUUGUUACCAACUAAAGUUGAGGGUCAAAAUCGUUAGUUUUAUGCUAGUUUAGGGACGAAAAGUGUUUUUUAAUUAUUCGCUACACAGAACUCAUUAUUGAAUUAUCUUAUUCUUAACAGACAAAUCUGUUCAUGAUAUCGGCUCGACAAAAAUCACCAAGCAUGUCGUGCCAACACAUCACAGGUUGGUUUCUUGACUAAAUGAACCUAAUUUUGUUUGUUAUUUCCCCACGAACGAUGGUAAACAUACUGUAGCAUUGUACUUGAGCAGGGCAAGAACACGAGGUGCCCUUCUGCAAGAUAACGAAGAUGACGAUGGAAGGUAAAAAAAACAAGACAGUUUCAAAAUGUUGAGUCCUUGUGUUCAAAACUAGUGUUAGACAUGGAGUAGGUAAACAAAAUAAUAGAUAUGAUUGUGCAAUGCAGACAUUUCUUUGUUGUAUAUGAUUACGUAAUUCUCAUCUAACUUUGGCUUUCUGCUCAAUUUAGAUUCGAAAAUGUGUAAAUUUUCGAAUGACGAGUAGAUACAAAUUUGAAAUAUAUUGUGCAGCUUAAAACAAGUCACAGUGUGAGACUUUUCAUUAAUUUCUCAAACAAAUCAGCACUUGUUGACAACUUUAUAUUACCAUAUGAGUUAGCUUGAAAAAUAUUAUUAUUAUUAUUAGAAUGUAGAACACAUUUUAAUUUCCAAUAUAUCACGUUCUACAAUUUUUUAAACAUUUAUUUUCAAAACUCUUGACUUUUCUUUAGAAAAAACCAAAAGCUUUUGUUCCAAUAUAUCAGGUUGUAGUCUUUGGCCCUUGAAUUUUGUUAACAUUUAUUUUCAACUAUAUUGACUCUUUCUUUAGAAAAAAUAAAAAAAAAAUUCAAACGAUUACCGAUAAUAAAAAUAGAUAAAGAUAUAAUUUGAAAGAUAUUUAUGAAUAAGUUUAUGAGUAAAAAUAGAUAAAGAUAUAAUCUAAAAGUCGUAUCAUUAAUAAAAGUUUAUCAAAUCAAAAAAUUUAUUACGAAAAAAAAAUAUAGAUAAUCUAACGAAGAGGGAAUCCAAAAAUGAUGAUGUAAAAAGGAAUGAAAAAGCAUUAUCCCCACACUUUAGUUUCUCGUACAAUGAGAACCAUCCAAAUUGUGACAAAGACAGAAAUGAGAUAAGCACAAACCACCAUUAUUGCAAUACAACAAUCAACUAAACUCAAACUCACUCACUCACCUAGACACAACUUUUAAUGCACUCUUUUUGAAAAAGCUUUCCCAAACAAAAGAAGAAGAAAAAAAAACUUAUAUAAUGUGUUGUAUACAAAUUAUUUAUGUUUAUAUGCAGAGUUGCAUUCAUGAACCACUGAUAUAUAGUGAAACUGAUAUGAGUUGUAACUUUUGUAGUUCUAUUUCAUUGGUGCCUCAUAUGGAAGUGGUGGUGAUUGGUGGGUCAUAUACUCAUUAAGAACAAAAAUAAUAAUAAAUCAAAUGAAAAAGUUACUUUUUACUUUUUAGAAAAAGCGAUUGCAAAUGACUAAGUAAUGGAGACAUUGAUAGGUCUAUCAAUAUAUUUAUAUAUAUUAGGUGAGGCAAUUGGAUUAGAAUGAUAAAAUAGCAACUUUUAUCCAAUCAAUUACUUUAUAAAUGUUAAAAGAAGAACGAAGAAAGAGUUGUUUUUCAAAUUAAGCAACAUAAACUCUAUAUUUUGACAACAAAGUUAAAAAGAUAACUUUAUAUUUUUCUUCUUCUUUUAUAAAGAUAUGAUUGAACAUACACCAUUUCAGGAGGUGUCGGUGUCCACUAACAUUAUGCCCAUCCCAUGGUUGCUUUCAUUUCAAAAGGAUCAAAAUUUGGAUAUGAACUCUUACAUUUUGCCUUUUGGUGUUACCUAACUUUUCUUUAAUUAAAAUUAAAGUGUGUUUAGUUUGGAGCAAUUCUAUGUUCGGUGACUUUUUGAAAAUUUUCUUAGAAUGGAUGUGAGUGAAAACAAAACAUGCUGAAAUGACUCUAAUUGGUUCGUGGAACAACUUUCACUCUAAUAAGUCUUUAAGACAAGUAAGAAUGAUAUUGUCAAGUCGCAAGUAAUUAGACGUUACAGAUAUAUAGUUUUAUUUAUAUAUAAACACAUAUCUACAUUAGUGAGGGUCAUACGUUUUACAGAGUGUUUGUAUUUACUCAGUAACACUAAUAUCAUUUUCACACAUUUAAAUUUAUGCACGUUAUAGAUUUUAUUAGGUAUGUAUACAACUUAAUAACACUAGUAAGUAUAAUGUUUUGUUGGUGUAUAUACAUAUAUACAUAAUACGUCUACGUUUUUGCAGAUUAUUGAUUUAGUAACUUUCUUUGGGUGAAUUCAAUUUGUUUUUUUUUGUAACAAAACUAAAUUGUAAAGUCUAGUGUUAGAAAGUAUGGUUUCUCUCCUUCACCCUUUGUUUAAUAAUUUUAAUAAUUUUAAGUUUUAAUAGAUUGUGUUCAUAUUAAGACGAUGGCAUAAGCAGAGUUGGGUGUGGGGCACCGCCGUCACCACCACUACCAAUCUUCAACAAAUCACUUUAACGACGUAUGGGUAAAGGCAGUUAGUAUUAUUGGGUUAAUCAAUUUUAAAUACAUCUUGUACCACUAAAUUCUUUUACUUUAUUAUCUGUUUUUUACCAAACCAAAUCUUUCUUACACUACAAGAGUUUUUUUUCUUUUUCUUUUUUAUCUUUAUAAAAAAAAUACAAACCAUCAUAAUAAGAAAUUAAGAAAGAAGUAAAAGUUAAAAAUCAAAGGUUAAUCAAACGGAUCUUCAAUGUUGAGCUAUUACCAUUUAUAUCCACGAUUUGUUUAAAUAAUAUUUAAAUUCUAAGUCUUCAGUCAUUUUGUGAUUGAGUAAUUUUUAAUAUCAUCCUUCAGAAAAGAAAAGGAUUAGGAUUAGGAUUGUCCUAAUGGGAGUGGGAGUGGGAGUGGGGAGUAGAGAAUUUUGUGAGGAUGAAGAUGGGAUAGGGGGGCGGGGACGGGGAUCGGUAGUGGCAUCCCCGGCCCUCCUCGUCCCGUGGACAUCUCUACUCCUCAUCCCCGUCCCUCACCAUUAAUACCGCGCAUAAGGAGUGAUCCAUUUCCGAUAACGAAAAUCGUGCGUGGGGAAUGGUCCCAACGCUCGACGCGCAAGUGAAACCGUCGUGUGUCGAGUGAUGGAUCUUACAAGGUGGGUGGGAGGGGACGGGGGGGGGGGGGGGGGGGGGGGGGGGAAUAUUUAUAAUUUUAAUUAAGAAGGAUAGAUAUUGAAGAGAGGAAUGAGAAAUUAGAAUGAAAUCAAAACAUUAUAUGGUAGAUGAAACUUAACAUAAAUCAAAGCACAUAGAAACUAAAUAGAAGAGAGAGAGAGAGAGAGAGUUGGAUGAAUUCAUUUGUUGGUGGUGGAGGAUGAGUUGGCGGCGAUGCCGAAGUUGCCUGUGGAGAGAAAUUGGUUUUUGAGUGCGCUCCUCGACGCCGGAUAUUGAGAAGAAUAGGAAUAACCCGGAUAUGGAGUAGUACAUGGUUUCGAUUUCCGUUCGGCGCCGGACUUCAUUUUUUCUCCGUCUUUGUCUUUUGAUUUUUGCUUAUCGCUUCUCUCACUCAUCUUUUCCCCUUUCAUAAUAUUAUCUUCCACCUUCCAAAUAAUAAUAAUUGAGCUUGAGCCACCCACGCAUUUAUAACCUUAAUUUUACACGUGUCUUUUUCUUUUUACUCUUUUAAAUUUUCCAUAAAAUUACAUAUUCUAUAUACAGCUUACCUUCAUAAACCCUAUCUACUGUUGAAUCACUUUAUCUUUACUAUUUAGGAUAAUUUUCUAUAAUCAUAAAGGCAGAUGAAAUUUUAAUUUGGUUGCUAUGAUUCCAAAAAAAUAUAAUUCAUAUAUUUCGGCUAAUAGCAAAGAAUUCCACGUCAGUGACUAUUUCAAUUCAUAUAUUUUGCCAAGUGGAUGAUUUCAAGGUACAGUAUGAUCCAAUAGUUCACUGACACGUUAGUGAUGGUGUGGGAUCUUGCGUUGGUGACGUUAUAUAUAUGGCGUCAUUUACUUACUUUUAAUUACUAUUAUUAUUAUUAUAAUAUCCACUAGUGUAUAUCUGAUUCAUUUAUUGCUUCCUCCAACUUAAAAAAAAAAAGAAAGUAAACUAGAAAAAUAAUUAUUAAAAUACAAAAUUCAUUACUCUUUUCUUUUUUUUUUCCCUUCUAAUUCUAAUCUAAAAAACUUUAAACAUUUCCUUUAUAACAAAACAAUAAACAAACUUGUUUGAUUUUACUUUUUUUUUUCUUAAAUAUGUUAAUAUUUUUUCUUUUAUAUGUGAUGAGAAUAAUUUUAAUAUCAAUUUAAAGUAUAAUUAGCCAUCGGUCAUCCAUAUAUUUUUGUCAACGUUUUUCUUUCUUUUAAUUUGACCAAAAUUCUUUAACUUGCGUAGUCGUUUUUCAUUCAAAUAUUUUGCUUUUUCGAUUAAUAUAUAGAUAACUGUUACAAAAAUGACUUAAUUAAGUUAAGAGGUGAAAUUUUUUAGACAUAUGUUUUUAUUAGUUACAUGUAUGGUUAUAAUGUUUUUGAGAUAUUUUAAUACAGUAUUGAAUUAAUAAUAUCGUCAAAGUAUGUAUUGUAGAAAAAAAAAUCUCUUUUGCUCAUCUCAUAUGACCCAUUCUUGAUUAAACAUAUAAAUAUAUUGAAUCUAUAUAAUGUGAUGUCAACAGUACUAUACAUUCUUGAUAAAAUUAUUUCUCAAAUUCUCAAUAAUUUACAAAGUAGAUAAGUAAGAAAUCAACAAAUUCAAAGAGGUUUAGGUGAGAUAGAUUUCUUAGAUGAAUUAUUGUGGAGAAUCGAAUUUAAUUAAUUAGUUUGUUAAUUAUUGCUUUUCAAUAUGUAAUUCUUUAAAAAUAUGUAUCCACUUGCCCAAAAGAUGUUAUUCUCUCAUUCAUCAAGAUUUUGGUACUUGCAAUUAUAGCCUCAAAAUUAUUGUUUAUUGUAAAUUGAAAUCUCAAAUUUGUUAAAAUUGGAUCCUAAAAUUUACAUAUAAUUAUUGGUAAAGAUAUGUUUUUGGUUUAAUUUUUAUCAUUUAGUGACCUAUUUUAACGUUGGUUUAAGUUCCAGAUUUAAACUUUUUCAAUUGAAAAUUUGAGAGUGUAAUUGUAGCGAUUACAAGUCCACACUUAGCUUCAACGAUGACUAAUUUUAGAAAAUUUUCUAAAAUAAUUAUUGAAGUGUUGCGUUUUGACAAAAUAUUAAAAAAAUAUUUGUUCGACAUUGGAAAAAUUAUAUUAGAAGAAAAACAGAGAGAUCAAUAUACUAUAAAAUAAGUCUAUGACUUUGGUUUUAAAUAACUGUCUUAAUUAGAAACCCUUUAAACAUAAAUAUAUUAACUCAAUCUAAAAUUCAUUCGACUAAUGCCUCUUCAAAGCUAGAUAGAGGAUCAUUUUCUCUUUAAAGGAAUCUUGCUCUUUUAUCUUCUUCUUUUGUUGUUGUCGUAGAAGAUUUGUAUUCUCUAGUUUAAAAGCAAAUUAAUCACUGUUAUAAAAAAGUUUUAAAAGAGUGCGUUGUAAUCGAGAUCAGUUGCUUUUUUAAAAAAAUAUUUAUUUAUGGUAGAUAUUAGAUGUCUAGUUAUCUAAGUCUAGAUCAUCUAUAUCUACGAUACUUCAUUAUAUUAGGAAAGCUUUAUAAUUGAUUACACAAUUAAUAGUUGAUAUGAUCGGUAGUUCGUUAUAUUAGGAAAGGUUUAUAAUUGAUUACACAAUUAAUAGUUGAUAUGAUCGAUUAGAAGAGUUGAGUGAUUUAAAUAUAUAUAUUAUAUUUAAUCUGCACGUUUAUUUGUUGGGGCUUUUAUUACUCAACACAAGAAGUUGAUAAGUUUCUUUCAAAACCGCCAUCUAAUUCUCACUCAAGUUGAUGAAAAUAUUCAUUUUAGUCUUUUCUUUGACUUCUCUUUUUCUAAGCAGGUGAUGCGUAAUCUAUUUUUUUCCCUCCUAAUUUAACUUUUUCAUCACUAUUUUAUUCCUAUUAUACACCUUUAUUUUUUAAACAAAAUAUAUCUAGAAUAAUUAAUGCAAAUGAAAUGAGAUGAGAUGAAUCGAACUCUAAUAUUUGAAUAAUAAGUUUUAAAUCAAGUUUGAUGGUGGUAGAGUUUUUAGAUUGAAAUGGAAUUAGUAAGAUAUAUAGAUUUUAAAGUAAGCUGUAAAAAAAAACCUUAUAUAUGUUGUUAAAUGUAUUUCAUUUAAAAGAAAAGGUAAAUAGAAAAGAAACAUCAAAUCAGUAGUGAGAGGCAGCUGAGAAGAUUAGUUGAAUUCAAAAGUUUUGGUGUCCCAAGUCAAUCACUUUAAAUAUAAAGACCAAAAGAGAAUUUGAUUAUUCAAAAAAGAAUAGCCCCUAAGAUCACCCUCAGUCCUCACUAUUGUUUUUGUUCAAAGUCUAUCUCUCUCUCAUACAUUAUCCAAUGUACAAGGAAUUAGAACCAACAUUUUGUCUUAACAUUGAAAAGAAAGAAAUAAUUUAUAAACUUUCAAGUUCCUAUAAAUUAAUAUUUGUCCUUUUCAAUUCGCUUUUUACCUCUUCAUUUUAAUUUGGGUCUAAAUUAUAUAUGCAUGAUUUAAUUUCUAAUUUCCAAUUGGCCUUAAUUAUAGUUUGAAUUGGUGGGACUUCAAUUAGCACACAAGCUCCUUUUAAUCAACUAUGUUUAAAAUUAGAGUGUAUUUGACUAUUUUGUAAAGGUAUUUUUGAGAAAAGUAAAGCUAAAUUAAAGGGAGGAAGUCAAUAGACAUAAUAGAAAAUCAAGAAAAAAGCUAAGACACAUUGAUAUGAUAUGAUAUGACAUGCCAAGUUGCAAAAAUUAUAUAUAUGAUGAAGUGUAUAUGGGGUGGUCAAGUCAAUUCAUUUUAAGAAUCAAAUCAGUAUUUGUCUUUCUUUAUUUAAAUUAAUAUAUGAUAAUAGGCAUGCAUGUAAUGGCAUAUUUUAGUACCAAAUGUAAUAAAUUAGGUAAAUAUGAAGAAGAGAGCCUUCAAAUACAUCAAAACAUCCCACCAAAAGAAAAGCAAUUGAUCAAUGAAAUGAUAUCCAAAAAAGCAUAAAGGUAAGAAGAACGUAAACAACAUAGAGCUAAAUUCAAUGGUAGAACUAAGCUUUUCCUUUUUUGGAUCUCCCAAAAUUAUUACCUAAAUUUGUGGGAUCUAAUGAGGAUGAAUGUUCUGGAGGUAUAAAUUGAGUUUUAAAUUCAAUUUUUAACCAAAUUUGACUCUCAUCCAUCUUUUCCUUUUUUAAAAUCUUAAUCACAAAUAAUAAUCCAAUAACAUUUAAUACCCUCUUUAAAUUAAAAAAUCAAAUCCAAAAUUCAUGGAUAACUAACCCCAAAAAGGGUAAUGUGUUAUUGGGUCUAUGUCGUUGUGCAUUUACUCUGUGUCUUUAAAGUGAUAUUAUGAUAGUGAGUAUAGAAAUGUGUUAAUAUGAAGUUGAGAUAACAUUCUUUAUGAACUUACUAAUUCAUUUCUUCUCCAAUUGCUUGCUCUCUCCUUCAACCAGUGAUAUGUGUGUGUAUAUAUAUAUAUAUAGACACAUAUUUUUCUGGUUAGGUAUUAAAUUAAAAUCUUCUAUUUUCUUGUUAAUUCGUAGUAUGAGAUCAAAAUGUGUAAUGGGAAUAUUGAUCUCCGUAAUUUAGAUAUUAUGCGAUUUCAUGAGAUUUUAUUUUAUUUGCAUUUAUUACCAUAGAAUAAAACAACAUCUUAUGUAAGAUUUUCGUUUGACUUUAUCUCUAAUAAUAAUAAUCUCCACCCUCUCAAUCUCUGCCCUCACCCACGCUCGCCAUCUCUCUCUCAUCCAUCAUUCGCUGAUAAUCUUCUCCUUCAUCAGUCUUAAGAAUAUAUCGUUUUUAGGGUUUUUUUUUUUUUUUUUUUUUGCUUGGAAGAGAAUUUCAAAUUAUAGCCAUGGGGAGAGGAAAACUGAGCAUGAAACUCAUAAGUAAUGAGAAAUCUCGAAAGACUACUUUUCAUAAGCGGAAAGCAAGUUUGUUGCGAAAAGCUUACGAGCUUUCCACAUUGUGUGAUGUUCGUGUUUGUGUGGUUGUUCAUGGCCCUAACCAAUCAAAUGACCAAUCUCCACUCCAACUUCACACAUGGCCGCCCUCUGCUGAUGAAGUCAAUAACAUGAUUGCUUCUUACAAAACUAAUUGUCUCUACAAACGUGUUCGCAAGUCAUUCGGUCUUAUCGAUUUCUUCUCCGAAAGAAAGAAGAAGGUCGAAACUGAUAUGUCCAAGCUUCGUAAGGAUGUUUCUGAAGAAAGGUAAUUAUAAUUAUAGUUAAAUAUGCAUGUUUGGAUUUACUAUUUGUUUAUAGUUUAACAAUCUUUGUGUGAGUUAAUUUGUUAUUAUAUUAUGAAUGUUGAUUAGGUUUCCAAGUUGGGAUGAACGUCUAGAUCAUCUCUUAGAAGAUCAAUUACGAGUUUUAAUGGUGGAAUUGGAUUCAAAGAUCGAGAUAGCGAAGAAAAGGAUUGAGAUAGCAACGGAGAAUAAUUAUAAUGUUGAGGAGGGGACGUCAGUGGAGAGUAGCGGCCAAACCCUAAAUGCAAACAUGAAGUGUAAACAAGUAAUGGGAUUUGAUCAUGAAGAGGAAAGUACUGAUUAUGGGAUGUUUGGAAUUAGGUCAUCAAUGGAGCAAACACAAGGCAUAAUGCCAUUCCAUCAUCAUCAUCAUCAUCAUCAUCAACAACAACAACUUCAAACAAUGGCACAAAGCUGUCUUCAAAUGGAUCAUGAGAUUGAGAAUUUGUCUCCAUUCCUAUUUGGAUCUAAUGGGUCAGCACCACAAUUUCAGUUAAGUUAUGGAAGUAAUACUAACAAUUGUUUCCAAAACUACCCUCAUAGUUUUUACAAUGAUCCAACAAAUGGGAUGAUUAUGGAGAACACACAAAGCUACUCAUCAAUGUGCCAUUAUGGAGUUCCAUUUGGUGCACAAUCAGUUGUUCCAAUAUCAUAUAUGCAAAUGCAACAACUCACUGCCGGCGCUGAGGAUCAGAUGAUGAUGGGUUAUGCUUCAACCUCUCAAAUGGCUUUGCCCAAUACUGCUUCUUCUCAAGUGAUCAAUGAUCCAUUUGAUUUCUACAAUAGCUAUGAGUAUUUGAUGAAGCCUAACAACUUCUAAAGCCAUGAUUAAUUAGUUCAAAGGCUAAUUUGAAGUAGAAAUAGUUCAUUUGUAUCUUUGUUUGUUGAUCACUAAUAUAGCUCUAAGUUGUAAUGAUUUUGGAUAUAUAUCAUUUCUGAUCUCAAUUGCUAUUCCUUUUGGUUGGAAGUUUUGAUAUUUGAGGAUUUUCUUAAUUGGUUUUUGAUUUGAGUAAUGGAUCUGAGAUCUCGAUAUUAUUUAGAGAAAAUAUUUACAAAUACUUAUUAUUGGAUUAAAAAAAUUAUACAAUAAUGUCUUAUCCCUAUUAACUCCAUUUGUCAUUAAAAUAAAUAUAAGAAGGUUGAUUUAGAUUUGUCUUACCAUUUAUAAAAUGAUUAUACCAUAUUUUCCUUAUUUAUUGAAAGACUUCUUGAUACUUUAUUUCUUUUUUCCUAUGAAUGAUCAUUAUAUUAAAAUUGACAUUCCACGAUUUAAGGUUAUAAGAUUAAUUUUAUCAUUUUCAAAAUUAAUUUGAAUUCAAUUCCAAUCAUAUGGUUGCUUGAUGUAUAAUUUGAAUAAAGCACAUUUAUUUAUUUAUAAAUAGUAAGAUGUCAACUAAGUGGUAAUUAAUAUAAAUUAAACAAAAAAAUAUUAAAUUAAAUUAAAAUUAUUAAUCAAAUUUAGAAUGGUAAGUAAAUGUGAAAAUUGAAAAGGUUGAAUCGGGGGCUAAUUUUGUAAAUUCUUAUAGAGAAAAACCCUAGUUCUUAUUUCCAUCAAUAUUUCCCCACAUUUCUUCCAUUUCAGCACAGCCCCUACCUCGACAUCCAUUCCUCACGAUUCUUCAAAUUUGCUUUUGAAUCUUUUUGUUGUGAGACUGAUUCGUUUUUUUCUUGAAGAGAAGGGGUAAUCGCAAUGGUGGACGUCGAGGAGGAAAACGGAGAAGAUAAGUUAAAUGGUGUUGCUAGUUCGAGUGGAUUUUUCGGCAAAUUGGAACACAAGUACAGAGAAAUCAAAGAGAAUGCAGAAAAGUAUCCUUAUGUGUGGGGAUCAUACAUUGUCGUCUAUGGCGGAAUUUUUCUUUGGGCUGGGUAUAGAUGGAGAAAGCUUCGGAAGACGGAGGACAGAGUACGCAUUUUACAAGAGAAGCUUCGAAAACAUUAUGAAGCACAAGAAUCAUCUAUCAAACAAUCAGCAAAUUCAGUUGAUAAAACUUCAACUCCUUCCAAGCAGUAGCCAGAUUUUGAAUACGUUCUUCUUCUUCUUCUUCUUCUUCUAAAGAUAAUGGUUAGAUUUUGUAUCUCAUUUGUUCUGCUGUUAGGUUCUGAUUUUGUUUUAAUUUAAUGGGGAUCCCAUUUCCGUUGUUGACAAGUACACUGCUCUGUUGUUGUUCAAAAUCAAUUCUGCAAUGCAAAUUUAGGAGAUAAAAGAAUAAUGUUUUACAAUGGCUGGAAUGCUACAAGGAAACCAUUCGCUCAAAUUUAAUACGAUUUGAGUGAUUAGAGCCUUUGUUUCUCUUCAAUUCUUCUGUUUGUCAUUUAAGUGUGUUUUGAUUGACUUUGGUAGAGUGAUUUAGUUGUUGUUUGGCUUUUCUUAGUGUUGUUAGAGAACAUAAUAUCAUUUCAGAAUUCAGAACCAAUGUUGCUCCCAUUGGUUAAUGAUGAAGUUAGUAGACGAAUACUUUUUGGAUUUUAUUAUAUCUUAUGAUGAACAACUCUGGGAUUGUUUAUAUGUGGUUCUGACAAAUUCUAGGUAAGAUUACAUUCCAUUCCAUUUCAUACAGUUUUCAUUCCCUUAACCAAUAAGGCUUUUCAUUGUGUUUUGAAGGAGAAAUUGAAAUUGUGUCUGAACCAUUUCCUUUCAAACAAUUUUUCUCCUUUUCGUUCAAAAGAUGAUACUGAGAUUGUAUUAAUUUUUCUAUAUCUUAUACCGAAUUUGGAGAAAAGUUGAAAAUAUAUACAAUUUGGUAUAAUGUUCUUAUGGGAAUAUUUGAAAAAAAAAAAAACUAUAAUGUGUAAUCAGGGUCAAUCUUGGAUGGACCUAGAAGAAUUGCGAAGACUCAAUCAUCUUAUUUUUGAAAAAAUUUCACUUGAGCUAUGUUAGGUGCCUCCGGACAAAGUGGUGGAACGUCAAGGAAGUUGGCGAUCAGAUGACAAGGGAUCCGACGGAACGUCAAGGAAGUUGGUGAUCCGAUGACAAUGGAUCCGGCGGAACGUCAAGGAAGUAGGAAGUUGGUGAUCCAAUGAUAAUAGAUUCGGCAACGGAAGCCAUUUCGAAUUUGCUUGUAUUUAUGUUGGUUUUUUAUUUUAGUUUGACUAUGCGAAUUGAGAUAGAUGAUCUAAACUAUUUAGAAUGAAGAAAGAAGAAAAAAGAAUAGAAAGAUAGAUUCACUGAUGAUUGCGUUAAAGGAACUUCCUAUGAUAUCUAAGAACAAAAUUUGGGUGGCUAAAGAUCAUGAUUCGGAAAAGUAGAAACACUAGUAGUAUAGUAUAUGGGUUUAAAUAUGCAAGGGAGUAAAAUUUCAACUAUUACAAGGAGUUUGAGCAAAAAGAAAAUUAAAACCAUUCACCACCUAGCUAUAUCCUAUGUCCUGUCGUAUGUAGAGAAAAACAGGUCUAAUGUUUCCAAGUUUAUCGACCACCAUUGGUGCUCGAUCGAGAACCGCUCUUUUCUUACACUUGCAUGGACAACAUCACUAUCAUAUAUACACUCAUGAAAGAUCAAUGUUCUCAUUUUAAAUGGAGGUAUUAAACGACUCCAAUUCUCUUCCUCCAUGUGGAAAAACCAAAUCCUUCUUUAAUGGAACUCAAAUCUUUAGCCAGCUUUACGAUGCCAUUGUUAUGGCUAAUGGCAUUUCACUCUCACGAGAUACUAUUGAGUUGUUGGAUGACGAAUUGCUGUGUCUUUGAUCAGCAUUGUUGUUGUCCUCGUUAUCUCGUUCUCCCACGUCCUGCUGAGCGGAUUCAGCAGACGAUGCAUUAUUGUUAUUGUUAUUAUUGGCAUUUGCAUUAUUGGAACUUACAUCCGCCCCAAUACCAAGGGAGACUCUAAAACCACAUGCACGUGAGAGAACUCUAUAGAAGAAAGUUAAUAGCCAAAAGAACCAAGGGAGGCAGACCAAGGACAAACCGGUGAUAGGUAGCCAGGCGGUGGUUUCGGUUUCAGGGAGGAUCAUGUACAUCAAAAGACAACCGCCACCGCUGAGAAUGGAGAAGAAGAGAAAACAAGUGACGAUCCAUAUGAAUGCACGUCCAGCUGAGGGAUUCACCAAAGACAUUAAUUUUGGCGUUUUGAAAGAAUGUGAGUUUGAUCAAGAGAUGAUGGAUGAAAGGUAGAAAACAAGAGUUAGGAACAUGAUGAUGUUCUUCCUGUGAUGAUGAUCAUCUUCCAUUUUCCUCAUUGAGAAACAAACUGGUUCGAGAUUUGCAUGGAAAUUUCUGUCUUUUGUGAAGAAAAAAGAAAAAAAAGUUUGUGGAGAGAUCCUCAAAAGUUUGUUUAUGGAGAAGAAACACAAUAUCUAAUUUACAACUUUUUUUUGUCAAAGUUUUUUUCCAAUGGUGUUACGUGAUUUCAGCUCUCUCAAAAUUAGUCUGUUUUUUUCCAUUUACAGCUUUGAAAUUCAUUUCUUUUUUUUUCAAGAAAGAAAAACUUUUUUUAUUGCAUUCUAAUUACACACUAUAUAAUCAAAAUUUGUAGAUCAUAUGAUAUUUUUUAUAAAAAAAUCCAAUAUAUGCAUGCUAAAGUAAAUAUUUGUAUAUUUUUCAUUGAGAAAAUUCUUACUAAAAAAAUUGGAAUUGAAACGUUAAACAUGCUUGAUAAUUAAUAAAAAGAACUAAGAAUAUAUUUAAUGAAUGUUUGAACCAUACAUGUGUCAGUGUUAUACAUUAUCUUAAGAAACUGAGAGGCAAUAGAAUUGAGAGAGAGUAAUUAAUUAAAAGAGUUAACACCGUUAUCAAAAUGAAAAAUAUUGAUAUUAUUACGAGAUAACAUAAAUAACAAAAUAUAAGUCAUUUUGAUAACUUAAUUUAGAGCAUCAUGUUUUAUAGAAAAAUCAUUUUAUUUAAAAUCAAAACAUUCGUGCUUUUAUGAGAUAUACUUCCACAAAAUAUAUAUAUAUACACACAAAUUUGUUUAAUUUUCUAUAUACUAAAAGAAGUGAUGGUAUUGAUGUCAAGUUAGCCUAAAGAACUAUCAAACCCUAUGAACAAAUGAUUUUAAAACAUUUUUAAAUUGUAGUUUAAACUCUUUUAUCAAAAGACUUUGGAUAAAAAUGGUUUUUUUUUUUGUUUUUGUUGCAUAAAACAUUUUUCAAACCUUAAUAUAUCGCAUGAUUGUCAAAUACUUCAACUUUUUCUAAGAUGACUUAUUUUCAAGACUAAACGAAAACCAAGUACAACUAGUAAUCAAUAGUUCGUGCAUGAUCGGAAAACACAAAUAAGAGUGGAAGAUGAUCCAUAAGAAAUUGAGAAGGAAAUAGUAGUGAAAUGGACUAAGUAGAGGUUGGAGUAGCAUCAGGCUGCUCCGCUGGGGCUGCAUCUUGAAAUGCUGCUGUACCAUUGUAUUCCUCAUUCAACCUGUUUAAUAGAGAAAAUUUGGACUGCCAAAAACAAAUAUAAAACAUUGCUUAGCAAUUUUACAAUUCCAAAUACUAGAGGGAGAGAUUGUCAAUUUGAUUUCGACCAUAGACAAAUGAGUAAUAACAAUGAUAUGGUUCUCAUUUCCAAUGAAUAAUAUAGUCCAUUGAGAACUUUUCAAAAGUAUAUAAUAAGCUUUAGAGAUCAAAUAGAUAGAAAGAAACAAAGUUUAAGGAGGACUUAUCUUGUAAUUUAUCCUAAAAGUAAAUACUAUAUCUAAGCAUUUCAGGAGGCUUGGACUUCCCCAUAGUAACGACAUGCCAAACUCUUCCCUCAUCCCAAACCCUCUAACCUAAUUCCAAUAAUAGCAAUGCAGUACUUCUUAGCUCCUAUUGCUCUCAUUCUCUUCUAAAUAAGGUCUGGAAAAUGUAAUUAGGCGGAAGAUAACCAAUGAAGGUGGGCCUAUGGACUGUGAUCGUUAAAAAUAUUGAACCAAUUACAAACGGAGUGACACGAGCUGUAAUAGAACUUGUUAUAUUAUAAACGAAGCAUUUCAGAGCAAUGACUAAAAGCUCUAAUAAGUUAGGAACCAGUAAUACCAUGUCAAUAUUGAAUCUAUUGAUGGCGCCAUGAAUUUGAGGAGCCAAGAACAAGUCCGCCUGCAGAUGAUAAGAAAUGGUUAAUCUUAAUAUGUAUAAAAGAAGUUCAAUAUAAAUUACUCUUUCUACUUCUGUAAACAUAAGAAAUGUACUGUAUUUUCUUGGAAAAAGGAACAUGUAUUGUUAUGAAAGAACUUCAAAAGUAGGAUGAGGCAUACUGAAGAAUCCCUAAGAACUUACAUAAAAGCACUCCAUUUGGCACUAAUGUGUAAAGGAGAAUAAAUUUGGAGACUGUACUAAUGUUAACCCUACUGAAAAGAUACAACUUUUAACACAGAGCAUUCUAAAAAUUAUCAUAUUUCCUUCUAACCAAACUUUAAAAAGAAAAACCUUAAAAACACAGUUCCAAGGAUUUACUCCUUUCCUAUGAGGGAGUCUCUCUGAUUGUUCUUGAAAAAGCAUCAUUGAACUCCAAAAAGUAUUUAAAUAGACUGCCGGCAAAUAAUCACAAAAUCAACAAUUGGAGAAUAAGUGUUUCAGAUUCAUUCUCUCUUUUUUUAUUUUUAAACAUAUUUCCCUCCAGAAAAUGUACAAGGUGGGAGAAAUUUGGAUGUGACAAUUUCCACAAUCUAUCACUCAGGUUCACCCCUUCUGAACAAACAUAACAAGAAAUAUACUGUAUUAUUGCCAUACUGUCCCUGAAUUCUAAAAUAGGUUCAGAUCCACUGAUAGAGUUUCAUUAAGGACUACAACAGAAAAAUAUUGGCCACCUUUAAACCAAGGCCAAACUGCAACUUGAUAUUCAGAUGAGACAAUCACUUAGAUUUUCUAAUCAGAGCUAUCAUCUGUAUCAUAAUACUCAUAGCACAAACUCAAACUAACCAUAUAGAUUUCAUCUCCAGUAGCAUAUUUCCCAGCAUGAGGUUUUAGCAGCUUUUCAAGUGCUGAAGCACAAAAAUGCAAAAAUGCAAAAAAAAAAAAAAACUAUUAAUAAUAAAAUAACUUUCAGCAAUAUAUAAAUUAAGAGUUGAGAGACCAUGAGCUUUUAGGAGAUUUUCAAGUGUUGAAACCGAGUGAAACACACAUUAAUGGCAUAAAAAAAUAACUCUUUCAGCAACUAUAUAAUCAAGAGUUGAGAAAACUGAGCUUUUAGCAGCCUUUUUAUUUUUCCUCUAACAAGUUGAGGGAGGGUAAUUGAAGCUAAUUGAUCACAACUAACCCUACUCGACAUCAGUUAUGUAGAUUAAAACUGGACAUGAGAGUGGAUAGAAUCGUUAUCUAUAUUGUCCUAUAUCCAUUCCAUGUGCUAAAUUUGUUUUCUGUAGGAAUUUGAAGAGAACUAGUACAGCAAACUUGUCUUAAAUUCGGCCUAAGUUCGGUUUUUUAUCACACACCAAGUCCUUUUGUGGUCUGAUUAUUUAAAAAGGGAUGAUUUCUAAAUAUGAUCACUAAGUACUUGUCAAGUGUGUGGACAGAAUCAUCAGAGCUACUAAUAAGGAAUCGUUUAUUUUCCAAUAUUCACAUCUUUACUUGUCCAGGAAGUCUCUUAGAUUUCAUCACAACAGAGAUUUUUUUAAGUUUCAUCACAACCCAAUCUUACCUGUAAAACCUUUUUCAAUAUUAUGUUGAACCCAACGAAGUUUUUCUGCUGGACCAGAUUUUUCCUCAAUGUACUUCUGUAAAGUGAAAAAAUAAAUCAUUAAAAAAUAGCAGAGGGAGAAAACAAAACAAGUGAAUGAAAAGCAUUAUAAAUAUAACGUUUACACCUGGGAGGGAAUAAACGGCACCAAAUCAACCAAAUACCAAAAGAAUGCACGUUGAACACUCACCAGAACAGCUAUAUUUUGAAGAGGCUGUAUGCUAGAAGAAACAAUGUUUGCAGCCUGAAGAAAAACUUGGAGAAGUUAUUUAAUGUCGGGUACGUUUACAUACAACAACAGCUAAAAAGUUUCUCAAAAUUUCAAUAACAAUCCACAUCAGUAAUACUGUGCUUAAGAAAGAAUCAUCAGGCUCCCUCCAAUGCGGUCUCAUGGAUUUUAUACAAUCGCAAUUUUCUAAGACAGAUAUUAGUCCCAGCCCCCAUACGAAGUAGUCCCACAUUACUUUGGCGCAUUUCUUGCCAUUUGCAGGUACUAAACGCACAUUAAUCCCAUGCAUUAUUAACAAACGCAAUAUACCUGGUAGUUGAUAGCUCUUUUACCAAGAUCACAAGGCAACAGAGGAUUCUGAGGGUACUUCUCCUCCAAAUACUGUAAGUUCAGAACAAGUUCAAAAAAUCAAUUAAAAGUAAAGAACUGAAAACCGCAAGCUAAUUAUAUAGAUGAAUUGAAAACAAAAGGCACGAACCAUGAUUAUAGCAAAAGAGUCAGCAAUAACAACAUCACCAUCCACAAGAGUGGGUACAUAACCAAUAGGAUUAAGCUUCUCAUACUCUAAGCAACAGGAAAACAAAGUAAACAUAGAAAUCAGCUUCAAUUUCAAAGCAGAAGAAGGCUUAUUCUAGAAGAAUAAAUGUGAUCCUGAGAAAGAAAUUGAGGAAAUGUAAAAAAAAAAAAUCAAAAUUACCGGGUGAGAAUUGCUCUCCCUUGAGUAGAUUAACAGCCUUGUACUCGUAAUUUAGACCUGAAAAAGGAACAGAUAAUAAUAAUAAUAAUAAUAAUAAAAAAGUAUUAAGUAGAAAAAGCAAAAUGAAAGAAGGAGGGUGAGGUAAGAAUGGAGGGGUUAGGCAGGAAAAGGAAGAAAAGAGGAAAUACGUUUGAGGUUUAGGGCAAUUCGAACACGGUGAGAACAAGAGCUCCUCCAGUAAGAGUAAAGCUUCAAGGAAGAAGCUGCAACCGGCGAGGUCUAGAGUUGAAGAAGCACAAAAAAUGAAGUGAGAAAGAAAAAGCAAAAGUGGAAGAAGAAAGAAGAAAGUAAGAAGGAUGAACCAUGGUGAUCCGAUGAGCGGAGAAUCCAGAGAAUCAGAAAUGAGGUGAUGAUUCAGAAUGAGAACGAUCGUAUUAAUUUGAACGGAUUCAAUUCCAAUUCCAAGGCCAUGUAAUAUAUAAUAUAGUAAUGAUGAUGGCAUAGAGUAAGGAAUAGAGUGGAUCGGAUCCAAAUGGAAUCGAAUCCGAAAAUGAAUAGAUUUGUACAACUUAUGUCUAGGAGUGACCACUGAGCAUAGCACCAAAACCCGAGUUCAACUGACCAAACCGGUUGAACCCAGCAAAAAUUGACCGAUUCUUCUUUCAAUUCGGUUAAAACCCGGUUUCCUUUUUGAAAGAAAAAGCCGAACCCGAGGAUCACCAUCCAAAUUCCAAGGGUUGCCUGAAGUUGUUGGACCAAUGCAUUCUCAGAAGUAUUCUCACCUAUGCAUGUCUUCUGCUAACCCUUUCUCCUUUAUGUUUGGUUGCAUGCACACAAUGCCUCUGCCUCUUUCGGAGCUUUACCAACCAAUUUUCAAUUUUCAAUUUUAAUUCCCAACACCUAAAAUUAUAAUUAUUCAUAUGAACGCUUUCCACAUAAUCCACAUAAAAAUUGAAUCUUUUUCUUGGAACGUGGAUUAUUCAACAAUCGAAGUUGAGUUACGUUUUAAAAAGGAAUAUAUCAAUAAACUUCUAUGAAAUAGUUUCAUGGAAUUGAGUCAAUUGUCUUCACCCUGGGAUAUCAUUGAGAAAUAGGAAUUCAUGUUAUCAAAGGAUUUGAUAUCGAUGUAUGUUAAAAGACCAAAAAGUUCUUUGUUUAAAUAUACCCACUCUUCAUUUGUACUAAAACAAUAGUUAAUAUAAGAUAAGAGGUGAAAUAUACUUAGGUUGGUAAGUUAGAUAUUUUGCAAAUGUGUUGACUAGGUCUCUAUGGUUUGUGUAGCCUCUAUUUAUCAAAGUUUGGGAUGCAACAUUUUUAAUAUACAAAGUGCAUCACAAAUGGAGUAAAAUAAUACAUUUGUCAAACAAAGAACUAACUAAACACCUGACAAUAUCGAAGGUUGUUUGGAGAGGAUCUCUCGACACAUUGUUAACAAUUUUUCGAUAAUUAUAGAUAUUGGGAGAUCAUCUUUUUUUUUUUUUUUUUUUGUAUGUAAUCAUACGACAAUAUGAUGGUAAUAAAAAAACUACUUAAUAAUCUAUAAAAGAUGGAAGAUAAUGAGAUGGUUAUCUGAAACUACUUAUUAAUUAUAUAUAAACAAAAAUGUAAGAUCAUUUGAUAGCAAUUGAUGUUAUUUACAAUUAAAUAACAAUUGAUAUUAAAGUAAAUAACAAUGAGAUGGUAAAUCGGUAUCAUUAAUAAUCAAUAUAAAUAGCAGUAAGACAGUAAUUAAAUAAUGAUCAAUAUCAUUGUUAACUAGUGUUAACCAAGUGAGAAUUCGAUAACAAUGAGACGAUAUACUCAAAUGCAGUCCAUAUUUUUAAAUAUAAAAGCAUUUUGGUCGUUUGACAAAUUCAAUUGGACUGAACUUCUCAACUUAUAACUCUCGUAAAUUUUAAAGUGUUGGGUCUUUUCUUUGCCUAGGUGUUUCAAUUACUUAGGAUGAGGAGGUUUCUUCCCUAAAAGAAAUAGAAAAUUUGUGUAGAGUUUUAAUAUAAAUUGGUCCUCACUUUAAUAUUUUCUUUAUAUAUAUUUCAUUUUUAUUUUUAAAUUAUAGGUUAAAUUUUAUAAAAAUGCACCACAAACCCUAUAGAAUUAAAGAAAACAUUUUUGUCUUUUAUGGAAGAAAAGAUGUGUUUGACUUAAAUUUAGUUAAAAGCUUAAAAACAAACGUUGUGGGACGUGAAGUGAGUUAUUAUAAUAUGUGUUAUUAUAGUAUGUGGGUUAUAAUAAUUUAUGAGUUAUUAUAAUCUGUGUUUGGGAUGCAGAUUAUUAUAGUUUGAGUCAUUGUAAUCUAUGUUUGAGAAAAGUAAGAAAUAUUGAAACGAGGGAGUGAGGAAUAGUGACAUAUAUGAGAAAUGAGGGGUGAGGAAUAGUGAAAGGGAGGAGUGAGGAAUAAGUGAAACGAGGAAUAGAAGAAUAAGAAAAAAAAAAUAGAAUAGUCAUAAUCCUUGAGACAAACAUAGAAUAGCCCAUCCCACCAAUGUGAGGGUUAAAUGACCAGUUACUAUAAAAAAAAGGUUCAACACAAAAAAAAAAUUUAAACAUUUUACAAAAUAUUUAUACUUAAUAAAAUUUGUACCAUUGGAGGAAGAGUAAAUAAUUUGUCUUAACUUUUUUUUUUUUUGAAAAAAUCCCAAGUAAUUUUUGAAAAAUAUAAAACGAAAAUAGAAAAAAUGGAAUGAUUUGCAAUUGGGCCUUUUUUGAGCCCGUAAUAAUUGGCCUUUUCCCAAUCCGUUAAUAGUGGGCCUUUUUCUAAGCCCGUAUUAGUGGGCCUUUUCCCAAGAAGUAAUGGUGGGCCUUUUCCUAAGCCCGUAAUAGUGGGCCUUGAGGAUAUCCUCUUGAGAAACCCUAGUUUAUAAUUCACCUUCGUUUUCCCAAAAAUAAACCCUAAUCUAGCACUCGAAGUUCUCCAGCAAAACACAGCCAUGGGGAGAAGUAUUGCUCUCUAUUCUGUCUACAAAUUGCAAUUGAAAUGUAGCAUUUUUUUUUCUUUCUUUUAUCUUUUCUCAUUGUUUUUGCAUUUGGUUUUGCAGGACCUGCUAGAUGUUACCGCCAAAUCAAGAACAAGCCUUAUCCCAAAUCGCGAUUUUGUCGCGGUGUUCCUGAUCCCAAGAUUAGGAUUUAUGAUGUUGGAAUGAAGAAGAAGGGUGUUGAUGAAUUCCCCUUCUGUGUUCAUCUUGUGAGUUGGGAGAAAGAGAAUGUUUCAAGUGAAGCUUUGGAAGCAGCUCGUAUUGCCUGUAACAAGUACAUGGCAAAAUUUGCUGGGAAAGAUGCGUUUCAUUUGAGGGUUAGAGUUCAUCCCUUCCAUGUUCUUCGAAUUAACAAGAUGCUUUCAUGUGCCGGAGCUGAUAGGCUCCAAACUGGGAUGAGAGGUGCUUUUGGUAAGCCACAAGGAACUUGUGCAAGAGUCGCCAUUGGUCAGGUUCUUCUUUCCGUUCGAUGCAAGGACAGCAACAGCCAGCAUGCUCAGGAGGCUCUCCGUCGUGCUAAGUUUAAGUUCCCUGGUCGUCAAAAGAUCAUUGUUAGCAGGAAGUGGUAUGCCUCUUCAUUCUCAUUUCAUCUGAUUUAUAUUUAGUUUCAAUUCAUCUCCUUGGAGUGUAUAUUUGAUUGAAUCAUAAAUGUUCAAACUUUUCUCUUCAGGGGAUUCACUAAAUUUAGCCGAGCUGAUUACCUCAAGUUCAAGUCAGAGAACAAGAUUAUGCCAGAUGGUGUUAAUGCUAAGGUAUUUGAUGCCUGAUAAUUGCAAUUGCAUUCCUGUUCUAUUCUAUUAUAGGAGAAUUACUUCUUUCAUCAAUUUGUUGCAUUUAGCUGAAGAUUGAUUUACAAACUAAAGAAACGUGGAGGGGUUACUCCCUGAAAAUGUUUUGAAUGGGGCUUCCUUGUUAGACCUUAGGGCCAUAUUUUUAAUUGUGAUCUCUUGUUUUUCUGGGUUGUCCGUCACUUUUAAGGCACAAUCACUGCUGCUAUCAAUAUGUUUAUACAUUUUCUAUAGUUUGUUGUGAGUUGCAUUCUUGUUAAUUUAUUUUGAGUUAAACUCAUGGUUUGAAAAUUUCGACUGUGCAGCUUCUUGGAUGCCAUGGGCCUCUUGCAAACCGUCAGCCUGGAAGAGCUUUUCUAUCUCAAACUGUCUAAGCUAAGCUAGUUAAUUUUUGGAUUUUGAAACUAUGUGAGAAUUAAUGUCGACAUCAUCAUCAUUUUCUCUGUUUGAACAUUGUGAAAUGAGCUAGUCUCUUUUUUGUUUUGAUUUACUACAUUUUGAUAUUGGAACGAAAGCUUUGUUUCUUUCUUUUGAGUUCUAUUUAAUACUUAGUCGCUGUAGAGUUUGAUUUUUUUCAAAACCUUGAAUAAUGAUAUGAAUGUGAGAAUCCCCCAACUUCUACAAUGGCAUCUUCAAGCAAAUCUCCAUAGUUUAAAGGAUAGGUUUCUCUUUUUCUAAAAAUUAGCAAAUGGUUUUUAAAAGAGGGAAACCGUAAAAAAGUUUAAUGAAUUUUGUGCAAUUUUGUUUUUAUUUUUGAAAAAAAUCUAUAUAAAAAUCAUUUUUUUUUUUAAAUUUAUGACAUGGAAAGCUUAGGAAACAUGUCAAACAAUUAAUUUUUCAAAACACAUUUGAAUCAAAAACCUUUAGUUAAAAAAUAACCAUUGAAAAGGAUUCGCAAACAAUUUGAGAUGUCAAUUAAGGUACUAGUCAUGUUUACUUGUUUCACAAGUUGAUGCAAUCAGAAUAAAACCAAUCAAAGGGAACAUAUAGCACCACAAAAAAAAUCUCUCCUUCAGCAGAAAAUGAAUUCAUUCUGAAGGAGGAGCAGCAUCGUUGGAUGAUAGCGGUCCUUUAUAGAGCAAGUCUAUCGGUACAUACAAGAAGUAUUUGGGCUGAGCACAUGUUAACGAAAGAUCUGUCUUCUAUGCUUCAAAUGUUAAGCAACUAAUUAUUUACUUCUCAUUUUAAUGGAUGAACAAAUAUGUUCAUAUGCCCAUUUAUGUUCAUAUGAUCAAACCAUUUAAGCAAGUUGAAUAAAUGGAAGGAUAAUUUUAAUUGAUGACAGAUAUAUGCAAGUUUUAUGUUAUAAUUAGAUUGAAUGUACUUCCCUAAUAAAAAAAAAAAUCAAAUCUAGUAAAUAAUAACUAAUAGUUUCCGUUCAAAUUUGAAUUAUGAGGAGAAAGACUUCACACUUCUUUCAAUAUGUAACAAAAGAAUGAAACAACAAAAUGAUUUUAUUAUGUAACCAAGAUGAUACAAACUUAUACACUACGGUGUUAUAAUAAUGUGACAAGAAAAACAUCAUUUGAAAGAGAAAUGACAGUCACGAAUGGUAAAUACGCUUGAUAUAAUCUGAUUGUUUUGUUUGGAUGAAACUUUGGAUACUUGCCACAUCACCAUGCAUGACGACUUUCCCGUCUUCCAUGUAGAUAGCUCCAUCUGCAUACUCGAGUUCUUCUAAGCGAUGGGUCACCCAUAAUGCUGUAACAUCUUCAGAAUUGUGUAAAGAAUUCCUAACUGCUUUGAUCACCCCCGUCUGAUUUAGAAACACAAAAGGAGAAAGAAAUAAGAGGAAAGAUGCAAUUUGUUUUGAAAUAAGAGAAUACCAACAUAUAUUUUGUUUGUCUCCUAAAUUUUAAAUGGUCUAUUUUAGUUUUCCAUUCUACAUGUAUUCAUUUAGAAACUAAAUUGUGCAUUAAAAAAGGGAUAUUUGGGUCCUUAUCAUUAUUUGUUUGCUCAGGUAAGAAUUUAAGGAUCAAGUAAAUGAAGAAAGCUUUGAUAUUACAUAUAACUUCAAAACCUUGCAAUAAUCAGCACAGCAUGUCAAAGUCUACCGUUGGGAUUAAGGGACAGAAGAUUUAUAAAAUCUGCUUAUAUGAUAUCGAAUACCUGAUCAUUCUCGUCAAGAAAUGUGGUCAGUUCAUCUAAUAGAAGCACUUUACAUGCUUCAGCCAAAGCACCAGCAAUGGCAACUCUUUGCUUCUGACCACCACUCAGCGUUUGGACAGAUCUCUGAGGAACAAGAAUAAGAGAUAAAUUAAUUCGGCAGUUCUUUAUAACUUCCAAUUUUGAUAAGCUACAAAGAUAUGGCUUGCCUGAAGGUAGCUAGACAUGCCAACUGCACUCAGAGCUUCCAAAACUCUUGAUUUAACUUCAUCAUUGUUCAAAUUUAACUUACCGAGGCCAAAUGCAACAUCAGCUUCCACAGUAGGCAUAACUACCUAGCAAACAAAAGAUAUAUUUGUUUGCAUCAAAUGUUUGUUACAACAACAAGCAAAAAGAAGGAUGAAAAAUCUUUUUUGUUUGCAAGAAUAGCAUAUGUAUUUUAUCACUAUUCGAAUUUUCUAAAUCUGACAACUUCGCUCUCUGUUUCUUUACCAUCUUCUAAAGAUAUAUUUUAGGUCAAAUUUCAAACCUAGUCUUUGAAUUCAGUCCUGUUAACAAUAAACUAUCAGAAGCUUCAAAUACAUCCCUAAACUUUUGAUAUUGAGUUCAUACCAUUAACAUUGUUACUAAAAUAUUAACAUAACUUACCAAUUAAACUAACGCGUGAUCAUUUGUAACGACGUGACACAAGAGAAUGUGUCAACUAUGUAAAAUAAGGGUAAAAUGGCAGAAAAAUCUGGUGGGAAGGACAAGCUAUAACACGUGACUAUUUUAUCCCACUAGUCCACUCUCCCAUGCUACUUGCUGCCACAUCAUGUUAAAUGAUUACACCAUUGUCCAGUCAACACGCCACAUCAACACUUAAGUAGCAAUGCCAACAGCAAGAAUGAAUUAAAAUUAAAUUGAAUGGAACUUAUAUAGUCUUGGAACUAGACACAGCUCACCAUCAAAGUUCAGGGCUUGCAGGCUAAAUAUGUAAUUAAGCUAAACUUUAUGCGUGAAUUAGCUAAUAUUAAAUUUCUUUUGCAUUUUGAUCCAAAGAUGAAAUUAAUCAUGUUAGAGUGAGCUAUGAGUCAUGUACUUCUUGCAUUUAUAUCUAAUAAUUAUAGAGCUCACACAUUACUUUUCCAGUGCCUUUUCUGACAAAGUCCAUUCUUCAAAUCAGUGCAGUGGCAUAAAAUUUUGAAAAUGAUUUCAGAAAUAGAAUACAGAAAUCCUCUAGAGGAUAGAUGAGCCGCCCAUACCUAGUUAGUAGUAACUAACACAAUAACGUUCGCAGCUAAAGGCUCUGAUGCAAAUGCACAAUUACUUCAAGUGCAAAAGGCACAGUUAAAACAAGAAAUAUUUACUCAAAAGGAGGAGCUUUGCCAUGUUAUUAUAUACCAACAGUAAAUUCUCUUUCAAGGUUCUAAAAUCGGCUGCAAUGUUAUUAUAUACCAACUGAAGCCUGAAGGUUAAAACGAUGAAGGUAACCUGAUAGUCCGGAUUUUGGAAGACAAAGCACUUUGGCUUCUUGACGUAUACUGCACCAGAUGUUGUAUUCAAAAGACCAGCCAAGACCUACAUAAGUGAACACAUCAAGUACUUGUAAAUACAUCAUCUAGAUGAGCUACAAAAGUACAGUGACACAUUAGGGCCCAUUUGAAAAUCGUGUUAAAUUGUGUCCUCUUUUGGGAUAUGAAGAAAUACUAAUCAUAAAUGGCAUUGGCAAUACCUGAAGAGUAGUUCGAGUACGAGCUUGAAAUGUAAGAAAGCUACACUCUAAAGUUGAAGGUUCAAGACCGUAGGUUAUAAACAUAAAACCUAACAUCCUUAUUAUUUCCCGAAGCUGACAUUAGAAUAGGCGGAGCCUCCACAGAGAUUAGUGUCGUGUCAUGGCACACUUGUUUAGUUACUUCACCUUUCGCCAUAUUAGGCAGAAUACAAGUACUUGUUUGACGAAACGCUUUCAUAUUAGAACAGUUUUCAAAUUCGUUUUCGAAACUGUUAAAUUCAAAAUGGUUAGUGUAUUAUGCAUAGUGAAAUCACUACUUUUGUGCUGUUUUUCAAAAAUAGUAAUCAAACAAGUACGGACUCAAUCUAAACAACAUACAACUCCUUUGAACAAAACAAAGUAACUAAACCACAGCCAUUAGGUCCAAGAAGAGCAAAGGUGAGUGAAUUUUGGUAAAACCUUCAAGAGGGUGGAUUUUCCACAGCCAUUAGGUCCAAGAAGCAUCCAAAACUCUCCUGAAGGAAUCCGGAGUGAGCAAUCCCUAAGAAUAGGCACAGAUUUUCCCUGCUUUGUCGUGAUCGAGAAGUUGAGAUUGCGCCCCUCAAUGGCUAUAUUCUCAGUAGUAUUUAUCCUGCAUACACAGACACAAGAAUCCAACGAAAUAGAAGGAUGAGAAAGGAGUUAAGGGAAAGAAAAGGAGGAAGAAGAAGUGAAAAGGGAAUAGCAUUAAGAUUAUAAUGAUGGAACCUGGAGGGGGGAUUGGAGAAAAGAGGAGAAAGAAGAGGAGGCGAUGGGGCAACAAGAUUGAAAGAUGAACUCUUCAAAACCAUUGCUGCUGCAGAAAUGGUGAAAAGAAAUUCGAUUGUUCAAAAUGAAAACACCUUGAAGAUUGAGAGUGUUGUUUGGGAGUGAUCGUUGAAGCGAGGCGACGUACGAGGGUUGGCAGGCGUGGCGGCGGAAACUGAUCGGCGGAGAGGUGACUGGUCGUCGUUAGAGCGCUGGAGAGAGAUAGACGGGGAGCUGCCGCUUUUUCUCCUUUUUCUUUUUUCUAAUUAUACAAAAUUUCCUUUAUAUUUGAUACUUUGGUUUCAAAAAUGUUCUUUUAACAAAUUAAAGUUUCCAUUUAAAAAAAAAAAAAACUUUUAGAAAAGGGUUUAAAAAACGCUUUGUCCCUCACUAAACCAAUUUAUUUUUAUUAUUUUAUGACAAAGACUAUGUAAUUUACAAAAUAUUGAGUUUCCAAUAAGAUUAUGCAAAAAAAAGAAAAUUAUUAAAUUUUAACACUAAUUUCUACCAUAAAAAUUAAAUUAUUACAAAUUUUAUUAAAUUUUAACACUAAUUUUUACCAUAAAAAUUAAAUUAUUACAAAUUUUAAAGUGCAUUUAAAGUCUAUAAACUAAACCGCUGCGAAAUUAAAAAAUAAUAUAUUUUUAUGAAAGUUAUAAAUAUUGGUUUUUCUUGUUACUCAUAGAAUUGUCGAAAAUAUAAUCUAUUACUCAUAAAAUAUAAAAUUUUGCGUUUGUGAAAAUACUUCAAUUAAAUUUUUAUACCAACAAAACAUAGUUAAUUUAAUGGGCAAGAGUUGAGAAAUGGUUAGAUAGUUUUAAUCUAAUUAAAACGUUGAUGACAGUACUAAAAAAAACGUCAAUAACAUCUUGAACGAAUUAAAACCUUGAUAACAAUAUCAUUAAUAUCCAAUAACUAAAAGCAUAAUAUAUUAAUCAUACACGUAAAAAGAAUUAUUAAGAUCAUACGUUAGUAUUGAUAUUAGUUAAUUAUUCAAUAAUGCAAUUAUGUUUUACUAUUUAAUUAAUGUGCAUAUAAACUUGUAUUUAUGAAAGUUAUAGUUAAAAAAUAAUUGGUGAAUUAUUAUAUCCUGAAUAGUUAUGUAAUUUUCUAACAAAGUAAAUGCAUAGAAUAGAUAUCCUAAAAUGGUGUGUUUUAGGACUUUUGCACUUCUGCACACUGCGAGUUCGAACCAUAAACAUUUGAUAUCUUUUAUCUUCUAAACUAACCUUAUAUUUGAUAUUCUCAACUCUGGUAUGUAUUAUCACAAAGUCUUGAAUAUAACUUGGUAAAUAACAUAACUUCUAAUUUGAUAUUAUAUCAUCAGUUUUAUCAUUCUGCGAUAACAACUAAUUAAAGAGCAAAAAACUGGGUUAAAAAAUAUGGUGCUUCUUUUAUUGAUCUAUAGGAUAGGAAUGGAUCAAAUUUAUUAAUAUACAUUGACUCAUUGAGCAAGCAAGAAUUUGGGUUUAAGAAAAAUGAAGCAGGAAUGCUAUUUUCACAAAGCUUACCCAACUUUGAAGUUAAGUAAACAAUAAUCAUGACCUCUAUAAUACUCUUUUACUACACAACAAAUAACAUUUGUGUACCUCAUUCGCUUGGAGAAUCCCCAAUAGGGAAUGAACUAUGAUGUGUUUCCUUCUUGCUAGAGACUCGCUCUUACGGAACAAAGGUCGGAGAGAUUGAGAAAAAUCAGCCAAAAGGGUGCUGGCUACGAACCACUGUCAGGGUUUGAAUCCCUCACCCACAACUGACCAAAAAAGGAAGGACUUUUCUCUUAGAGGUAGGAAAAUCAGUUGACUAUCGAAUCCAACUUUGGCCAUUAUUUUCAUUUUCGUAUCUGUAAUCAAUUCCAAGUUGUUCAAGAAUAGUAGCGUUGUUGACAUGCAAUAACUAGAAAUAUCCAUUCCUCUUUACCCGUUUUCUAGAUUUCAUAAGUUCCACCAGCGAAGGAAGAGGCUCAGGCACAGGGACAUUCAUUGACCUAUACAACUUUCUAAACUUGUCGUUAAAUCCCUUUGAAGAACCGACACUUAAAAGAUGUGAAUUACUACACCCUGCUAUUCUGUCAUUAUUAACCAUCUUUCCAACGUGUGUUUCAAGAAUAAUGGAGACAUCUUUACAAUUGUCUGCUAACUCUUUUUCCUUAACUCUACUUUCCUGCUCAUGGACAUGUUCUUCUACAUCACUGUUGAAUACUUCUGGCAGGUUAUUAUUCGUCGACAAAACUUUUAUUUCAGAAAUAGGGAGCUUAGUUCCAUUAGAGUUAAGUGAGGCGUUUACAUCAGCUGAUAAUGCAUCAUUCGCAAACUUCUCAUGUUUUCCUUCGAAGUGAACUUCAUCUUUAGAAUUUACUGAUGAUUUGCCGCUCAGUUUACACUUUGCAUCAUGAAUGGACAGUUCUGCUACAAUAUCUCCAACAGCUUCUACAGGCUCGUUCUCAGUAGAUGGAUAUGAAACUUCUUCUGACAACAAAGUGGCAUCUUCAAUGGCAAGUCUAGCUCGUCCAAAUAAUGUGAGAGGUGGCAAGUUGCUUGAAGACAAAAUGUUUAACAUUUCUUGAGGAACAGGAUACACUUUCACUGUUUGUGAUUGAGGGUUUACGUUUCUUUGAGUGGGUGCUUCAACUAUAGAAGAACAGCUCACUUCAAUCACAGAUGCAUCUAAAUCUGAAGAACUAUCCUCAGCUAUACCAAAAAGCUUCCAUAUUAGGCCAUUUGAAGUUAAACUAGAACCACUGAGUUUCCUUUUUACGUAAUCCAAAUCCAUGGCUCGACAACCAGGAGUGGUUGAAACAACCCAUUUUGGUGCUAAAAUUUGCAAGGCCCAUUCUAGUUCUUCCUUUGACGAGUGCAUCGAGUAGCAAACAUGCCAAAUACCAUGUUGAUCUUUAAUUGCUUCACUAAUUAUUUGUUUCCUUGAGUUCCAAAUCUCUGACACUUCCUCACGAACAUACCACUGGGUAGAGGGUCGGAUUACGAGAGGUUCAGACAGAAAAUUGGUCUGAGCAUCUGCAAGCAGUGUUCUUGCAGUUUGACAUAGUUUAGGGAAUCCAUCAAGUAGAUGAAAACGGGAGGAUGGAUCUUGAGUGAGGAUGUCAGGGUUUAUAAGUUCAAGAGCCUUAUAGCCUGCUUUCUUGGAUUCAUCAGCAAAUAUCUUUGAACCAAAUGUUUGGGACACUUGUUGCAAUAUAUCUUCCUGUCCUAGAAGAUUGCAAAUCAGAUAUACUAGCGGAGCAUCAGGGUGUUUCCAUAUGCAAUUAAUAAUCUGAAAAGAUAAAUUAUCUUAAAUUAUAUACUGGUUAUAUAUUAUAAGAAUGUAAAUACUUAAUAUUCAUUCUACCAAAACAAUCAAUAAUAUACAGACGAACUAAGGGUUUAAGCAGAGCACAAAACAAUGAAAAGAUUUUCAGCCACCAAGAUAUACGCCAUGAACUAUAGAAAUUUAUUGUCAUAAGAAAGGUGAAGUUUAAAAUUAAAAGAAUCGUCAACAAGUUAACAAAUGCCAGAGUAUGAAAUUUUGAAGGAUCCAACAUAAGAAAUCUAAUUGAAACAUGGUUUUUGUGCACAAUUAAUAUGGGCUCCAAACAUUUGUAAAGUGGUCCAAAAUGAUGGUAUCACCCAACAACUCAAACGAAUAGAUAUCACAUGGUGCUACUUGUUUCAUGAUAAUAAUAAAAGGAGAAAAAAAAGGCAUCAGCAGCAGCAGAAGAAGAAAUAUGUGGAACAUGAGCUGCUUCCCAUUAGCAUCAGGCAUAAAAGGAACAGGGGGAGAAGACGUAUCAAAUAAUUGAAAAGAUUUAAAAAGAAUUCAGAGAAAUUUGCAGAAAGGAAAGGAAACUCUUAUCAUUUCAUUAUAUUUGCAUAUGUCAAAAUUAGUCACGUAGAAUCUUGUAUUGGAGGAAACUGCUUAGGCAAGGUUAGGAAAAGGACACCACAGAAACAUGGUUGUUGAUGAUUUUAGCCUACAUAUCAUUACUCUGCAAUGAACGGAGAAGCACAGAGAAACUUGAAGUUGAAGCUCUAGAACUACAAAGCAAGAAUAUAGAUAAAAGGGGCUAGGAAACUGUUAGACCCCCAAUAUUAUAUCAAUACCGGAGGAGGGGAAAUAAGUUUGUUUAGGGGGGAGACACGUGUGAAUAAGUUUGUUAGGGGAGGGAGGGAUAUGUGAGUAAUUGGUUGGGUAAGGUUAGGUUAGUUAGACAUAUAAAUAAGUUUGUUAGGAGAGGGAGGGGUAGGCUUUAUUUUUUUUGAGUUAUUGAAUCUUCCUGUUAUUUCUUGGGAGAGAGGGAAACAGAGGAUUGUACGUUCUGCUACAUUAAAUCAAUAAGAUAGAAUUCUCAGUUGGAUUUGGCUACGAGUUCCAUCAGAAACCAAAAAGGUUCUGCAGAAGAUCUUACAUAUAGGCUAUAGCUAUGUCAAAGAUAUACACAUCCAUGAAAAUAAAAUACAAAAAGGAAAUUUGUAUGUUGACAUGACAUUAACAGACAGAUUUCAUGAUUGAAAAUCUACAGGGCAUUCACUUGAUUCUCAAAUCUCAAAACGUAUUAAAUAACUGAACAAUGUUACCUGAUGUAUUGAUGAAUGCCUGCUAGGGAAUUGUUGAAAGAAUCUACCAAAUGUACAGUCUAAAAAAAUCAGAUCCAGUUUACAUCUUGGCUCUUUACCACUUUUUCCACGAUACUUCUCAGGUAAGUUCUGUAGGCACUCAGGAGUUAAUCUACAAUCACCCGUAUGCAGAACAUUGCCAAAAUAGCCUUCAAAUAAGAACAUAACAGCUCCUAGUCCAUGCCAGAGAAAUAUAUCAUUUGUCAGCUUCUAAAUGGUGAUAACAUUAAAUAUUCGAAUGCACAUAAUAACCCCCACAAGAUCUCUCAGAAAAAGAAUGACAAGGAAAAAGGAAGAAUACGCUGAAAACAAAAGAUAUGUGAUGAGACUAAAAAUGAAGUGUAGAAGGCUUAACAUAAACCUAACAAAAUACUGGUCUAGAUUAGCAUAUACAAUACCAACAAAUUUUAAUCCAAGUAUGAAAUGAGAGAGCAUUAAAAGUCUUGCUCAAGACAAAAAUUAAAGGAUCUGCAGAUGAAUGGAAAAACAAAAAGUAAGGGAUAAUGUAGAGUGCAAUAGCUAAAGGAGAUGAUCUCAAGAUUUUACUUUAUAGUAUAGCUUCAGGGAGAAAGCAGGAAUUUGAAUCAGUAGGUUAUAUAGUCAGAUUAUCAUUCUUGCCCCUGCCUGCAGGCUGAAAAAUUAAAGGAGAGAUACUUAACCUUUUCCUUUGGUAACAUGUAUCCAAGGGCCUAAAUCAUAGUUCAUAAAUGAUCCAAAUAGAAUUAGAAUUGUCUCCCAACUCUUCCACAGCUAGCAUCUAAUUAGAAAAAAACACGAAGGAGGUACAGACUCUGUGCUAUUGAAAAUUACAUAGUUGACGAUUUUAUUGAUAUAUGCAAGUUUAAUUCUUCAAAUUUCGGUGCUAAUAAGAUGUGAGAUUUUAAUGUUAAGGGGGUGUUUGGCCUAAGGAGUGGGGGGCGGGGGGGGGGGGGGGGGGGGGGGGAGUUGUAAACUCCACAAGGAAUUUCUGGGCCACAUAACAAGAAAAAAACAUAAACUUUAUGCCUUAUUAACUCUUUAUAUUGUGGGUCUCACAACUUCACAAGUCGCCUCCUUGGCCCAAGCACCCCAAGUUUCAAACAUUUCUAUAUAAAUGCACUUGAAAAAUAAGGAAAGUAUAUAGAAAAUAAGGAAAGCCUAAAAAAGGUUCACAGCCACUUUCUUUUUUUAUAAUGUUUUUCUAGAUAACCAAAAAGUUUUGUGAAGAAUGUCCAGAGACAGUAGGUACUCGAAUUUCUCUGUCCCAAUUGACAAGUUUUCUUUCUUCCUAAAUGCUUUUUUUUUUUUUUAAAUGGAAAAAAUAGAUGAAGAACUUGUGCUCUUAUCUGAUAAAGACGAUGAGAUAACCCUUGUCUACUCCACAUUGAUAUUCAUAGUUGGGCAUCUAAAGCAUAUUAUUUUUUCUUACGAGGAGUCAAGGUGAAGAUCUUUAACUUUUCCUUCAUGCUGGAAAAAUCACAACUUACAUUAGAACUAAAACAAUAAUGCACAAAAUAGGUGCACCCUUUGAUGGUAAAAUUCAAAUAUAACUUGACCAACUGUACCUUUUCUAAGAAAAAAAUGUUAUAUUGUCUUUUAAGACACUCCUCUUAAUUGGUGCUUCUGCUAUAACCUUUUUAUAAUCUUCAGUCAAACAGCCAAUAGUUAAAUGUCAGUUUAAGUUAAAAUACAACCCCAAGAAGCAGCUAAUUGCUUCAUUCACUCACAACAACGAAAAAUUCAAUGCCAUGUUAAUCUUAAUCCUAAAAGUGUGUAAGAACAGUAGGUCUGCUAUUUGAAUUUCUGACAUUUCUAUAAUUCCAAUUGUUAUUUAUUAGGAGCCCACCCGAAAAAUGAUAUGCGCACAUUUAAGCCUUAAUAAAAUCUGUUAAAUCACUUAAUUAAAACAAAUGGGUGGGAUGGAAAAAAUACCAGGGCAGUGAUGAGCAUCGAAAACGGUAACGGUGAAAGCUCCAUCAGGAUCUUUGACGACCAGCGAUUGCCCCACCUCGAUACAUACAAACAGUGAAUCAUGUAACUGCGAAAAGGAACAACAAUUCCAAGUCAAAUUAAGCCUCCCGAAAAAGAAAAGCAAUGGGUCGAUUGAAAGUGAAGAGAAACCUGGGGAAACUGCUGAAGAACGAUAGACUUGGUGAGAAAAGUAGAAUAAAUGGGGAAGGAAAAAUGGGGGACAAUCCCAGUGGUGUGAUCCCUGUGAGCGUGUGUUAGAAAAUGGUGGCGCUUCUUCUUGGAAGAUGGGGACCAUGUAUCCACUGAAAAAGGGAGGCCUUGGGGCAUUUCGAUCGGCAUCUUCGAGUUCUGAGGGGGAAAUUCCGAUGGGAGGGGAAGAGGAAAAUGGGAAUAAGAACCCUAAUUUGAUUCAUAACGAUUCUGUCAAAGCUUCCACAAGAAGCAAAAUUUAGUGGCGGGACGGUUGAAUCACCACUCUAUUUAUAUUUUACCGCCUUUACCAUUUUUCCAAUACAUUUUUAAAGCAUAUAUAUAGUGCAUUUUUUUUAAAUGGUAAAAUAUUCAAAAUAAACUUUCUUUAAUUUUUUAACUUUUCUCUGCUUUUUAAAUACUUUUCACAACCCUAAACCCUAAAAUUACCAAAUUAAUUUCAUUAACCAUACCAUGUUUUUCAAUACUCCCAAAUGAAAGACUAUUCAAUUUUGAGUCUUAAUUAUAUCAAAAUCACUUGAGAUUAAUAAAUUGUAAAUAAGAAUAUAAAUUGAAAGAACAUAUAUAAAAUUUAUGAAAAAAAAUGAUUGGACAGUUUGCAUUUUUAUUUAUUUAUUGAAAAAUAAAAUGAGAUAAUAAAAAAAAAAUUGAAUUACAUAAAAAUAAAGGAUAAAAAAGAAAAGAAAAGAAGAUGAGCAGCGACAGAAGAUGGUUUGACAGCCUAAAUGGACAUAGAAGAAGAAUAAUACUACCCUUAUUCUUCAAUGCCUUAUUUCAUUUAUAACAUUCCUAUUAAUUAACCACACUACCCACCACAUUUCAUAAAAAAAAAAUAAACUAUAAUCAAGCUUGGAAAACUACAACAACAACAACAAAACACCUAAAAUGAAAAAUCAGUUUUGAGAGGGAGCAUCGGGUUGGUUUUCUGGUGCUGCAUCUUGAAAUGCUGCUAUCUUCUUGUAUUCUUCGUACAACCUUGAUAGAAUUGGAAACUUGGACUGCACCAACAUAACAAUAAUAUGUUUAUUAACCCUUUGUUAAUUAACAAUGGACACUGAUUAAUUUAACUUACUACUUAGCAUUAAUAUAUAAAAAUAAUGAUUAAAAUACAGUACCAUGUCAAGAUUGAAUGUUUCAAUGGCCCGAUGAAGUUGAGGUGCCAAAAACAAGUCUGCCUGCAUCCAAAUAAUAACAAAUAAUUCAUCAUCUUAAUUAUCAUCUCAUUACAAACAAAGCUACUUCAAACACACACAUACCCUACUUCAUAAGAAACUUUAGCUAUAUAAGUCUAAGUAUAUGUAUAUAUUAAUGGAUAAGUACUCUUGGGCAUAAAAAUUUGAUCAAUGAAAUUAGUAGACUAACCAUAUAAAUUUGGUCUCCAGUAGCAAAAUUUCCAGCUUCAACUGUUAGCAACUUUUCUAGUGCUGAAACAACACGCAUGUAAAAAGAUGGUUUUAGAACUAAGAGGGAAUCAAACUAGAUCUUUAUAAAGAUAGAAGACUGCUUCGUUUCUCAUUGGAACCCCCCCCCCCCCCCCCCCCCCCCCCAUGCUAUCAAAUAAUUAAGUUAUCAACACCCACAUGGUAGUUUCUUUGUUUAAAGUUGUUUACUUCUCUUUAUAAAUGGUUGAAGAAUAUUAUUAUGUAGAGAAAGCUAAAUUUUACCUAAAAAACCUUUUCCAAUGAUCAUGUGAACCCAAGAAAGUUUCUCCUCAGUACCACAUUUUUCCUCAAUGUAUUUCUGUAAAUUAAAAAAACAGUAUAAUUAAUAUAUACAUUAGGAUUUCAACCCUUUUAAAUAAUGAAAUUAAAAAAUAAUUAAUCAUUGUUUCAAUAAUCACUCUUACCUCAACAAUUAAAUUUUGAAGAGGCUGUAUGCUUGAAGAAACAAUAUUUGCAACCUGUGAAGAAAAAAGAAAAGAUUUUUUUUUAAAAAAAAUUUAUAGACUAAAAAUGAAACAUUUACUUCAAAGUUAAAAAUACGAAUUACUAGUCCCAUAAACACAAAUUUAAAUAUAAAUAUUACCUGGUGAUUAAUAGCCCUUUUAACAAGAUCAGUAGGCAGCAAAGGACGCUCAGGAUACUUUUCCUCCAAAUACUGUAUGUUUACACAACUAAUAUCAAUUAGUGAUAUCAUUAGGAGAGCCAUAUUUAAUUUGUAGAUAUGUAGGCUAACUAAUCAUCACAAAUAUUUUCAUUAAUAAAUUUCUAAAAUAUAUUUUGAUUUUAAGAGUCUCCCAAUGAGUUAAAAUUCUUCUGCAGGUAACAUUUGUUGAGUUAUAUCUAUUGAUAGUACUCUCUUCAUUUUAAAAUGUUUCCUUUCCACAUUGUGUUUCUUAAUAAGUAUAUAUGCACAACUUAAUUUAAUUAGUUCACUUUUGUUAACAUUUGGUUUUGUAAGUUAUCAUUUUGCAAAAUUAGCUUAAUUACUAAUGAAUGGGACCUGGGAGUUUAAGGACUCCAUCUUAGUUAAAGCUGUCAUUUCUAAAUUCUCAACUAAACUGCUUUGUUUCGAAACUUAGAUCUUACUUUUUAUAAAUGUAAUAAUAGAUAUAAUUUGAAACUUACGAAAAAAAGAAAAGAAAAGAAAAGAAAAGAGAGAAACACAAACCAUUAUUAUAGCAAAAGAGUCAGCAAUAACAACAUCUCCAUCCACAAGAGUAGGUACAAAACCAACAGGAUUGAGCUUUAGAUAUUCUGAUCACAUCAAUUAUGUAACAACAAAGUUAAUUAAAACACAAACAAUAACAUAUAUAUACAUAUAACAUUAAACUUACCAGGAGCCAAAUGCUCUCCCUUCAAAAUAUCAACAGCUUUAUACUGAAAGUUUAGUCCUGAAAAGUAACAGAAAAGAACAUAUGCAUGCAUGAGAUGAUUUUGAAUUACUUUGAUCGCAAUAAUGCAUUUGAGAUCACUUGAUAUAUAUCAACUCAGUGUUUGAUUUAGUUCAUUACUUAAUUUGAACACAUUUUUUCAUACUGUUAUAAAAAACUAAUUUAUUUUUUAAUGAUUAAAAUAAUUUUGCAGAGUGGUUUAAUUAGUAAUACCUUUUAGGUUGAGGGCAAUUCGAACACGUUGGGCACAAGUGCUGGCCCAGAAUGAGUAGAGCUUCAAUGGAGAUUCUUCGUCCACUGCCAUAGCCGCCUUACCCUUAACAACAGAGAAGAUGAAGCAAACUUUAUAUAUAUAUAGACCACAAAAGAAAGGAAGACGAAAAUCAAAUUGAAUAUUUUUGCAAAUUAUUACAAUAAUAUUUGAGAAAUCAAUGUAUAUAUGGAUCCAUUCAUUGAUGACUUUAACACCCACCACUGACCACACUGUCUCUUAUCUUUAUUACAUAGUCAAGCAUGUUGAUGUCAGCGCUUACAUCGGCAUCGACUUGGAUGUUUGAAUGAUCAAUUACAUAAUUUUCCAAUCAAAUUCAACUAUUGCAUAAUAAAAUUUGUUCUCAAAAUAAAAUUCUCACUAUAUAUCUUAAAAUUCUAUUCCAAAUCUAAACCAAAAUUAUUUACAUACUAUAAAAUUUGGAUAUAUUCCAAAUAAAACAUGCAUGAUACAGAUAUAAAAAAAAUGUAUUUUUUUAAAACAACUUUCAAGUUUAUAAAAAUAUGCUCAUUUGGUAAUUGGUAUUAAGUUCAAUUUUGAACGUUCACUUUCAUUAUUAUAUUGAUUAUUGUAAUAUAAAUAGUAUAAUACACAUUCCAGUAUGCUUGUAUAAUAUAUGAUUAAUUAAGUUCAUGAUUUUUUGGUCAUCAAAUACUUGAUUAUGAUGCAUGUGAUGCAUGUGCUAAUUUCAAGUUAUUGAAAAGAGUAUAAUUGGAAGACAUAUCUUCUCCAAUAACCAAGUAUCUCCAACAUGAAACAUAAAAAGUAAAAUUAAAUUCCCUUUCUUGCCCUUAAAGAUUAUAGAUGACAUAUAUAUAUAUAUAUAUAUAUAUAUAUAUAUUCCAACACAAAUGAUUCUUUUCCCUAUGCUCUUCCCAUGGCAAUUUAUUCUUUGCUUCUUCCCCUUUAAUUUGUCCAUAUAAAGCCUAAGAAAUAGAGAAAAAGAAGAUUGGUUGAUUUAGGAAUAUUUUGAGUAUUUUGAAAAAGAAGAAGAAGAAGAAUUGAAGUAUUUUGUUGUUGGAAAUUAGCUAAUAAUGGAUGGAAGAGGGAAUAGUAAUAAUAAUGUUCAUGAUCAUCCUCCAAAUGCAAAGUUUGAGUUCACUCCAACAUGGAUCAUUGCUGUUGUUUCAUCCAUUAUCGUUAUCAUUUCCUUCUCCCUUGAGCGUGGCCUUCAUCACCUUGGACAGGUUCUUAUACACAACAACAAUACCUUUCCCAUUUUUUACUUUCUUUAUUUCUUCAUUUCUUUACCUACUUUCAUCGAUUUUGAUUCGUUAUUUUAAGGGUUUUGUAAUUCUAGAAAUGCUCAUUUUGAUUAUAUGUUUCAAAUAUCGAUAUAUCAUCGGUGGAUUAUUGAACUAUUAUUGAAGUGGUUUUAUAUAUAUCUAGUAGCAUCUCAGUACAUUAAUGCGAAGCUUUAUUAAUUACAAAUAUGUUUAAAAUGUGAGAUUUUAGCAUAAUGUGUAUAUAUAUAUAUAUGCCCAACAUAAAUGACAUUUAUCUACCUUUUUGUUUAAUGUGGUUCUUUCCUUGAUUCAGAAGUUGCAGAAGAAACAGAUGGAUGAACUAAAUCAUGCGUUGCUGAAACUAAAAGAAGGUUUUUUCUCAAUAUUUUCCCUUUUUUCUUUUCUCAAGACUAUGCAGUUCACUCUAUACAAGUCUUUUCCCUAUAGUUUGGCCUCUAAUAUUUAGAGGUUAUGAUUUUAAUGCCGAUAUUUUCCCAUGAGUCCAAAUUCCAUAUAUUCAACAAUCAAAUAAACUUACGAACAUAUAUAUAUAUAUUAUCUAGCUGAUCUCACUAAAUUAUGAAUUAAUGAUAUUUGAUCAUCACACGUUGGUAUGGGAUUUUCCUCUAUCUUUAUUGUGUAAGGUGUUCGUUCAAUACUGAAUGUGUAAUUACAAGAGGUGCAGUUGAACGUUUUUCUUAUAACUUUCUCUCUCUCUCUCUCUCUCUCUCUCUUUUUUACAGAGUUAAUGAUUUUAGGGUUUAUCUCCCUAUUAUUCAACGUGUUUCAAGGGGCAAUCGGACGUUUUUGUAUGCCCAAAGAUUUUGCAUACCAUAUGCUUCCAUGUAAGAGAAGUACCGUGCCCGUUGUUAAUCAUUUCUCAUCGUCAAAUUUUGUCGAUCACAAUUACAAUAUUCACCGUCAUCUAUUAUCGACAACUCAAGCUAAUUUUCAACAUUGCUCACGAAAAGUAAGGGUUUGUUUCAUAACACAUCUUAUGACUAUUUUUAUAAUUACUGUUUUCAUAUAUUCUUUCUAAAUAAUUACUUUAAUUGUGUUUUAUGAACAGGGGAAGGUUCCUCUAUUAUCUUUGGAAGCAUUGCAUCAGCUCCAUAUAUUCAUAUUUGUGUUGGCUGUUGUUCAUGUCAUCUUCUGUGCUACAACCAUGCUUCUAGCCUCUGCAAAGGUACUAAAUUCUCUCUCUCUCUCUCUCGAAACCACCGUUCCAUUAUUGGUUAUUCAUACAUAUAUUAUUUGUAUAGAUACGAUUGUGGAAGAGAUGGGAAGAAUCUAUUGAUAAGCGCCAACCUACGCAAUCUGAAGA
rnacentral:lncRNA from 1 species